rnacentral:lncRNA from 1 species
CAGUUAUGUAGUACUCAUGUUUCCUCCAACUCUCAAGUAAGGGUCAGGAUCAGCUGUUAAAGAAAGGUAGUUAGCCUGGGAUCAGUGGAUAUAGAACAAAAGUCAGACAGGGUAGCUUCGCCCAAGGAACUACAACUAACACAUAGCUAGUAAUAAACAUGCAGGACAAAGUUCUAACCAAGUCCUGGUUUUGGUAUUCAUGGCGGUAGCAGCCUAUACUAGUUAUAACGGCCGAACAACUACUAAUGUAGUGAGGCUAGUACAUCCAUUACUACAGUUAAGCUCUACAGAUGUGUUUUGGGCAGCAAGGGCAUAAAUACUUUUUCACUGAACGAUAGAUCCAGUUGUUAUGGUGUUCAGUAUUGAUUGACUCUGCUUUCAUUCCCUUACCCCGCGACACUAGGGCUGUUUCCUUGCCUGAUAGUUGAGUCUGCCAUUACUCGAUCUCAUCCCUCUCUGGCUCUGGCUAUAACUUGUAACUUCACCUCUAUUCUAUACCUAUGGCUACUAACCCGACCGAAACUAUGCCUCUGGGCCUUUUCACUCUCCUCUGUAAACUAAUUCAGUAAUUCCUACUUGAGCCUUACCCUCCUUUCUGAAAAUCGAAUAUUCCUGUCUGCCAAGUAACUACCAGCGGGACCAGUUCUUUAUUUCACUAGUUAGCUAGUUGGUCUGCCUCUCCUCGUGCUCAUUCUUACUAUAAUGUUUCUUAGGACCAAGGUCAGUGUAAGAAGUAGCUAAGGAUAACUGAUGAAACUGCCCCUCUAGCAACAAUACCUAUGACAACUGGCUCCCGAACACAACUCCUAUGACAACAUUAUUUACUGAAAUUAAGGGCACAUAGUUCAUUUUCAACAAGGGAUGAAACUAGAACAGAAACAUCAUUUCUAUCUGAUGCCUAUGAUCCCGAUCUAGCUUCUUUCGAACUCUCCCGGAUGCUACAAACGAAAGGGAAAGUUCAUAACUAUAGGAUAAAGAUUCAAUCAAUAGGGUCAGGUUAGGCUAGAAAUGCAUUUAUACAGCCUAUUAUGGGUGCCUUUAUCAUAGGGAAUUUGCCAUUAACGGAGUUUCUCCAGUACUCUCGGGGUUCUUUAGCGCCCAGCAGCUACCUUUCGAAUUCUAUCUGUGCUUUCCCGAGCAGUGGUGGGCUUUCCUUUGUUAAAGAGUAAUAAGAGUUAGCUCGGGUGCUUAGUAGGGGAGCAGUUGGGCCAGUGUCAACUAAUACAACCGUUUUUUAGAGUUGACAUUCAAAUUCAUAUCUUGCAAGCAAGUAAGCGCUAAUAGAAAAGAGGUUGGCAAAGGUCAAUCAUCAAGAUAUUCCGCAAGUAAAGAAGUAAGUGAACCAGCAGGAUCCUACUGAACAAAACUCUUUUGCAAUACAUAACGAAUCCAACCUAUAGAGCGCCGAGUCAACUCGCAUUGCAACAAAUACAGAUCCAUAGAGGUCAUUAUUGAAGUUGCAACAAAUCAUUUAUUCUAUGUUGAUUACCUCUUUCUAUAAAUAAGGUACUCUUGCUUCUUUAGCACAGCUUCUUUCUACUUAAACUCGCCUCGAUACUUGACUUCAACAGUGGAGGCUCACUUGAUUCUAAAUUAUGACUUUCGAGCACACGGUAAUGGCCUAAAAACAAGUCAAUAAAGACCCAGCCGCAGCUUAUGCUCCUAAUUCGAAUCCUUAAUUGCUAUUUAUUCUCGAACUUAUGAUUCUGAUCUCGAUUCAAUAUAUUAAACAAUCAAAGUGCUCUCUGCUGCUGACUUUAUCCCGGGUUCUUCCCUUCUAAUUGCAUAGAUGCUUCUAAUUGCACUUUAGCCCUUCGCAUUCAAAAGAAAGGUGAACAAGACACUGUUGCCUGUGGUCCACUUCACCUGCACUGUCAACUUCAACAUAACUUAUAGACUUAUAGACAAAAGCCACUCGACUUGCUACUGGAUACUUUAGAUACCUAACUAACUGGAUACCUUGGAUACCCAACAGUAUACCUCAGUUCUCAAGUAAGCUUAUACAUUGCCCAGUGAAAUAAGAAUACGCUAGAGAAGAAAAGAACCAGUGCGCGCGAGUUAAGUAUCAAGGUUUAGGGCGGGCAGCAAGUGAGUAAGAAAGUAACGUUUGAGUUGAAAGAACAGGAUCAUCUGCAGUAUAAAGUAAAUAAGUAGGAUUGUUUAUCAGGUUCAGAAAGUGUUCUGUAUUCGGUUCGAGUGUAAUUGUCAUGUGCAAGGCGGGUCAAAGGAAUUCAUUUCAUGCGUAUCGAGCGCCAGGUAUAGAGCAAAUCAAAUCAAGACUCACCCGACCUUCUGGCAAACUAUGUUAGCGCAACUAGUUCCCUUUUUUUCUCGUACACUUGCUUUGACUUCGACUUCAUAUAUGUAUUCUGUGAUCCUGCGGAUGCUGAUUCAACUGCUUAAACAAAUUCUUAUUAAAGAGGAUAUUCUGGAACUCUACUGGAAGUUCCUGUACUUCCCGCUUCACCGGAUCCAUCUUAUUCUUUCGCAGACAAAGCUCGAACCUGGAGUUUAGUAUCAUAUUCGUACAUAAGAGGGUAGGGUAAAAGAUGACUACUUCCUUCUACCCUUAAGUGGUGUACUAAAUUCGAAAGAACAAGCUAGGGAAUCAGCAAGCUCAGUUCCACUUUAAUCCCGAAUAGCAAGAUCUGGAGCUGCAAGUGGUUCUGAACGUGGGGAGUAAGGAGAAGGAGUCAGAUUACCUACUUCCAUCUAUAAGUUAUGCUUUCCAUUCCAUUCUUUAGGUGAACUCCACUGAAAUUCCACUUGGUAACGGAGCUAAAUCCUCUUUAGAAUUACUCGAUUGAUUUGAGAAACCUUUCUUACUUGUGAGUUGAGUGGUUGACUCGACCUCUGCACUGGUUGGUAACACCUCUGCUCUUGUUCAUCUCUGCUAACUGAAUGAGGCAAAUCCCCCUCUGUCAACUAAUAAAGUAAUUGCUCUGGCUACUGCCAAGCGACUACAAAGACAUAGCAAACAACAAAGCAACUACUAGUAAAGGAGUCCGGAGUGCCCUAUAUUAAGUUCCAAGCGUAUACUACUUAGUUAAUUAUAUGACCGAUUCCAAUCUCCAAUAAUUUCACUCCUAAGGGUGGAACACUCAUAAUUGAACCACCUUUCCUUGGUCAACUAAUACUGUUAGGGCUCUGGACUACUAAGGUGAGACUUGAUACCACAAUUUCUAUACUCAAAAAUCAAUGAGUUGCUCGAUUAGGCGUAUGACAUGAUGUAUUUCCCAUCCAACUACUUAAGUCAUGAAAUAGUUCAUUUUCGCCUACCAUCUUUAUGGCCUAAACUAUCAUAUCUUCACCUCUCUUAUUCUGUAAUUACUUCUUUCUAUAUGAUAUUCCACUCUAAGGGCAUAAAAGCAAGUACUUUAUUCAUUUCAACCUCAACUCCCACAGCAGCAAUACAUGAAGAACUGAGCCCGGAGUAUCUCUUUGAACUCUCCUAUGGCUCCCGAACCACUCUCCUAUAGCUUCCGAACCUUGACUUCCCACACCCAUCCAUGUAGGAAUAGAAGAAAGCAAGACCCGAAGCUAUCCCACUCGACAUUGAUUUAUCGGCUGCCUUACUAGCUGCUAAUAGCUGUCCUAACAAGCUGCCUUACUUGACUAGUGGCCUCUCUUACUAGUUGCAUCAUUAUGACGGAGCAGUAUGACUAGCCCUUGCUUCGAACAACUCAAAUAGGGCGGGCUAGCGCAGCAACUUAUGGACUCUUCGUUCAUCUCAAGAGUAUAUAUUAUCUUACUCGGGAGUCUAGUAUGCAUUCAUGCUCAUCGUCUUUCUUGUGGGGAUCUUUCGUUGUGGCGUGAUAAGGAUUAUCUGCUCACUUGUUCUGAUAGGGACAUCGACCGAUCCUGCCCCUACUAUCAUUUAGAGAUGACGAAUUUCUCUCCUGGUCCUUUCGGAACUCUAUGCCUUCUGCUUCGAUUUCCAAUGUGAACGUAGGAACUGUUGGCAAUAACCGUUGUAGGUGUGAUCUGCUUGCUUCCACUAUAAGCUCUUACGGAUCCUAUAAAACACAAGCAGCAGCGUAUGAGAAAACCAAAAAAGAUCUCCUACGAAUGGUUUGCUGUUCAUCAAGCUUGAGAUCGGUUCUUACAGCAUGAGGUUGACCGGCUUCGCGAGAUCAUUUCGAUCUACACACGGCUAGGCUCCUUGUUCCCUGCCUUAUCGAAGCCAAUCUCGCACAAAAGCAAUAAACUCCUUUUAUUAAAGAAAGAGCAUGUUAGCUUUCUAUUAGCCACCGGGGACCGGCUCUAUGAGCUCCUGUUAACGGCGGUGCUUCCAACUAACUCACUCAUUUACAAAUACGCCAGAUGAGUUGAUUUGAGAUAUUCUACCGAGCGAGAAAGUACACUGAACACCAACCCAAUAUCGAUUCAAGUAUAAGGAAGGGACUCUAUCAAGAAGGUAUUGAACGAACUUCUCGACGCAUUGUUCGAACCCGCAAGCACCAAACAUCUACCAUACGCUAACAGCUCUAAUCUCUUAUAAUAUAGCAUCUCAUCGGACUUAGAUUAUUCACUUCGAUUAUGAAAUUGAUAGUUAGCGAUCCGGUCCGGGGGCUACUCCUACUGCUUCCUUUAGGAAAUGCCGACAUCUAGAACAUAGAGGGAAACUCGCAUUCCAUUCCUUCUGACUGUAAGUAAUCCUUCUAGAAAAGACUAGUUGGCUAGUGAAAGAGCUUAGUCAAAGAGUAGGGCUAUCGCUUUAGUCCCAGUUGAGGUUUCUUAAUAAGUUGAGAGUAGCUAAGCCAGAGAAGGCCCUCGGCACAGAAAGCAGUGUCUAAGUCCGAGUAGCAAGGUCUGUUGCGAAGUAGUCCCUUCCCUCUCCGUUGAAGAGAUGGUAAUUUGCGUAGAUUAAGAAGUCCAAUGUUUUAGAAAGAGCUUGCCGGGAUAUAUAAUAAGUGAUUGACCAUUCUGUGGACCGCUGUUAUGUUAGAAGUGGUUUUAUUGCUGUUUCAUCGGUGAACUAUAAGAGAAACGAAAACCUCUGCUGCAUCCUUAUACUUAUGUCCAAUUCUAUUGUUAAGAAAAUAACAGUUGAGCUAAUGGUUAUGAAAAUCCAUGUUCUUUUCAUCGAUCGAAAGAUGCUCUAGACCAUCGCUCCUCUCUUGAACUAUCGCAAAACGUUCUCUCCACCGCCCCAAACCUAUCUGAAUGAAGAGGGGACUCUUUGCCCAUAGGGUCACACACAAGCAAGGGGGUAAGCUACUUGUGAAGCCGGAGCUCUCGAUUCAUUCAUCUCAAUCGAAUCUUUGUCAGCUCUUCUUUAUUAGCUAUUCUUUGAAAACAUCUUUAUCAAAGCCCUCCGAUCAAGUAGUAAAGACAAAGGGAAAGGUUUAAUAGAAAUACAUUGUUGAGUCAGAGGAAGCAUAGCUAUAGCAGCUUAGUGUUUGAGAAGAGUGUGACUGGAGUCAUAGGCCUAUAAGAGCAUAGCAGAAGCUUAAAGACGGAAAGUGACCCGCUUAUAGCAACUAGUUGAGUUAACUUAUAUAAAUAACCAUAGGAAAGGGGAAAUGUGUAAUAGUAGAACUAUAACAGAGGAGAAUGUUGCCGAUAUUUGAUUAUAUUCUAUAUACUCAAAGGUUCUAAAAGAAAUCAAUCCGGUAACUAAUGCCGCCAGAGAGGCUGAGGUUCUAUAUAACGUCUGUCUCUUUGCUUUGUCCCUGAUCCUUUCAAGCAUAGAUAGAUAGUUUCGAAUUGCCUGUUCCUGGUUUCGGCGUUAAUGAGUGGGCAUGAUACCCUGACCUUAAGCUUAUUCUCUUUCAAAUGCAUUCUUUGGGAGUUCAAAACCAUAUUUACCUGUUAUUAAUCUUGGAGCACAGAGAAAAGUGGAUCUCAAGGCUUUACUUAUCAGAAAAGUGGAUCUAUCUCAAGGCUGUUACUUAGAAAUAUGACUUCGAAAGUGAGUUAAUGCCUACUGAAGAAUGCCAUAAUCAAGGAGACGAACACAGGACUUGCUUGGGACUGUUACUAUAUACUUUGUUUAGUUCCCCCAAAUGCGACUCUUGAAUCAGAGCAGAGGUGAAAAAGCAAUUGAAGAAUAGCUUCCCGCUUCCGGUGUUGUCGGUGAAGAAAGUUCAUGAGUGCGGGGCGGUUGCUUGACCUUAUAUACUUAGUUGCCCUUAUAUACUAGUAGAACUCCUUAGAAUGCAUUUAUUUAGAUACUUGUCUUUAUCUGACCCGUGUCUUCAUCUGACCCGACCUAUCCUUUCAGUGUAGAAGUGAAGAAUUCCAUCUAUCUCUUACACAGAGCACCUAGUGGAUUAGUUAUAUCCAUUAAACAGAUCGAGAGUGGGUCACCCUGGCGAAUUUCUCUGCUUUAGUUUCAUGUGGGAGAUCCCCAGACUUUAACGAGUUUCAUUGCAGUUUUCGUCGAGUAGAGAUCUGAAGCAAUUAGUACCAUUGUAAGUAAUACAUCCGGGGAGUACUAACAAGCCAUAUUCUAUAUUGAGUUAUAGUUGGAGCAGGAUUAGAUUCAGGAUAAGAAGUAUUCAAUGGUAAGUAAGCUACCUGAGCUUCUGCAAGUGUAGUUCCAGCAGGUGGGGAAUACGGGGCUAAAGAAUCAGUAGUAGUUAACACCUAAACUCCUCUUAUGCUUUUCUUCUUUCUUUUGAAGUUACCUUAACCCGCUUUCUGGCACUAGAACUUGUUGGUUUCUUUCUUUGUUUACUACUCGGCUCUUGCUUUGGAAUGACAUUAUGUAUUUAUGGAUUGACUCUUCCUUUACUGUCCUAAAUUCCUAGUUACGGGGUUGGUUCUUGUGCUCUUUAUUCCUUAUUUCGAGUGAAAGCCUUAUUGGGUUCCAUUCCAAGUAGCCGCCAUUCCGACUUUUGAGUUGUAUUAUGCUUAGUAGCCUAGUAGUCUUGUAGUUAGAGAAAGGUUUUAGGCAGUGAUGAGGGGAUCAAGUUUGAAAUCAAGGUUAUUCGUUUCAGUCCAAUAGCACUUAUACUCUUAUAUUCUAAGUUAUGAGUUUAAGCGUUAGGAGCAGUGUGUUGGAAUCCUUACUUCUGAGUGAAAGCUUUAGAACUGUGGUUCAACCCCUAGUUAGCGUUUUAGUUCGUACUUAAGAGUUUGAUUCUUUCUUUAAGAGCGCCUUCUUAUCUUAGCCCUAAAUCUUACCUCUUAGGUCUUCUCUUAGUCUAUUACUCGCACUGAGACAGGUCGGUGUCAACUAUACUGGUAUUCUUAUUCCUACCUGAUGUAUCCAGUUUUCCAUUAGUACCCUUUCUAUUACCCCUGAGCUUCUUAUUGAGAUCAUUUCAUUCUUGCUUCUGUAACUUACUCUUAUUCUAGACUAAAAUCAAAGAAAUUACUGUUUGUUCCUGUUCGACUUGCCUCUGUAUUGGUUCACUGCCCUACUUAUCGGCACAGUUUACUCGGCUCAGUCUACUUCAUCCGAGUUAUCGUUCUGUUUUUUGUACUAAGAGCUUCAAUUCCUGUUGUUGAGAGGUCGGUUCAGAAAGGAAAGAGAGAAACUCACCCCUAGUAGUUGAAUGAGCAAAUUACGUUUUCUCGGGUUUUUUUAACGCACCUCGGUUUUCGCUAAUAGAGAGGUCCGAAAGUAAGGUAUCUUCACGAGGCUCCUGCCGCCGAAGGCAUAUAUUGUAAUAACUUCGUAAGAACUGUUUAUUGGCUACCGCCCAACGUCUUUCGCCGUUGCUUGGUCAUUAGUAGUGACUUGGCGGUCAUUAGUAGUUGUUUGGCGGGAACAACAAAUUAUUGUAUAUUAUAUUAGUUCCUUGCUUUUCUUGCCCUAGUAUACGCUUGGCUCUGAGUUAAAGUAUCCAAAAUAGUGGUUUGCCCAGAACUCACUGCCCAGCAACACGAUAACUCAUACUUAUAGUCAUGAAAUUCGUACUUAUCAUCAUUAAGCUGGGAACUUGGCCUUUACCCCAUUGCUUUCAUGUUUAGGCUAAUAGCUCUAAUUCCUGUACUCCUAUCUUACAGCCUUACUUACACUCAUUGUUCCUAGAUCGAGUAUACCUCAUCUUUUUGUUUCAGUCUCUGAACCCUAACCUUUCUUCUUUAGUUAACUCUUUAUUCUUCUAUUCCUUUUGCCUUGAGUCUAGCCUGUUCCCUUUUAAGCUUUGAAACUUCAACAAGUGCUUCCGAGCCUGCUAUCCCUUACUGGUAUUCCUAUUAGUAUUUGGUUUAGUCUAAUACUUAUGCUUUUCAUUCUAUAGCUGCUGUAGGGCAUGGUCUAUACUUGCUUAUCCAACACAGAUAACAAGAACACCCUUCCGGACUUUGAUUCUACAACUUCAAUUGUACCGGUACACGUAAGGCUCGGGUACUUCCCAGUUAUUCCAUAUUCUUUGUUUGAUACGUCGCUGUUUCAUUCAGUCGACCUACGCUACCACUACUCUUACUAGAAAACGGACAUUACUGCCAGAGAGGCUUACUUCCCCUUCCUUUAGUCUUAACUCCCUAACCUUAGUUCUGGAAUUCCCCUGUUGAUCCUGUAGUUCCCUUGUUGGUCUUAGGCCCCUGUCCGACAUUCCUUUCUCUUAGUUCAAACCAAAGGGUAGUCUGCCUUUCCUGUAACUCAGUAUGCCGCUCCUGUCUUCCAUUCAGUAUUUAGCCCUGACAUUCCCGCUUGUUCACUACCUUAUUGCAUUAAGUAUUCUUUUAAUGUAUAAGAAAAUGUCUUUCUAUUUGCUUAGGUAAAUUGGGUGAAAAACAGCAACUUAUUUGAUCUUUUUUGAUCCAAACCCGGAACUCGAAACCGGGAAAUCGAUAUAGUGAAAUAAAUUAAGGGAAUUGAACAAAAGUAAGUAAGCCCGAUAAGUAAGUCAAAGAAUAAGAGAAAAGAUAGUCAGGAUGGAAGACAGGAAAGCAAGGAUUAGAGUUAUGACUUGUCCGGUAGGUAAGUAAGGAUGAUAUCGAGGAAUAGCUGUUUUCAAGCAAGUAAGGGAAUACUCCAGCUAUAACAUAGGCAUGGAAGCUAUAACAUAAGAAUGCCAAGGUUAGGUAUAAGAGUGAGUUAAAGAAGUCAGGCUUAGUUUACAGAGUGGAGUUCCUUUUUUCUCGUUCAAUUGUUGGAUGUGCUAGAUCAUACCCUUCUUGAUUCUUUAUUCCAGUUUUCCUUCUCGCUAGCGGUGGCUCAAUCCUUAUAGGCAUCAGUUCAAUUCUAACAAUCUUUAGUCCAGUCCGUUUGCCACUAGUCCCAUUAUAUAAGGUGGUAGUCCAUUCGCCAAGCUACUACAGUUCAAAGAGCCAGAGGUCCGUUAUGAAAGUGUAGUUCGAGGUAAAGUUUCAAGUUUCGUUUAAGGUCUAGUACAAUAGGAUGGAUUCCAUUCUGUCUUUUGAGUUGUGGGAUCCUCUUACCUCUUAAAUAAAGGCACUUUACUUACUUGCGCUAAAGCUUACUCAUUGGGGUAAUGCCUGAGCUCCAGUUGAUGAACCAUCUUCUUAUCCAGCUAUUGCAACUGUUUCUUAUUUGGAUCUUGCUUCAGUUGCAAAGCCACAUAUUCUUACGCAAGAACGUAACGACCGGCGGGCAUUCUCUUGGGCUUCUCAGAUCCUUCCUCCUGUUUAAUAUCCUGAUCUCUCAUUGACAAAACCAGAACAGCGUAUUCUCUAAGUUAACAUAACAUGGGUGAAAGGAGUCGUUACCAACCAAAGAGGUGUUACCGACCCGGAACAACACUUUCUGUGAAGAAUGUCAGUGAAUCCAUCCAUCCAGAAGCUUGAGCAAGAUAAGUAUCAUCGGCAGGAACAGUAUCAUCAGCUGCCCUAGGAAAGGAUAGUUUAGGGAAAGAACAAAGCUCCUAUUAGCCCCUGGCCCGAGCUCACUAACGCACUUAGGUUGUUUUCGCCAGGGUUAGAGCUUUCCGAUAGGUAAUAGAAUGAUAGCUUUCCGAUAGGGAGAAUGGAAGUUGGAUAGCAUUCCGCACGAGUAUAAAUAUGUUCAAUUCAAGGUGGCAGCGAGUUGACCAAGCAACGAGACAAGUAACUACAACUAACACAUGUUCAUGUUUCGCGGUAGCUAGCUAUUAAGAAAAGCGCGUCAGUGAGUUUCAAGUAAACAAGCGUCGGAACAGUGCACUCAAUUCUCUUGCACUCAUCACAUUCCAAAAGUCAACAAGCAAGGGAACUUGCAAGUGUACGAGAUAAAGCAACAGCGAUGGAUUGUUUGUAGCCGAUCAAGUGUACGAGAUAAAGCAACAGCGAUUGGGUUCGACUUACUAUUCGUUUUCCUCGGGAGUUUCUUUCUUCGUUAGCUAACGUUACGGGAGCUCUGCGCUCGCAAGUCUAUAUUCGGGCUGCAAAUGCAUUUAUACAGCCGAUGGGUACCAACAUGUGUUAUUUGCCAUCCAAUUCAUUAACCCUACCUUAAACGAUGCAAAAUACGCCUGAUUGCCCUUAAAGUACUCUCCUGUGUUCAAGCAGGACAGGAUAUCCGGAGAAAAAGGAGUUGGGGCAACAGAAUCAAUAAGUGGACAAGACUUUACGAGUUCUUAUGAGUCUUAAGCUAGUCCGACAAGCAAGCAAUAGAGAAAGAAGGCCAGUCGUUUUAACCGUUUUGAAGCAAUGCUCUGUUAGUUAACCCUCUUAUAGAAUAUAUGUCAGUGAUAUUCCCUUCAAGAAAAAAGCUAUGGGGCUACUACUUUCGGGUGCGAGAGUGCAUUUCGGGGAAACACUGGCCCUACUGCUCGAAGUCUGCCAAUAACCUAUCUUGGAGUCGAAGUCCGUCAAUCACCUGAAGCUGCUCCAUCUUAUGCUGAUGAUCCGAGAUCCUGAUCUUAAUGAUGCAGCUAGUCUUUCUUCCGCUUCUGCGAUAGAUUCAUUUUAUGUUUAAGUCGACUCGGCGGAUUCUUUUUAUGUUUUUUGGGCCUUGACCAUAAUUAGCAGCAUGCGAUGUUCCAUGUCAUGAGCUCGGGUAGCUAAUUCAGAAAAAGUGAAGGUUUGUUUUCCCUAUAUAGAGCGCAAGCCCCAAUGCAUGCCUUGGAUUCCAUCUCUAUAGCUUCGGUUUCACAUAGUCGAUCCUUGCUGUUUAGGCUAAAGUUCCUACCGCUAUUAAUAUAGUCAAUCACAUCACUGGCUCAUCCUUCCACUGGCGAGAAUUGGUGAGCUCCGAUCAUCUAACUGUUAUGCGCGUGUUGUAGAAGCUCUUUCGGCAAUAAAAGCAAGAAUAGUGGUCCAGGAGCCAGUUUCCAAAUAUGUAUACUAAUCAAAGAAAGGCCUUACCUUUAAGUGAACGGACUUCUUGACGAACAGAUCAGCAUCGGUGCAUGGCUGGUCUUCUACUUUGCUGCUGCUCUUUCUUAAGAAGCGGAUGUGGCAUCUCUAUCAGCUAGUGAGCUAGCGGCAAGAGCCGAAACUCAUGAAUCCAGCUCUCCCCCUUGCUUAGCUAGUGUCCAUGAGUGGAAUCCUUGUAGUCUAACCUUUUAGCCAUUCCUCUCUAUCAACUAGAAUGUAGAGUCCAGCGGCAAGGCAAGCAAGGAAAGAUUCCGGAUGCCUAUGAUCUAAUGGCCCUUCUUACCUUGAGACAACAAAAGCCCUUUUCCCUUCACAAUACAAAAUAAAGGCAGACAGGAGAGACUGGACAUGUACGAUAUGAAGGCUUAAGUGCAUAAACUCAGAUUUCUCAAGCCUAUCAAAAGAUUACGCUCACGAAAGAAUACAAAGAACAGAUAUACCAACCACGGCAACAAUCAAAGAGGAAAGUCACAGCUUUUGCUCUACCUUUCUAUAACAAGGCCUUCCGCUGCUGUGGAAGCCAACUGAAGAUCUAAUGCUUAUCUUAUGUUAUGGAUCUUAUGGAUCUCAGUAAGGGUUGAUUCUGAAUUCCAUGUCGAUAUCUGUAAAAUGACAAUCGAGCACUACACAGAGGACCCUGGUUCAUUGGUCAAUACUUCCUAACCGUUCGGAAAUGGGAACCAAGAUGAAAGGCAUCCACUACUCAAAUAGAUUCUACAGCCAUAUGGGCCUGGUUACCAUAGCAUCUAUCGGACACACAAAGACUCAAAAAAGCAGGUAAAGUUUUGAGUGUCGUUUUGAAGACUGCCGCCCAAUACAAAGGACUUUGUUCGCCACUAGCAACAAGAAUGCAACUGGAGCCGAGCCUGGAGUGCUAGUGAAAAGCCAGUAGUUGGCAAGAGGGAGGUUAGAGGAGGAAAGCUCUAAUUGAACUUCACAAGUAGGAAUACCAGAGCCAAGGAACUAAGGCAGAGCAGCCCUGCCGCGCAACUUACGUAGUUGCUUGGCCCACGAUCAUAAAGUAAGGUUGACAGCCCAAACUAGUAUAAUAGUAGUCUAUAGCCAGAACUUGAUGAGUUAUUCUCGAGUCCUGUGUUCGGGGAAAUGUAGUUAAUGGCAAAUUCUCCUAUUGAGCCUCCUGAAAUGCUAUUCCAAUGCCUUUUUGCCUAGAAAGAUAGCCGAGUCAUACUUAUUUUCCUCCUUCUUUCUUUCAAAACUCCCUAAGACAUAAUACAGUAACAAAGCACAGCAACAACUAAUUGAAAGGUUAUCUUAUCAUAACUAAUUGAAAGGUUAUCUUAUCAUACAAGUGCAUAUAAGCGCCAAGUACAAAAUAUGAGUUCUAUUCUAGUUCGAGUGUAAUCCCCGUUCCGUUCUUGUGUUGUCGUAGAGAAUGGUCUGAUUUUCCUUACUUUUGAAUCUUCCUCAUUGUUUUGUACUGAAUACGAGUAGAUUAACCCCACCUAUCCAUUUGUGUACCAUUUGAUAUAGAAUCCCGGGUCGACCUAUUGAGUGGACCUGAACGCUGUGCUAAUAUUACUUCCUAGUCCGCAUCGCUAGAGCGUGUUAUAUAGCAUCUCCACGGUCUCGUCUCCCAGUGGGUUGAUAGAAAGAUUUAGUGGGGAAGGUGUUGGACUUGUAAGGGCAAGGCAAGUUCAGACUUGAUUGAAGUGCGUGAGGUAAUAUGUCAUUGAACAGAUUUCCAAAUGAGUCCAACUUCUGCUUGCAGAGAGAAAAGAUGCAGAUUCAACAAUAUCUAGAGUCUAGUAAACAUAAGAAUCGAUAUGAUUAGAUUUCGUAGCUUCCUCCUCUAGAACCAACCCGGAACAACGCCCACAGAAGAGCAUUACAAAUAGUUUAUUCAAAAGAUAGAAAGAAAGAGCAUUAGAAAAUAGACUUCUAUUUAUUAGCAAUAGAUAUAGUAGAUUAUUAUCAGCCACUUUGAAAGUAGGUCCUUUCCUAAAACAGUGUGAAAGCUUAGGACGAUUUCUGUUGUCAAGGGUAAAAGAAAGUGAGGCGCGAAUGCGAAUAGCUCUUUUUCAGGAUAAGAGAGAAAUGAAUCCAAUCUGUAUUUUAUGAAAUGGAAAAUCAAAGAUCAUAUUCCUGUUAGAGCUCAUCUAUGCCCUUCCUUAUUUGUUUGUGUAUAAUCCCCGUGCGUGUAUAAUCCCCUUCCUUCUUGAUUCUUUUACAGCACCCUUACCUUCUUUAAAACUAUGUAUUUCAUCUUUGAUUUGAUUUCUUAUACUUGCUUAGUUGAGUGCAGUCAGUAUCAGAUUGGAACUAACGCUUAUAAGAGUAAAUCCACUACUGAUGUAAGAGUAAAUCCACUACCAGAUGAGAAUGAACUGCCAUUCCCAGAUCUAAGGUGCUACUCAAAUCCAGAAAUAGGACUUCCUUUACCGACACCGAACCUUGAGUUAUAAAGGGUAGGAACUUAGCCUCACAUUACUUAUUUCAUUAUGUAUCCACUAAUCUCCAGGUCUUUUGUUUUGAAACUUACACCUAACUCUGUGAUCCCUAAUUCAACUGCAAAGUAGGCAACUCAGAAUUACACCACUACUAAGAGGAAUAGAACUGCGACUAAUAGGAGUUGACUUGGGUUUCGAAUAAUUCCACUAGUGCCGACAAGAACGAAACUAGUCACUAUAAGCAUUAAGCGGUUAAUACAGGAUACGGCUACUGCUUCUCAUUCCCUUACUUGCUCCCUCGAGUCUUACCUGUGACUUUGAGUAUCCUACACAGCUUGGCCCGCGUAUAGGUCUUCUAUUACUCAGUUGCAUUCUUAGUCUCCAGGCUUUCAAGCUAACAACCAUACUUGUCCGUCCCUCGGGCUUGUCGCUCCACCUUUCAUUCUUUAUUCCUAUUCUGAUUAUUAGUACGCUUAGCCGGUAUCCUUACUUCCUGGAGCACGUAGCCAUUCUUUGACUACUGAGUGAAAUUACCUACCUCGAUCGACCAGGGAUACAUUAUUUCCUUAUAAUAACCAUUUGCAUUCCUUAUGGGACUACUCAUCUGGAGCACCCCUCAUUCUUUUACCACUUCUUGCAUUCCUUAUUUCACGCUCUAUUCUAAUACAACUCCUCCGCUCUAAGCCUCUGAAACCUACCUUAUACUCUUUAACUACUUACUGCACUCUUACUGGAAUACACUUCUUGCUUUCUGGAUUGAACCUAUGAUUCUUCUAUUUUCGUCUCUCAGCUCACCUCUACUUGGCUUUCGUCCUUAUCAAUAGGAGCUAUUUCGCAUCGCCAAGACACGGAUAACCAAGCGACUACUGGCGACUUAAUCACAAGACUUAAUUGACAAGUAGUAAAUAGAGAAGUAGUUGUAUGUAUGAGUAUAGAGUCAGGAGUGGAGUCACGAGUUUUCUAUUCUUUUGCCUUUCUUUUGAGGUGAGGAUGGCACACAACAAUCAGGCUUCUUUCCUUUCUUUUUAUUUCCUUUCUUUUGCCUUGUUGCCUCUCUAAUGAAUGUAGAGUGAGCCAACCUUUAUAGUAUGGUAUGGAAUAAGUAUAGUAUGUAUGGAAGACUGACUCAUUCUUAUGCAAAUAGGACCUGUUCACAAGUCCGCUUUCCACUACCGCCAGCGAGCGAAUCCGUUUCUUUCAUUUCAUUUUGGUGUGUUUUUUCUCUCUUACCUCUUUCCGCAGGUGUCAUCUAUUCUCCCAUUUGAGAAAGUUGAAGUAGAUUCUGUAAUAACUGAUUCGAGCACAACUCCUUCUGUAAUAACCGAUUCAUUCGAGCACAACUUCUUCUGUAAUAACCGACUCUUAUCAAUUUAUGGCAUCGGAUCGGCUAAGUACCUUGAAUCCUCUAGGUCCUGCCUUGGUCUCUCCGGAGGGUGCCUUCUUUCGAAAAUGCAGACGGAAGGCUUCGCUAUCGUUCAUUACCAUUCUAGCUCGAGCCCCAUAGAUUCUAUGAGAAAUUCUCAGAAAUGGGACUUGUGAGUUAAGAGUAUUUCUAUUUCUUUUUGGUUCCACAAUUUCCUUACUUGACUCUAUGGUCCUGUGCAAGAGUCAAAUACUCGAUUUUCCCACUGUUUCUUCAGAAUAGUUGGCUCUGGGAGAAAGGGUUUGAUAAGGCAGAAAGCAAAGUGGUAAGUUAACAAAACUCUCUAUAACCUAAUUGACUGCAAGUAGAGUUGGCGAGCUGUGCUAUUAUCAGGAGUGAGGUAAAUCCAUUCUCUCAGGAUGUAACCAUGAUUUCUGACAUUAAUGAACAACUAUGCCUUGUGGUUAAUGAAUGGUCGGAUUGAAGAUGAUCGGAAUUGGGGUUGCCCGAGAGAGCCUAUAAGUAUCUGAUUCGAUCAACGCAAGGGAAAGUCAUAUAGAUAGAUUCUCCACCCCAACCAAGAACACGCUCUUUUCAUUCACAUUCCACUGUGCUUGCUUGAAAGAUAUUGUAUGUAUAUGAUUGAUUGAUUAGUAUAUGAUAGUUAGUAAGCGCUUGCGAUGGGACGGAUGCUACUCACUAAAAUAGAGGGUAAGUAGAACUAUAGUUUAGGACAUUCCAAACAGGUGCACAGGAAAGAAAGCAAAUCCGGAGAGGAGGCCCUAAAAAGAAAGAAGACCCAUUCUAUUAACUCUGCAUCAGCUUUGGGGAUAGAGCUAUUCCAACUAAAGAAAGAGAGCAAAUCUGUAAAUCAAAGACGGAGAACAUUCUAAAGUGGGCCUCCCACCCUCUUAUCCAAUUCUGCAGAAAACCAUCAAACGCGAACUCAAUCAGAAGAAAAGAAUAAUGUUGCAUUUCGGUACCGAUCUGUUGUUGCGAUAGAAGUAGAAAGUCUCGUAUCAAGGGUAGUAAGGUUGAAAAACCUCUUGUUAAUGCGCUACGCUCGAUGUCAAGUCGGUGCCGAUUGCUUAAGUAAAAGUGGUUGUGCACUCUAGCUAGGCUAUGAAACCCUAGAAAGAAAGAUAGACCUAAGAGUCAUUACUAAUUGAAAGAAAGAUAGAAGACCUAAGCCCUAGAAAGAAAGAUAGACCUGAAAGAAAGAUAGAAGACCUAAGCCCUAGAAAGAAAGAUAGACCUAAGAGUCAUUUACUAAUUCAUAUUUGCAAAGCAGCGGUUUUACAAGCAGGGGAAGAAAGAAGCAUAAGUAUAAGAAAGAAGAAAGGGUCCAAGCGGAGCGAUAACCAUUAUUUCCAUUGUUGGGGGUGUGGGUGCCUCUUUUCAACAAGCUGUGAGGUUGAGAGAACCAGUUACCCAAUUCUUUCUAUAUCUAUUUCUUAGGGGACAGCUCCAUUCUUGGAUUUCAUCGCAGUAGGGCAAUAAUCCAGUUUGUAAAGGUGCUUGUUCGUUGCGCGUUAGACUAGAGCUCGAGAAGCAACCAGGCUAAUGCUAGUUGAGUUCCGUUUGUCUAUAAGCCUCAUUAGAAAAUACAAAACAAUAGCGUUAGAGGAAGUAAGCAAAUAAUAAGUGAAUGACUCUUCUACAGUUACAGUUAUUAGGCUAAUAUUCAUUUGAACAGCACAGGAACUAGCUAAACUGCCGCCAUGAAGACCGGACUCGGGGCCAAGCAACUACAACAAACACAGCAGCAAUAACAAAUAAUCUAUUUAGUGUUAUGUUCUUCUCGAGUCCACCAAGCAACGACAAGUCCUGUGUUCGGGUACUACCGGUAUCAGACUGAAGCGGUGUCUGCUAGGCAUGUAGUACAGGUCUCAGACUGGUGCUUAGGCGUUACAGGCUCUGAUGUUGGGUAGUUACAGGCUGCUUUAGGGAAGUGACUACUCAGACUUCAAGUCAGGGUAGCGAGACUCAAACGAGGGAGUUACAGACUGUAGCUAGGGCCAACGUCCCCUCUGACUCUUAGUCCUUUCCCAAACUAGAAAUAGAUAAAUGCAAAUAUCUCUAUAGUAGUUUGUCUCAACUGGAUCAAUCACUCUUUUCUUUGGACCUGAUCGUAGAACAACGGAGAGAGUAUAGGUAGAAUAUAGAGUUCGUGUAAGCCCUUUGAUUGCGAUUGCAUCAACCGAAGCAAGCAGGGUCACCCCUAAAGAUAGACAAAACUCAAUGUUGUUUUCAUUCAGGCAAAAAGGCCAUUCAGAAGGAGGCAAUACGCUUUCUUAAAGAAAACCCCAAAUGGACUAGGGGCUCGGGCGGACCGGGGAGCCUUUCACUCUCGAUAAUAAGUAAUACUUUGUACCUUACUUGUUCUUUUCUUCCGAGUCAAGAUUGAAGAAAGACCGAGGAUCGUCGACUGAUUGCGGAAGAGGAAUAAUGACUAGUUGCUUCGUCCUACUCCUUCCCGACCUGCUAUUCAUAAAAUGCAAAGAGUAAGGCGACCGAAUACUCGAACAACGUACGAGGUAUGAGAGUGUCUCUACUGCCAAGGAUAGGGGAUUUCAGGCUUCUUGUUAAAGCACUAUUUGGCGGUUUCUCAUCUAUCUUACUAUGAUUCUUUUUUGGAUUAGGAAAAUAACAAACCCAAAGAUUCAGCGCAAUCAUACCUACCUCGGUUGGAGGAAUAGGACGGUAGAAAGCGGGGAUAGGAAUUCCGUUGGGCUUAUAGCAGUUUUGGUUUCGAACUGGGUGGGCGAAUUCCAUUUAGGGAAUAUGGACUCCAACAUAAAGAAGACCGAAAGUUCAUCACCACUACGGGAAAGUAUAGUGAAGCUGCUAAUCUGAUUAAAGUGUGAAGCUGCUAAUCUGAUUAUUAUUCCCACUAUGCGAUAUACUACUUAUUAGGCACAACAAAGAGUUCUUAAUACCAAGGCAGUUUCAGUGGAAUGAUGGAGAGAACGUGGAAGUAGCACGGGUUAAUCUAUUCAUAUAUAUGUCCGAAAGAAAGGGUUUUCGCUAGUUCACUCUCUUGUCUAAGGAUGCAUGACUAGCUUUCAGUCUUGUCCUUUUGGGCUGUAUAUCAAAUGGGGGUGGUCUGUCUUUCUUUAGUGUUGUAAUGGCCUCGGGCUACUUCAGUAUUCUUUUAUUUGGAGCGUGGUCUUUCUUUAGUGUUGUAAUGGUCUCGGGCUACUUCAGUAUUCUUUUAUUUGGAACCCAUUAAUCAAAUCUUCUCUUCUCACCGCUUACCUACAAAAAAGCAUUCGACCUUUCUUUUCAAGAGCCAAAGCUAGCCAAGGUAGUCAUCUCGUUCACACCAAGCUACAAACCAGAAAGAAGGACCAGACCAUAAAACCCAGGGUUCGAUGAGGAUACGGGAAAUUGUUGUCUCAUUCACUUGACCCCUGAGAUACAAUGGCCUGUCCGCUAUGGUGGCGAUCCCCUAAAGGAAUGUCCUCCGUGCUGAACUAAUGGCUCCCUACGUAUCAGCUACAGCGGGACAAUGAGUUUCAUCAUAUUAAUAAGCAGUUCUAAAGUCAGCUGCUGAAACAAGAGCAUAAGCUUGUUCUGUCGUUAUUAUUUGUUACUACUGUAUUAACGAUAUAUAUGACUAUAGCUUGUGUCUGUCCUUCAUACGAGUCUGUCCUUGCAUCUAUGUUCCGUUCGAGUUUUGUCGUAGAUAUAAGCCGAAUGCGAGUAUAAGGAGGGAAAUCAAUCUGGGAGUUAACCGGGAAAGGGAAAGAUAGAUGCGUUGACAGCCAACACCGAUAAGUAUUCAAAAGAUCUCUCUCUGCUAACGCUCGAAAAGCAGAAGCGGGAUCAGGCUUUGAUGCCAUAAGUAUUGAAGUAGAGUGACAUUCCAGUUGUCCAGUUGAAGUUAAGUCAACAAGAUCAUCAACAGGAGCUGGAUAAGAAGCUUGAAAGUCCACUCUCCAAUCCGCGAUAACGAUUCAAAGGUCAGCAAGCGGUAAGCAGUUCUGACUUCAAUUCAAGUGUCGUUCGGGCAAGACGUUCAACAAGUUCAGUCAAUUCUUCAAGUGACGAGUCAGGAUCAGGGGAGGCUCAAGCUAUCGAAGAAGAAAAAGAAUGAGUAUAGUUCCCUGCUGGGUAUGAUAGAGAAAGGUCACUCACAGUGCUACGUAGUUGCUCAUCCUAUUGCUUGUUUCAUUUAUGAAUGAAUAUAAGGGUACGCUCUAGCGCAUUCAUAAGCUGGAUAUGCAGAGAUACGGAAGAAGUCUUGUUCACCACACUACGUAUUAUAGAAUGAAGUUCACCAACCAUACGUGCUCGUUAUACGGAAAUCCAGAAUGAAACAAGCCUUCAGUCAUUAUCAGAUAGCUUUCACAGGGCUUCUUGCUAAAUCCAAAUUGACAUAGAGAGCGACCCAGGCGACGUAUCUUCGGUUUCAUCUUAUAGGCGGACUUUCAUUAAUCACCUUAUAGGCUUACUUUCAUCACUCCGGUUAAUAAACCACUAGAUGAAAACACACUUCUUCUUUGAAGGCUUUCAGCACCUUGCUUGCAUCAUAUCGUACAAAUAAGGCAUUAGAGAGCCGAGCCCUUUCUCUUCCUACAAAUAAGGCAUUAGAGAGCCGAGCCCUUUCUCUUCCAGCGGCGAAUAAAGGAAGCCAACUAUGCUUCCCUCUAACGAUAGGACUUGAAUCCGAGCUCCUAGACAAAAGCUUGAAGACAUUGAAAGUCAGCAUUUUAUGGAAUUCGAUUUCAUAGGAUCCAUCGCAAGCCAACAUUCUGGCAUGCUGGCAUAAGCUUGAGCGCGCAUGAUGCGUUGUUCAUACCAUUGAAGCUGCUGCCCUAACACACACACUUUUGGGUUUAUGCGCAGCGCCAAACAUGCUAAUGCACUCCCUGCUCCAUGUCACAUGCAACAUCAGGUCGUGGAAGCGUGGGCAAUUGGUGUGCGAUGCAACUGCCAAUGAUAUCUAAGACUGGAUUGAACUACUAUCUAUGCAUGUUGUGUACCAGAUUCUUAAGUAGCUAUAUCAAACAAUUCAGAAUGAAAGUGGAUUGUGUGGCUGUAAUGUCGCGGUUUUGCCAAUAGACCAUCAGCACAUCUCCGUUUUCGAACUACCAAGCAGCGUAUUCUUGCAAACAAGAGAGAGAUAGCCAGUCUUUUGAGCGGCAUCUUAAGGACCAACUUAGAUCCCAUCCUAAAAAAGAAGUAGGCUUAUCGCCUAUUCCUCUUAUUCCUAUUAAUCUAAUCGACUCAUCUCCCACAUCCCCCUACUUAUUUGUCUUUGCAAUCGUAACCCUAUUAUUGAUAGCUACGAAACAAAUAGAAUUCAGGGAGUGUACGACAAGCCAGAAGAAAGAACCAGCCCCAACUCAACCAUGCUGCCUCUCUUCCACUUAGAAAAAGACGAGGGAAAGACGAACAUCAGGAAAAGCUCCUAGAAAGAAGGAUCCCCGACUACACUCAUGACAGGGAGAAUCUGAACGAGUAGGUAAAGGUAUAUAUGCAUGCCUCUGACUCUUGUUCUGGUUAUUUAUAGUAUAAGAAGAGGUCGUAGUAGUAGCCUGACAACCGUGCUCUUUCUGUAGUAUUGGUCACCCUCCGAUCCCCAUGUCUUACCCGAAUCAAAGUUCCUGAACUGAGCUCACUGCCCUAGCCGUAUGACUACCCUUUGAUAGAAGGCCUAGGUUCCAAUCAAGCAGUGCCAGGAUGCUUAUUUCAGAAAUAGCAGCUUCUCUGGAUAAGGGCUUUAUUACAGUACAGGCAUCAACAUCAAAUCAAAAGCUAAUAAGCUUCGCUUCCUCAGGAUAAGGGCUACGGGCAUCAACAUCAAAUCAAAAGCGAAUAAAUAAGUAGUAGGCUUUAACCGGUUUCCGCCAAGCAGUGAAGGUACAUUUCUUUCAUAGAAUAUGGUAUGGUAAAUAAUAUGGUAUGGCAUUAUCGCUUAUAUUCCAAUGGUUUUUUCAUAUUGCUAGCUAUCCCCUAUAUCAUGCUCGGGCCCCUUCAUCCAUUGCUUAGCCUGUUGGAAUCUUAGAAUCAUCAAAAGAAAGGUCUUCCAUGGGCCGGAAGAACAAGAGUUGAUAGUUUGUUUUAAAGCCAGUAUAGUACCUAGGAAGGCUAUAAGAUGGAUUUCUUGCUAUGAGAGGGCUCCCAUCUAAGAGAUAUCUUGUUUCUAUCUGGGCAAAGAGGAAAGCAAUUGAGUAAAAGACAUCUUAGGAAACCAUUCCUUUCUCCUUUCUUUACAAGGAAUUCCUUCUAUCCGGCGCAUGAAUGACUCUUGCCCUAGGCCACACUUACCUAUCCAUGGAUAAGAAAGCAAGGCGCUUCAAGCCUUUUUCAGGUUACUGUACAAACUUCCAAAUGGUGGAGUGGAAUGAGAAAGAUUUUCUCUCUUGAUCCUGUAUGCCAAGUAUUCCACUAACACGAUACCCGAAGUAUAGAAAAUGAUGCAAAUCCAAGUAUUCCACUAACACGAUACUCAAAGUAUGGAAAUCCGCAAUAGAAGAGAAAGCCGCUGCCGUUGUAGAUCUACGAUCAGAGCAGAAAACAAGUCAAAGGAGACAGGACCUGAGAAACUAGUGAAGUUAGAGAAGACUUGAAAUGUAUUUACAGCUGGGCAGUAGCUCCCAAGGAGUAAGCAAGAGCAGCUCAAACCUGUCUGGAUUAGAGCCAGCAUGAAAGACCUCAAUCUAGAUCUAAAUCCCAGUAUGAAAGACCUCAAUCUAGAUCUCAAUCUAGUAUAGUAGUGUGUCGGAAGGGGCUUAUCAAUCACGUUGAGAGCAUCUUUCCAAUGAACGAGCCGGGCUUUGGAGUGUGAUCUCAUAUUAAACCCUCUCCCGUUACUGAAAUAUCCUAUACUAACCUAUAAACGUCAAUUCGAAAAUUCCAUUAUUCAAGCUUAACUCGACCAGGAACAGUCAAUUCUUAUGUUUACUUGCUAUAUUCCUACUCAAAAGGAAAAGCACUUUAUUCUGCUUGCUUCCUCACCAGAUCCUGCUGGAACUACACUUGAACAAGGAAUUCUUCAAUGGCUUUCAACAACUAACUCUUUUCCGGGUCCUGGACUUGAUACUUUACUUGCUUCCUUCACCUGAGGAUUCUCUUAUAGAUUCCACUCGAACAGGCCAAGUCACUUAGAAACUACUAGACAAGUCGACAAGAACUGGAAUGGCUUCCCUUGCAUACUCGCUUGUUCACCGAACCUCCAAUAAUUAUGUUUGUUGACUUGACUCUGUGUUCUCUGCUUUAGUACAGUAGUCCAUAUAGUAUUUAGCACAUUAUUUAUAGAGUAAGUCGGGACGGAAGGAAAAAGAGAAGGUUUUGUUUAGAGCCAGGAGAGGAUAUGGGUGUGUGCUAAUGAAAUCCGCUUGGACCACUACUUUCAGGGGCCUGUGAACAAGCCCUUCCUUACCGCGCACUGUAGAUGAUCCUUAUGAAUCUACAUCUACUGCUGGAACUAUACCAUUAAUUGCCCUAGUUGAAAAGAGGCACCCCGGAAAGGAAAGUAAUUCGCUAACAGAACUCCAAAGCUCGGAAAGGAAAAGAAGAGAAUAUCUGCCCGCUCAAGUACACAACAGAACAAAGGCAAUAGGACAAGUAGUUAGGUAGCUUCAAGAACAAGUAAGUCCAGUAUUAUAGGCUAACAAUUCAUUUGUUGAGCCGAUAAGGGAGUUUGAUAGGGUGUGUGUGUGAUUGUCUACUUAAGUUUAGAAUUAGGAAUAGAAAUCAAGUGACCACCUCUUAUAGAAGAAAGUAAACAACAAGCGGUUCCGCAAGUAGAGUUCCUGUGCCAGUGAAAUCUCAGUCUUCAAGUUGGUGCUAGUUUCAUCUCCUAUCGAAUCUCAUGCCCACGUAAGAGGUUUUUGUCUACAGCUUGAGAAUAAGCUGCAUUAGGGUUAUAAGCUGGAUCUGGUGAGGAAGUCGUUUCAAGGUGUUCUGUUCUUGUUAAGUCGACUCAAUAAUCAGCAUCUGCUGGAUCAGUAUCAGAAGAUGGAGACAGAAAUGAAGCUGGAUCACUGAGUAUAAAGCAUAAACGGGAUAAGGAUCUGGCUUUGAUGCUAGGUAUGAGCCUGGUUUGGAAUGGCACUUAUUAACACUGGUCCGAGUCGUCUAAUUGAAGCAAGGUGAAGUAUAGAAUGUCCUGUUCUGCCAGUUAGAGUAGUAGAUUCAAAGGCAUAAGACUGAUCUUAAGCUGCAAGUAGUUCUGGAGCAGAAGACAAAAAACGAAUAUAGAAAGAAAGCAGGAGCAAGGAUAUAAGCAGUUCAAUUAUCAGCAGCAGCAAUCAAUUAAUCACUUCAAGUGUAGUUCGACAGUAAGGUGUUACUUCUUUAUAUGAUCAGUACACUCAAUGAGAUUCCUUUGACUCUCUAGAAUAGAAUAAGGUCAAAAAGAUUAUUUGAGAGUGCACAACUCAUGUAAUAGGGUAACAACCCUGCAAAACUUACUGAUUCCAAAAAGUAACUGACUUUUAUAGUAAGGGAAGCCAAAGUCUAUUAUCAAUAGAUCCACUUUAUCGAUGCUUUGAAUAGAUAGCUAUCUUUCGUACUAAAUGAACUCUCUUUCUACUGCGCUAGUAAAUAGGAUCCCUUUUCUUUUCCCUUCCUUAGAGUGCGGACACGUUUUCCCAAAUAAAGGAGAGUGAGCCAUCCCUUCCCUUUUAGAUGGGCCUUCUCACAUAAUAGUCUCUUUUGCAAAGGUAACUCGACAACUUCCUAACUAAGCUUUUUGGAAAGUCAAGACAAAGGAUUGUAAAAGAGCCGUAUUAUUUCUCAUAGCUAUAUUCAAAAGAUUCUGUUAAUUGAUUAUAGCCUAACAUAGAAAAUUGUAAGAUGGUGACUGCUUACUUGAAGAGAGAGAGUGCAAAUCCCUACGAGUUCCCAUUUCCACAAGUCAAACAGUAAAGAAUGAAUUGGUAAUCACUAAAGGCAUUACAGUCACUCUUUCUGUUUUAUACCAAAGAAUGGGAAAGAAAUCAUAGUAACCGAUCUUUAUCGCCCAUCUUAGGAAUUGCAGGUAAUCUCAGAUCUGGAAGGGCCCUUUCUCGAUUCGCAAAAGAUAUCCUUUCAAACGUCUUAUAAAGGAAUUGCUCUCCCAUGUAAACUAGUCCUAAUAGGGGAAGUCUGCAUUUGAUAGUGUUGCUGGCUUGUUCCUCCGACAAGAGAGGAGAGAGCAGCGCUUACUGACUCGAUCUCUAUCGCCGGGAUGAAAGGCUAAUUUCCUCAAGAGUCAUCUUGUCUUCCCGAGUCAGAAAAUGACCUUAUUCAAUUAAUCGUCUCGGCCUCGACCUAACGAGUUCACUUCCUUACCUGAAUUCACCUUCCACUCCUUUUGUCUUUGAAUCAAUUACUGGGACAGGGGACUUUUGUCUUAGAAUCAAUUACUGGGGGAGUUUCAGGGUAAUUCAUUCAUCUUAUCUUCUCAGCUAAGGACUUUCUUCUCCAUUUAUGCCUAUCCUAAUUGAAAAGCCCAGGUUCGUAGAGACCUGCCAUACCAAUCCCACCUCCGACUCUAUUCCCGUAGUAGCUUGUCUUAUUGAGUUCCUUUAGCUCCUUGUCUAAGAAGGUUGAUACUCAGAAUUGUCCUGCCCAGCUUCUAACGUACACCUAGGCUUAAAGUCAAACUGCAGGCUCCUGCCGCGCUUUUAGCUCACUUUGCUAUCAGCCAAGGAACUACAUGACAAGUUUCACUCCCAACUCAGGUAUUUCAAAGAACUCCUAACUCAGGUGCCUAGCUGAUGGAUAUUCCAGUUUCGAGUCUUGGGAGGUGUCUCCUCAAUCCAUUCUUCCCGGGUUUACAGCCCAAACUAGUGGUAGUCCAGGGCGUUACUUCUCUACAAGGAAAGUAUUAGAAAUAAGUAAGCAGUAAUAGAAUCCUCAGUUCCAGUUGUUGUCAGUUGCCCUUACUUAUAACGGGAUAAUUGCCUGUGAAAGUUCCUAAGUUAGGGGUUAAGGCGUGGGAAGUUCUGCUCUUGUUGUUGGCUUUUGGGAAGAAUCAAUUCCUUCUGAUGCUAAUUCGGGGAAGAAUAAAGUACCGGCUUUGAUUGUUCGGUAAAGUCAAGUAUCAAGUUAGGGUCGAGUUCAGGGCAGUGUAAUCCUUUGUUUCAUCCAGUCUCCUAUCGAAGUGGAGAGAGUUAAUAUGUGAGCAACUGCAGGAGUGCUAGGCUUUCAGCACCUAGUGCUACUCUCUGCUAACUUCAUGAGGCUUAUGUAACUCUUGCAACUCAUCAAUUCGAAUUUCACAGGGCAUGACCCAUCUUCCGUGCCUAGUUAAAGAAUGAGAAUCAACCUCAGUAGUCCAGUAUUGCAUUAAAGAAUUUCUGUGGUUGUAGACCGGCUUAAUAGUAAGAGCCCAAACCCUUCUUUUGAGUCCUGAGUUAACCUGUGUUCUAGUAACGCGGCAGGAGCUCAUUGAUUGAAGUCAAACACCCUCGACUCUGCUUUCUGUGCCUUUGCAAAAGAACUCCCUUUAGCCAUUAAUACCAAAAACAGGAAAAGAACCUGGUAGCCACUAACGCACUUAAUCUAAUGCUGACGAAGAAAGGACUCGCUCAUAAGUAGUUGAGCAGAUUAUGAAAUGGCUUUUUCCCUUGGCAGAAUCAAGAUCGGGGGAUCAAAGGAAGAAUUCAUAAGUGCGGCAAGUAUCACCGGACUCGCACCCAACAUAUGAAGUAGACCUAGACCUUUACGCCACAGUACUAUCGGUCUGAAGACUAUCACUUCACUCUCACAGUACUACCGAAGUUUGACAUCUUCUAUGACACGCCUACCCAUACCCCCAAAAGUCAGUAAUCACCCAGUAAGUAAACAAGCUCACCCUACCCAACCAAGUCAUAAGUGAGUUUUGAAGCUAAAGGGGAGUCUGGUGCAAGCGGGUGCGGGUCUUAAAGUGAAUGAUCAUCUGCUGUCCUUGUAAAGGAGACUAUAAAGACUUGCUCAUAGCAACGUGACUUUAGCUCCUCUAUCUUAUCUUUAGCUCCUCUUGUUCCACGCCCAGGUAAGAAAGAAGUCAGACUUCGGAUCGGAGGAAACAGAAUCAGUCUUGUGCCACGUCCAGGUAAGAGAGAAGAAGGUAGUCCAGGUAAGAGAGAAGAAGGUAAGGUAACACAGUAGAGUGCUCUAAACAACAAAUACAGAUUCCACUGGGUAUUCCACUAUCACUUCUAUUUCAGAACCAACACAAUCAUCACGAAAAGAGACUUCAACUUAGUACUCGCACAAUAACUCCACUACUUUGAGCUUCUGCUAACGACUUAACCGCUUAACCUAGACUUGGUUUGGUUGGGCAUUGGCAUUCGGCUUACUUAUGACUUAUAAGAUGCAAAAUUCGAACUUAUGAUUCUGUUGCGAGAAUGCACAUCGCAUCUAAGGGUUUCUCUAAUUACCCAAUUAUUCUAUACAAGAGCGUAACAUUGUUUGUUUCAACAAAUACAACAUGGAAUUUCUCGAGCGUAGAAGCGAAAUCAGAAGAUCGGAUUGCUGCUGACAAAUGAACUGCGACACUCGCACCCGACCCAAAGCAAAGAGACUUUCACACUAUCCCCGCGUAGCCACUAACCUUUCUUGGAUACAACACUGUCAACUGUAAACCGUCCGUAGCAAGUGCUGUCUUCAUCGGGGGAGCAGAGCAGGGAGUGCCUUAUAAGUUCAAGUCAGAAUAAGUUCUAUAUUAAGUAAAAGAAAGAAGCUAUAGCGGGACAAGAAAAGAAGUUCCAUUGAAAACAAACCCUGAGGUGUGUUUCUCAGUUCCAGAGGUCUUAUCGCUCAUUACUUCGGGCUUAAGAAAGCUUAUUCGAGUCGUUCUAUGUUCUUAGUAGCUAAUAGCAGCAAAUCAACCAUUGGGGUACCCACUAAUAACUCGCUAAUGCCGAGUAAACUCAAAAGCGCCUUGUAAACCAACCUGGGCAGGAAUCCUUCUUUCGAGCGGUCAGGUCAACUCUCAACUCCCUUCCCGUAAGCACCGACCGAGUAAAGUUCCAUAGUAAAAACCAGUAAUUCAACUUGCUUGCGCAUAAGGCAGAGGAUCCAAUAGCAGGGGGAGAAGCUAAGAUUUUAGCACAUAAACAGGAUUUUCUCUUAGUGAAGAAAAGCCGUAUCAGAAGAUUUGAGUCAUGAAGCAGAACUCCCGAAAACACAACUUGCGAGCACAUAGAAUCAAGUAAAGUGUCGCGAACAGAAAGAUACUAAUAUGUUGCUGCUGUCUUGCACCUAAGCAUUCUGAAUUCAAUUGACAUAGGAUUAUCGUCGCCCUUUCUUUUCUACAGCAUCCUCUUUGGUCGCUAACACCCGGAUGAAACUAAAACGGAAAUAGGACAUUCUGCUACUUUUGAUCCUUUGCAAACCUUCUGAUCUUAGCGCCAACCCCCGAUCUUAGCAUCGUUGCUUCCUCACUCCUUUCUUUAUACUCUACAGCUUACUUGCACACUUAUUCAAACUUGAUACUUUACUCUUCGUGAAGGAGAGUUCGGGGAAUCAUAAAGUACUGUCUUUGGGGGAAAGAUCUUCAGCAGUAGAAACUGGAUUAGAAAGCUGUUCGCAACUACUAUGAGAGUUAAGGUCGGCACUAAGAGAAAGAGGUAUUUCUUAGUGUAGUAAAGGAGUUCAAGAGUGAGUAAGGGAGUUCAUGAAGUAUAUAUUAGUAAGAGACUGCCUACAGAGAGCUAUGUAUUAGUAAGAGACUGCCUACAGCGAGCUAUGUAUUAGUUUAGCCCUACCCUAGUGAAAGAGUGAGUAAUUGAAGGUUGUAGUGAGUGACUGAACACUGGAAAAACAAGUAUUUGUAAUAGAAGACAAAGGCAAAGUAGGUAUUCUUAGGCAAAGUCAGAGUUUCACGUCUAUAAGAAUCCAAAUAAGAAGCCCAAGCCUUACUACUUAGCUUCGAACUUACAUUCCUACUCUUGAGUCUGACUUGACUGUCUUCUAGCCUUACUCUCCUGACUUUGGUUCUUUCGCUACUGCUUCUCAGACUUUACCAUGGCCCCGACGGGCUACUCCUCUGGAAACCGGUAAUUAAUCUAAUAAGAACAGAACUCGGGCAUCACACUCGAUAUUACUAUCCGACCCGAUAAGACUUGGUUUACUGAACCUAAAGCUGACUUGCCCUACCAGCAAACUCACACCGCUAUCAAUAUUUUUUACUAAAAGAGACUUCAGCUGUAACUGACAAGGCUGCUACCAAUGCCAAUUACACUUUAACUGGAAACUCGUUCUUUAGCUACUGAACUCGAAUCCUGCUUGCUAGCUUAAGUCUACUACAAAUUAGCUACAUACUAAUUCUCCAGUUUCUGUAUGAUAAGACUUUCCCUACUGCUAAUAGGAAUGCGCGCCCAGUGCUUCUCGUACUUUCUCUUAAUAUACAGAAAGAAAUGACAACUGCAAGGACUUAAACAAGGAAUAUGAACACCGAUCAAAAGAAUGGAAUAAAGAAUAUAAAGACUGCUGAUGAGACUGCCCUUAAACACGAACCACCUCUAUGAAACUGAGACCUUUGCUAACAGGAAUGGAACAGGCGACUAUGAAUCCUACUAACGACUAUGAGCCUCACUAACUACCCUUUAUAGAUCGGCCUUACCUUGAACUCUGCCCUUAACGACUAUACGUCCUUGCUUGCUCCCCACACGCCUAGGGAUUAGCUUCAAACUGGUGCUCCUAUUAAUUCCACUUAUACUAUUGUUGGAAAAUAAUAUGAAUUGAGCUAGCAACUGGGAAUGCGACAACUUCCUAUGAUACUGAUCGGGGUUACCCAGACCAAUACUGCUACUGAUGAGAAUGGAUUCUAUUAUUCAAUAACACUUAACUAACUAAUAGGAGUUGAACCACUGCUGACAAGGCUGCCCCUCCUUACUACUAUUCUGACUUCACUUGUUUUGAAACACCCCUAUAGAGCUCUGUCUUCGAACUAAUGCCUUUCCCUCUUUCACUAAUGCUUAGGAGCCUGCCCUGGCUUACUUGAACUCCUUAACUGCUGAUCUAAACACUACAUCGGAUCUAGCUUAAAACAACCUCUCCUUGUUUAGAGCCUUUGCAGUUUGGAAUCAGAUUAACUUCCUUCGAGUCUUGUUUGCGAGCUCGAGCUUAGUUUAAGUCUACCUUGCCUUCACAAGAAGAGAGCCUUACUUGACUGACUUUCAAACUGUAUCUAUGCUUUCACUUACUAUACCACCGGAAUGAACCCAAUACUAAGAAUAAUGAGUGCAUAACUGCAGAAUCCAAAAACCAUAUAGUGAAGAAAACUGCUGCUAACAAUAAUGAAACAAAGAAAUAGGGAUCCCAUUCUAUGCGGGUAAGCCUGCUAAUGCUAACAUGAGAAUGAAACCACUGGGAGCAGGAUGAAACCGCCAAGCAACGACUAGACAAGUACAGGAACAGACCCGCUUGCUUCUACUACUGAUUCCACUAGAAGAGAAUUGGUCAUAGCCUGACUUUAACUACUUAGUAGCCCUAGAUGCAGGCCUGGGCCAAACUGACAAGAAGAAAGGUAGGCAGGGAUAAGGCCAGAAUACAGAACUUGCUAGCGGCCAAGCGACUACUUCUCUAUUGACUCAUCGCUUAACACAAGCACUUAAUCCUCUCCUCUUCUUGGACACCGAACCUAUAUUUCCGUUGAAGAAGGAUAGUCUAGUUCUGGGAAAAAUAAGAUAGUACAGACGUUGCUGUUGCUGUUAGGGGAAGAAAAGAAUCUAGUACAGGCCUAACUGAAGAAGCUGCUCGAAAGCAUGUUUCAAGUGUAGUUUCAGUUGACAGAUCAGGAUCCGUUCUCAAGUAAGCAGCAAUCGGGUCAGAAAGGAUAGGUGGGGGUUGCUAACAGAGUUUGCUUGUCGUUAGCGAGUUUAUACCCUAUUUACAGAAGGGAUAGGGAUUCAGUGUCUAUGACAGGAAUAUAACACCGGCAAUUGUGGCUUCAGCGCAAGAAAGAUGGCCUGCGGUUUUAGUUUCAAGAGCGGGAAUCCUCAUUGUCGACUGGUUCAGAGUUGUUCAAUUCUUUGCGCUAACGGAGAAGGGAGUUGCUCUAGUUUCAUUCGUUGUCGGUUCAUCAAUCUCUGUUUGAUAAGAAGCCUCAUCUCAUGCCCACUCAGCAGUUAAGCGGUGACGAGUAUCUUUAUGUUUGACUUUCCCCUGCGCUCGAAAGGAAAGAUGAAAUAGCUGGGAAUAUUCACUUCUUUAUAUACAAGAGGCGUAGAGCAAGUAAAGGUUGGUUUCCAAGUCCAGUUUCCGUUAACGAGAGCUCAAUAGAGAUUCAUUUACUGUUUGACAAGGCCCAACAAGACUAAGUAGAGAGGAAAGAGAUUCAGUUCAGGGAAGAAUAGAGUGAAAGGCAGGGUAUUUACUGGGUUUCUAUACCAGUGCUAAGUAAGAGCUAUAUUCCAUUUCUCUUCUUUUCUUUUGAGUUUGGUUCGCACAUUCAGAAUAGUGUUCGUACUCUUUAUAAACGGAUUCUUCACUCAAUCAACUCCCUUGUUGGACUUGCUCUUAGAGCUACCUACGCUCUUUCGUUCUUUUUCUUUGUUUGACUCGGUCCUCGGCCCAACUAGUCCUGUGGUUUCGGGAGCUCUGUGCUCUCAAUCAGAAGUGAAAGCCUGAAACUCAGAAGAAGGGUUUCUGCUACUUAAUAGGCGUGGUGUCAUAUAGGGUUUCUGCUACUUCAUAGGCCUGCUACUUCAUAGGCAUGGGUAGGGGAGAAGGAUCACUAUCACUUUCUAUAGGAUUGUUUAACAAGCACAGCUUCCAAAGAUUCAAUUAGGUCCGCUCGUAGGCAGUGCGGGUGCAGUCGCUAACUGAGUUCUCUUUAAAUCAUGGCAGGGAUUCUUUGUCCGGAGUUCGCCUGUCCGGGGAAACAUCAGAAUUGGCUCGGUAAAGAAUGGAGCAGCCCCCUUAUAGUACUGGUUGGUUAAGAGAACUGGAUUGAUUUCUUAGUGCUAGUGGAUGUACUGGAUUUCUGGAUUGAUUUAUUAAUAUCAAUAUUUCUGGAUUGAUUUCUAUAUAUUAAGUUCUUGCCUCCAGAUCAUCUAACUCGCCAAGUCACCACUAAUCUUCUGUUGAUUCUACCCGACCAGUACAUUCCUUCCCUCCAAGCCGAGUCAACUAACCGAGGAAACUUCCUUGACCCGAACAGAGUCCAAAUAACCAUUCAAAUAAGUAAUAAGACCUAACCGAGUCAACUACUCUUUUUGGCAUUUGAGAAAGGGUUUAACAGAGCCGAAAGAAAGAAGGGUGGGUAAGUUGGAAAGUAAGCUUAGAUAAGAAAGUCGUUUGCUUAGAUAAAGAAGAAAGUACGCGCAGGAGAGUUUUCCCCCUGUGGUGAAUAAGUGGAUUUCUUUCAAGCCCUUAAGUAAUUGAAGCCCCUCUGCCUGCUACUUCAGGAAUAGUGUGUUUUGCAAUAAAAGCUGGAUUAGAGGCAAGAACAUAAUUGAUAUUAAUAAAGAAAGAAAUACAGAAGUAUGCUAUGGCUCCCGAGCAACCAAGACACGGGUUAUAUCUCUAAACUGACCUUAAAGAGCUAUACCUACCAACUUACCUUCCCGAACAACAAUACCUAUAAUUCUGAUUUGCCAUUGAGAACCUAUAUCCCGAACUCCGUCUUCGGGCGAAACAACAUGCAUUGGGCUCCGUCUUCUGUCGGUGUUGCGCACACAAUCAUUCUUCGGGCAACGUAGCUCAUUCAGAGCAAGACCAUAUACCUCAUGCAUCACAGGGCCGGGCAACAGAUCGAAGGGGUACGGGCAACUGCAACAAUAAAGCAAGGUCAGCGUCAGCUGCUGGCUCAUUCAGUAAGUGGAACCGUUCAUUCUUCAAGUAGGUUCACUAACUCUCUAACUAACAGAACUCAUUCCUGAAAUCACAUAGCUCAGUCUCCAAGCAACAUAACUCAUUCUGUAAGCUACCAUUCAAUCAGUCAUCGUGGUGCGGACGAGCAACAACAAUAACCCCGGUCGGGUAUUCAUUCUUCAAGUAAGUACCAUAGCUCGUUCUUGUAGCGGAACCACUAAUUCAUGGGGGUGCGAUCAACUGGUCGAGGUGCCCGACACUAAGUCUAUGAGCGGUAAUUCACUUAUUCAGAGGAGGUAGUCGAACGAACCACUAAUUCUGUGUGUGAGCGACCAUUCACUCAGUAUAUUAGCGUCCAUGCAACCACAAAGGCUUUGAGCAAUAUAACUCAUUCUGGAAUGGAAUCUUUCUUAUAAUCCAAAAUGGAACUAGUAAGUAGCGGACCUACACUAAGAAGUGGGCCUGCCCUUCCCUAUCUCAUAUCUGUUUACUUCCUCCCUGCUACUAGGCCUGUUCCUGACAUUCCACCAAGUAACGAUACCAAACUUUCACUUGACUCACUCUAUGACUCCCGCCUUCAAUGCUUUAGUUCGCCCUGGCAUUCUGACUAUCUUUUCUCUAAUUCCCGUAGUUGCACCUUGCAUUCAUAUCCGUUGCUUGAGCCCGACUUAGGGUAUUCUUUUCGCGUAUAUUUCUGCUUUUGUUUACUUGUAUUGAUAUGUAUUGAUAAUGUGUUUUAUCAUAUUCUAUUUGAUUCGAAUUAAUUAGUUGGUUUCUUAGCGUAAUGUCCAGUAGUUUGCUUAGCGUAGUCAAAUAACAAAAGAAUAUACCAUCCAAAUAGCUUCCAUUUUCCUUCCUUGUUGAAUAUCAGCACUAGCACCCCGGAAAGUCCGCAUUAUUGAGGGCUAGUUGCUCUGCAUCGGCGAAAUAUCCAGUCAGGGCGUAAUAAGGCGUUAGGAGUUUCAAGUGUUUGUUAGUGAGUUUCAGUCUUCCUAUGAUUCCGGCAGGGUGUAGCUCAAAGUAGUGGAGUCCAAAGUUCUAGUAGAGAUAAUAAGAGGUGAAAAGCUUUACCUUUGCUUUGUUAGUGUAGUGCUUGUGCUUCCGCGCUCGACUCGAUAGAUUCAAUAAAGUUUGCUCCCGCAAUCAGAUCUGAAUGACUAAAAGAAGUCACUAUUCUUCCUUUUCGACUUGAAUCCUUAUUUCGAGCACAAGGUAUAGAGUGGAGUAAAGCGCUUCCCCUUCUCUUCUGAUCGGCUCGGCCUGGCUUCCCUUUGGAAUUGAACGGACACAAAGAAAUAAUAAUGUGUUAUUGCGCUCCUUAACCGAGACUUGGGCAUUCAUUUGAUUCUAGAUGGAUGAUCUGAGGCUUCUUAUCCGUAUGUAAGAUUUAAUACCUUUCAGAGCCAACACUCGAUUCUGAUUCUUUCUCUGAGAAACUCCACUUAGUCUUCUUGCGCCUAGGAAAACUGUCAUUUCAUCAUUGAGUUGACCCUUGAAUUGAACUGAACCGCAGAAAUCUAUUUAGAACCUAGAGCAGCUGGGAACUUCAGAACCCCAGAACCCCUGCGCUAAUACUACUAGCUCGGUGAAGCUGUCAACCCUUCCUAUGCCAUUCGAAAGUCAACCCUUCCUAUGCCAUUCGAAAUAAGAUGAAGUGAGUCCGUCCUUCUGUGGCAUUGGAAAUUCUCUUACUGUGGCAUUGGAAUUCUCUUAUGUUUUUGAUUCCUUCUGUGGCAUUGGAAAUUAGCUUAGAUUUAUGAUUCCUUAUUGCUUAUGCUGUAAAAUCCCCCAGAAUACCCCUAUGCAUACGUGGUUCUGAGAUACCCAUGGAGAAGCACAUUACAGUACAUGUAUGCUUCUAGCUGGAAUCUUCUUCCAAAUGAUAGGCGCAUAUGGACUUCUUCGGAUCAAUAUGGAAUUAUGACCCCGUGCUCACACACACUCUCUCUAGAUUUUCUCCCAAUCACCCCGUGCUCACACACACUCUCUCUAGAUUUUCUCCGCAGUAGAGAACGAUUCAAAUAAUCUAUGCCCUUUCUUCGGUCAACAGAAUGGAAAGAUGCAAAAUAACAUCUAUGCUACUUCCACCUUUCUUCGGUCAACGGAAUUGAAAUAAGAGAAUAGCACCUAUAUUCCUCUCUACGGUGUUACAUUUGGAAAAUACUAUGAAAUGGAUUUCUUGGUGCAUCUAAGUUUGAUUCUUUUCGGUCAGGAGUAAGGAGCUGGGAUCCGCAGUUCUAGUCAGUUUGCCCGUUGCGGGAUUCCUUCUAUUAUUGAUUGGAUUCUGGUGGCAUAACCUAUGCUUUUGAAUGGAAUUAUCGUAGUAUAACCUAUCCGUUCCUUGGCCGGUAUUCAAUCAAGAAAGAAAGGGCUGUUGGCUCAUUCUGAAAAUAGGGUCACUCAGUCUUUUAGUAACAUAAAGAAGUCUGUGGAUUACGUUGCAAGGUAGGUUAACUCAUUCUUUGGGCAUGGUCACUAACUCUCCAAAUUGGAUAACUCAUUCCGCAGGCAACCAUGAAAUCUGUCAUCGUGGUACGAGCAACUGGGCGACAUCGGACGUGCAUCGAAGGUUGGUGCAUCGAAGGUUGGUGCACAGAGGGUUGGUACAAGGAGGUAAUUUACUGUAAAGGCAGGCUAAGAGACAGCAGUGGUAGGCCUACAGUUAGUUUAGUGGAAUUCUUGUUAGGCUUCGGUUCUAUUAGUGUCCUCUCCAGUUCCAUUCGAUUCUUCCCAUAUGAUAAAACAUAGUAUCAAUAUAAAUAUCAGUAUAAGUGAAAAGGGGCAACUAGCCAAAGAAUAAUAGAUAGGAAAGGCAGUAAGCAAGGAAUAUGGAUCGGACCGGUAGUUAUAGCAUAUAAGUAAGCCGAGGAAGAACGAAGCUAGCGAGUAGCAGAACGGCCCCGCCUUUCCGUGCCUCAAAUCUGAUUACCUUGACUUUCAAUCUUGCUUUGCUUCACUUUAGCGAAAACUGUCCCUGCUCCUUACUUAUCCAUACUGACCUUGCUCCUACUGUACCAUUCUUUAGAUACUGAUACGGUUCACCUUUUCUUCUUCUACUAAUAGCUAUCAGAUCGAAACCACUGCCUGCCUGUCCUACUAUUGAGUGCAACGACAACUACUUAACUACUAAUAUCAGAAUUGGGCUCAGUAGCACGCACAGGCCACCCCCUCGCCAUUAAGCGUAUAAAAAAGAGUGAGUUUACUAAGCAAUAACGGGAAUCAAACAAGUAAGUCAAAUAAUGAGAUUGGAACAAAGGAAUUAGCAUUAAGAAGGAGAACCUCCGAAAAGCGGAAUGAAUGAGCUACCCGACGCAGACUUGUUGAUGUUAUUUAAAGAAUGGGCUAUGCUCCUCGAAGACUAAGUACUCGAAGCUCCUUAGUAGAAUGAAACACAUAAGUCACGAAUGCUACUACUAAUAUAAGAAAACAACUCAGUAGCAGAGUAACCCUAACACAAGUCCGAACGAUACUUACUACUUAAUAGACAGCUUUAGACUGCCCGCCCCUACUUUGACUCUGGAACUGCUCCCAACAACUCGGGACCCGCUCUUAAACUCAGCUACUACUGAUAAAGACCCUGGCUCUCAACUCGUUCUUUACCGGGGUUCAAACUUACCUCCCGGGCCCUAACUCUAACCUGCAUUCUUGUAUACUCACUUUGGAUCCUUACUUAUUAGUUUGAGUCUCGCAUUCCUUGCCCCCAAUCUUGAUAUUCCUUUCUAUAAGCCUGUAACUCCGUUAAGUCCUAUAGUAAUUAAUUGAAUUCAUUAUUACAAGAGAAAGUAUUAGUUCCCGGUGAGACAUUCUCAUCAGUAAUAGCAAAAUUCCUUAUUCACUGUUUCAUUAUUAUUAUUUCUGUUAUGAUAUUGUAUUUCUUCUUUCUAUUUCCUUAGCUAAAUCAGGUUCAAAAGGGUCAUUCUUUUCUAUUUUGAUGAUAGCUGGUUUCCCAGUUUGAAGUUAACUGAUCUAUUAUUUGAAACUGAAUGAAACUAAUACGGAUAAAACCACUGCUACGUCGACUAAUAGGAAUACCGCUCAUAAUAAAGAAUCUAUCUCCGAGGUCUAAGGCAAAAACACAUGAUUAGUCAUUUCAUAAUGAAACUCGGAACCAUUAACUUACCCAUUCAAAACCGGGCGCCUCGUCCAGUUGCUCGCCACCUCCAUGAAUGUACCAACGGUCCACGAAGACUAAGUUAAUUACGCCCGAAGACCGAGCGAAGUACCUCCUAGGCCCCUCGACCAGUUGAUCACACCUCGAUGAAUGACCCCGGAUACUUUACUGAGUGAAUGACCGAUCAAAGAGUUUGUUAUAUUACUUUACUGGGGAAUUUCAUAUAAUUAGUCCCUUGCCGAGUAGGUAUAGAUAUGGUUACGUUCGUUGACGUCAAUACCAAAACGCUAAUCAACAGAAGGUCCGCUCAGAGAAUGAUUGGUCCCAUGGGGCUCUAGGAUAGAUGUGUUUCUCCCGUGGCGGUAGGUGUGCUUGCUCUGGUGCUCGUUCAGUCGCAUCUCUCUUCUCAGUAUUCUUAGUGAAGCUCAUUGCUCUACCAAUAGUGCUUAUCUAUUAUCUUCUCAUAAUAGUAGCAUGUGUUUUCGUAUAGUAAUUCCACCCACCUGUUAUUUGAUUAGAGUAUUUCCAUUAGUUUGAUUCUUAUUAGCGGUGGUUCCAUUGGCAUCUCCCUAACUCUGAUUCUUAUCCAUAAUAAAUACGAUUUCUUUGGUUGACUCUUUCCGGCAGUAGUUAGAAAGCCCUAAAAGCGUUAGUGCAAGCCUGUUUGUCAGUAAAGUCAGUCCGAUUCCGCCAUUACUAUCUGGAAUUCUUGACUUCUAUUAUGGGACUUAUGGGUCUUACAGUGUUAGUCUACCUAUCCGCUUUACCACUUGCCCCCACAAGCCUGUCCUGACUUGACUCACUUGAAGGAUGCAGCGCAGGGCUCUGACUCUUCAAACUUAUUAGAACUAACAGAAUAGACCUACUGAAUGGACCUAAUACUACUCUGGAGCUAACCCCUACUUAGACACCGAGUCACGACUAAUGAUGACGAUCCUUCGGCCACUAAUGACUUUCAUUCCUUUAUUUACUACAUAACGUUCUUGGUGAUCUACUUUUGAUUCUUUGUUUGACCAUUAUACGCCCGCCGCCGCUGCAAUCAAAUCUAACUCCGGAGAUGAUAGGGAUGACCCACGAACCUUACUUCUAAUAUGUAGGAGCAAGAGCCUUACUCGCCAGUGGACCAAUAGCAGUAUCUCUUUCUGAAAUAACAAACUAGAAAUACCCAUACGGAUCUUUGCCUUUAAACCAACAACCCUACCCUAUCCUACGGCAAAGAAGCCAACAGCUACUGAUAGGAAUGGAACCCGGGCUAGGCUAGCAAGAAAAGAACUAGUGCUACCAAGAAUAUAUACUUAAUUAAGUGUGGGGCUAUCUGGAAUCCCACUCUACACUCUUAGACUCGAACCAAAGCUUUUCAUACUGGAAAUUAAUACCAACAGGGCUUUCACUACAACCCUCCCUCGACCCAAUACCUAGUAAAAGAAUAGGGGAUAGGCAAUGCAAACUCAAAGCGGGAGCGGAGUGUCAUUUCAACGUUCCAGUAUUGUCCGUAGGGGUUUGAUUCUGACCAUCAGUGGUAAGAGCCUUACUUGCCUGCUUUAUUUGACCUUUUCUUGUGCCUCCCUCCGCGAUAUAUCAGAUACCUGUGGCUGCUAAUAGGAAUGACCCCUAACAACCGGGGAAUCAACUAAUGCCCACCCAGAACAAAACUACUAUAAAACAGGCUCGAGCUACAGCUUCUUCCACUUUCAUUACCGAACCUAAUUCCUAUUCGCUUGCUUGAGUCACCAGCCUCUCGCCACUGGAUAAGUCUUCUCAUAAUAAUAACUCUCGUUCUGACUUUAUUUACCGUAACUAAGGCUUUGCGCCCCUUACUUGCACUCUGUAGCUACUGACUUGGAUUAUGACUUUACUUGUUUUGAAACGGAGUCUAUUCUUUGACUCUUCUAACUUAUAUAGAGGUACAUGAUCCUAGCGAUAGGGAGCUAUAGAACCAAGCUUACGGAUAACAGACAAGUAACUACAUUCUCAUUUCUUUUUCCAUGUCUCCUACUUCUAAUACUGGAAAUCGAUACUAGGGCUUUCAACUACUAUGGACAAAGCUGCUACUCCAUAAUUGAAGUCUGAUUCCUCUGAUAACAAAAGCCGUAUGCUCCCCCCCCAAACGAGUACUUCCACCACGGAUGUAAAACCUGGCUCUACUGUAUCUUAGACUAUAUCUCCUUGCUACAGAACCUAAACUAGAAAGUCAAAGGAUGAAAACACUGCUAACAGGGCUUUCACUACAACCCUCGGAUCUAACAACCAUUCUAAGACAGCAAUAAAAGGACUCGAUUCUCUGCUUUGAGUUAUCUUAUUGUUAGUAGCGAUAUAAGCCCUGUCAGUAAUAGACGCAUUCCUGUUAGCGUCGGUUCCAUUUCUUUUCUCAUUAGUAGUUUUCUAUCUCCCUAUGCGCUAUAUGAUACCUUAUCCGGUUGCUCCCUUUUCGAUUCUAUUUGUAGUUUUCUCUAAGGGCGGUAGUUCUUUAAAAAGAUGGAUAUGUGAGUGACAAAACCCAUUAUAGUAGAAGUUCACUGAAUACUGAAUUAGUGAAAGGGAAAUGUAGAAUGAAGCAAGUAAUUGAAGAGUGAGAGAAAGGAACGACAGAGUUGACCAAAGAGGGGAAGGCUAAGAGAAAAAGUAAUAAAGAGCAGGCUACGAUGUGGUAAAGCAAAGCUCAGGUUGAGUUCAGUAGGGAAAGAGUGAGUUUAGAGCUAUGGUAGGGUCUUGGCAGCACUAGUUUGAUUACGAUUAAGUCCAUAGUAGAAGUUAGAAACGAACAAGCAAGGAUGCCAGGAGCAACAAAGAGAGUGAAAGCAGAGAUAUAGUUUAGGAGAAAGCAAGGGCAGCGUCAGCUGCUACUUAGGGGCACUUAAUCACAAUAAUGGAGCACAGGAAUGCCGGGGACAGCUAUAAGAACGGUAGCCAGUAAGGACAGGCCUAAUAGACUUGAAACCAAGGUGCGACAUCGGGUAGGGUUGUCUCAUAGGUUCAAUAAGGAUUUUAGGUAGGGUAAAGCCAGACUCCGGGAAUAGAUAGUAAGCCUAAGAGAGUUGUGGAGGUCUAAAGCCUAGAAGCAAGUAUGCCAGGAACGAGUAUAAGAAAGGAAGUUUAGAUACAUAGUCAAAAGUCAAGAGUGAAGGCUAGGGUAGGGCUGUUGAUACCGUUGUCUAGUCCUUUGCCUACUAGCCCAAUCUAAUAAUGUAAUGUAUGUCCAAGAAGACUAAUAGUACUUAGAUUGAGAAUGUGGUUUACCGUAUGGCCCUUAUCUCUAAACUCUAGCUCUUAGCCUCCUUACCUUGGUAUGGAAUUAACAACUAGCAAAUGGACUAUAGUACUAUGGGAAUGGAACUUUACCCGCUUAGGCAUAUCCCUCUCUUGGUUUAGUCUGCCUAUCCCGCCUAUCAUUCUUUAGCUACUGCCUUUAAUGCCGAUGUUACAGCUGGAGUAUGUAACUACUGGGUUUCACCCAUGUCACCAACAUACAGCUGGAGUAUGUAACUACUGGGUUUCACCCAUGUCACCAACUAUUAUAGGAUUACUUCCAUAGAUCUCAGGCUUCCCCCCUGUCGGGCAACUCUUACUUAUUCCUCAGAUUUUCCAGUGUCCUUUGCCGCUCUAUUAUUCCUUAUUCCUGGCUAGCAUUCUGAAAUUGCUUUCGAACAUAGUCAUAAGAAUAAGAAUAAGCAUAUAGUAUAGUGAAUAGCUUUGGAUUCACACCAAGCAGUAACUGAAACUAAUCCGACAGGCUUUCAGCACCUCGCCCUCACUCUUCCCAUCUUGUCUUACACGCCUAUGUUAGAGUUUCCAACUAGUAUUACUGCCUCUAAGGCUUAGUUCCUGCCCUGCGUCUGGUUAUCUAUCACUUGUAUCCUCCCUUGCUUGCAUUAAUAAUUUCAUUGUUAACCUCUAGUAUAGAAAUAGGGAAGAUUCCUCACCCUCGUGUGACUUAUUUCUGAAGAGACUCAUGAAUUGGAAUUUCACUCUCGAGCUCAAUCCUAUGAUUUUGAUCUAGCUACAUCUUAAGUUGCUUGGUGCUCUGAACUCUUAAUACUCCUUACUUUCAGCUAACGGGAGCUUCAGAAGUUCUCUACUCGCCCCAGGACUACUGAAGACUAAACUUCCCUUUCUGACCCAACAAAGCCUUACUAUUAAGCCUUCUCAACUCAGGAUUCAACUAGAGCGGAAGGAUACGAUACGGAAGUAGACUAUUGUUACCCGCUUAUAGUUACUUUAUUACUUGCUAUGUGCUCGGUUGCCAGAGUGAGAUUAGCUAGAUGAUCUUCCUUCCUCGGGACAAUCAGUCAAGUUACCAACCGGAGUAUAUUAAUUAGUUCCACACCUCCCUUCACUUCAGCUGUAGAGAAAAGAGAUACAAAAUAGCUUCCUUUCCUUCUUUUGCUUCUCGAGUAUACUUUUUUCCAUCUGUAGCUUUAGAUCCUGCCCUACCUAUAACUGAUAGAUAGGCUCUGGUCGAUGAAACUAAUGAACUGACAAGUAACUGAGUGGCGAGUCACUUCCAACUUUAGAAACUCCUAUCAAGUAUUAGAUAAGGUACGAUGUAGCGCAUUCCCUAAGUGACUAAGAAUAGGGUAAGUAUACUAAGGCGCAGACAAGCCGGAUAAGGUAUUUAAUGAAACUCUUGAAUUGGUUGCUGCCGCGCAACUAACUAUGUUGCUUGGCCCUCACCAGAUUUGAGAUCAGUAGUUUGAUACCUGAAUGAGGCUCACAAUCAUAUAUAGAAGAACAAAAGCCUAUGAAAUAGAAUCACCAGAUCCAGAUACAGCUCCUCCUCCGGCUACUAUACCCAUGGCAACUACUAUACAAAUCGAACUCUCCUCUUCUCUGUCCUGUGUUCGGCUGCCGAGACCUCAACUCAUAACCAGUAACCCAACAAUCGAUCUCACAUCUUGCCUCCCGGGUUGAGUAUUCUUUGACUAACUAUUAGCCGGCCCUCACUUAAUGGCAUUCUCUCUACCUCGGCCUAGAACCCCGCUUUCCACAAAAAGAGAUCCAACCGAUGCUAGUGAGGAUCCACAAAGGGUAACAAACAGAUGAAACUACUGGCAAACAGACUUGAAAUACGACCGAGGGCGGAGUCCAACUCACAACUUAGAGGAGUAAAACACCAAUAGGAGUCAAAAUGCCUACAUGUAGCAACAAUCGAACAGUGUAUUCUCAACCUUAACAGGCGCCCGGUAAGCCCUACUCAUGCCUUUCACUCUGUCUUUCCUGUCCACAUAAGUCUGCUAAUCCCUACACGGCUGAUGAUCUUAGAUCUGGCUUUGUUGCCUAUGAGCCUGUUGCUACUUACUUGAAUCCUGAAAUCACUUACUCAGUUGCCUUAUAUUGAUUUCUACUCUAUUUCUUGAGGAUAUCCUUUUCUCUAGGCCUGGCACAGCUUUAUCUCAAACUUAGACUAAUGUCAACAAUACCUGUUCUCAUAAAUGGAGAGCGGGAUCAAUGCUUUGCAUGUCCAUAUCCCCUGUAAGAGUAUACCUAUACAGCCUUUAGUCUUAUUGUGCUUGCUUGAAAACUUUGACUACCUAAAACUAAAGAAAUAAUACUUUCGCUACUGGCCUAGAAGCUUACCCCCUUACAGACUGAAGGACAUCUCAAAGAUGAACUAAGAUAACAAGGUGAAUCUGACUUACCCCUAGAAGGGGCGUAGCGGUCAGGACGUCGACCUCUAUUCAAUGGUCGGCAGGUCUUUCUUGUAGUUGCCGAACGAGCCACUUUGGAAGAUACCCCCAGUCACUUGGAUUACUGUCUCCCUACUAGUAAGUAGUAAGCAUGCCGCCAGGAAAGUUUCCUGAUAGGGGCUAGCUAUCAGCUAUAAGGACAGCAGCGGAUCGGCUUCAUAGGGGAAUCUAUACCAGAUCUUUAGAUGGGCAAGAGGGAGUGAUAAAUCGAGAAACCUAGAUCCGGAAGUUCUGUAGUCGGCUUUUCGAUUGUUAUAGAAAAUAGGUAGUUAAGUUGUGUGAGCGAGUAAGAAUCAAGCUUAGAGAAGAUCUCCUAUCCUGAGGCAUGUUGCUAACUGUCUGCUAGACGACCCCCGAGCUAUAGAAUCUUAUAAUUAUGGAUGGUAGCUUCCCGCGUAAGGUAGUUGCAUAAUGACUCUCAGCCCAAUGGGAUGUUUCCGCUGUCCUAUUCUAUUUUCUUCUAUUAGCUAGAUGAUUAGGAGUAGCUAAGCUAGUUUACGGACCCAGUCCUGUCCACGGAAAGCUUCACGCCGAGCCUUCUAUUCAAGCCAAUAAUUCCCUUUCGGCAUUCUGUCUCUUCAAGCCAAUAAUUCCCUUUCGGCAUUCUGUCUCUUCAAGCCAAUAAUUCCCUUUCUUGAUAUAAUGAAAUCAAUGGUAAUAUAAUAAAUGGUAACGAUGCUGCUCUAUCAAACCACAAAUGGUAACGAUGCUGCUCUAUCAAACCACCAGGCUCUAUAGGUGGCGAGCCGAAAUCCGUAAGAAACCGAAACUUUCAAAUGACAUUUUUAGAUAGCUAUAGCUCCAAAGGAAUAAUCGGGAUUAGAAGGUAACCCUUUUGGGAUAAGAAAAUCCAAUUGGAUGUAUUUAUCCCUACUGAGUGAUCCGGGGGUAAUACUGUAUUCCAUUCCAAACCUCCUACAUAUGCUACCGCUGCUGCAAGACCUCUUCUUCCCCGAGCCUAGCCAGUGAAAGCCUUUCGUCCACAGCAUCUAACUGAGUUUACCCGCCUUAGUCUCCCAGAUCCACUCAUUGACUUAAGCACCUAGGAAAGCAUAUAUAGUACUUUAACCUAACAAGGGAAGUCACCUUAUUUCUAUUCGGGCGAAGGAAGAUUCAUCCAUUCGAUCUCGCCUGAAGAAGAGCAAAAAGAAUAGGAGGAGAAUGAUUUGCGCUUGAUUGAGCCCUUGACCAAAUAUCUUUCACCUUUGAGAGCAGCACUGGGGCUCCACCUCUUAACCAAUGGUAGUACUACUUCCCGUGUCAUGUCCAAUGCACCAUGAUCCGUGGCAAAAACGAUCCCACAGCCAGUUUCCUUGCCGAACAUCUCUUUUCCUUAUGAGACUCGAAACUUACGCUAUUCUUUUGCUACUAUUCCAUGAUGAAUUCAUGUAAGCGCUGCUAUCCACUAUAUGUGUAAGCCCUUUAAAGGGGAUACUCUCUCAGGGGCACACCUGGCCCGGUCUUUCUUUGUUCCCCAAGUCUUUGUUCUUACGGCAAAGCAGGAUGCCCGAUCUGGCUUUCACUUGAUUUCCCGAGCUCUUGGUCCUCGGUCCUACUUAUUCGGUUAGGGCAAGCUUGACUCUUAAGAGACUUACUUGGGCAGAGCAGAUAAUGGAAUUCCCACUAGAUCCACUGAAGCUAUAUUGGCAUAUCUCUUCGAAUUGGAACCUUCCCUACCGGUGCCGCAAGCCUUUUUGAGUUAAUGGACGGCUUACAAAAGAGAAUUGGUUGAUCCCGCCCAGGGGCUAAAGCUCAUCGGCCCAUUUUAGUAAGGGGACGCCCCAAACAUUUCUUUUGGAAAUCCUCCCCUAAGGCGAAACCUCAUUAGACCAUUUCCACCAAUAAAUAGACAAGCCAAAAUGAGAAAGUGUUGAAUUAUACUAUACCGGAGAAACUCAUCCAAAAUAGGGUUUUUCAAGUCCUAACCUAAAAGCAGGUCGAUGCCUAAAAACACGGGGUUGAGUCAAAUAUAUAUUAUAGAAUCGAUUUUGGAAGGUCUUCUCUUCCAUAAAUCAGAUCUAUGCCCUAAAACAGGCUAUUUCAUCGUAACUCUAUUAAGGGCUCCCACCCACUGAUCCAUUCCCAUCCCAGUCUGCUUGAUUGGAGAAAGAAUUAGAGCCGAAAGGACCAGAUCUCUCAUACGUGCCCGCGUAUCCUCGUAUAUUCUCCUCGUUCAUAGAUAGGUAAGAACAAAGAUGGGUCGUUCAUAGAUAGGUCGAACAAAGAUGGGUCUCAGUUAGGCAUAGUUCUUCAAUAAUCUGAGUAGCGAAAGACUGGAUGGUACCCAAACCCGUACCGAACGGCAUCAUGAAAUUCUAUCUAGAGAAAAUGGGCUUACCACAUGCCAAUUGAAGAAGCUUAUUUCAUUUAUUUCCCUGGUAGCCAAAGAGCGGAACUAAUGGGUAUAAGCUUAAAGCUAGGGGGAAGCUAGUUGGUAGAGAGUUAUGAGCAAGUACAAUGCCCUAGUAUAUGAGUAGUUUCAUCCUAUAUUAGUUGGCUUUGAAGCGGGGGAAUAGAAUGCAUUUCAUCCCUAGUGUCAUCCCUUGUGUCAGUUGCAAAAGUCGAGGCCCUUAUAGUAAGUUGACAAUAAGAAUGGAACGAGAGUCGACUUAAGAAUCCAAUAAGAAACAGUCCUUAGAAGUCAUUUCUGCCUAUAAGAUUGAUGGUUUCUUCCCUGAAAUAGAGGUAGAGGAGCCGAAUAAAGUUCUGAGUUACUGAUCAAUUCUUAUGUCCCAAGUCCUUUGUUUUAGAGCUGACGUUUCCUUUCCUCGCAUAGUAUCUUUGAACUCAGGCUCCUUAACUCCCUAGUCAUUAACUCCUCUUUCUGGCCUACCUCUGUUCCUAUAACUUCAUGAAGAUUGGCUGUGUAUAGGAAUCAUCCAGUCAAUUCUCUUUAUUUGUAAGGAAAAGAUGAUUUGCUUGUGAGAUAGUUAGGUUUUCAAUCAACCAAAAUAGAAAGAGAAAGUCAGACGAGUAUCUCAAGUAAUAGAAUUGUGUAUACGGAAAGAGCUUGCCAACUUCUUUAUUUCUUGACCGAAUACCAAUCACAGUACUUCACUUCAAGGACACUAACGCACCACAAUUGUCUAUUUUGAAGCUGUUAGAGUCAUUCCUGAAAGAGUUCGAUGCAGUUAUAACAAUUCCACAAAGACUCCUCCGCCAUGCUUUGAUACCAGAAUUAGGUAAUUUCUUUAAUACCUUAAUUAGGCUCCUCUAUGCUCCCUAUCUGCUUUCUUUGCCUUAGUAGUAGUUGGUAGUAGUGGCUGGGCUGUGGACAGAGGCUAGAGAUUAGCUAGUAGCAAUAGGAGAUGCGAGGGAGAGGUCAACAAGGGAAGCAGUUUCUUUACUUCUUUCUUUUCUAUACGAUGUGCAAGUCCUGUGCCACUUAUAUAUCUGGUAUCGGUAAAACGCAAUUGAAUCAGUAGUUAAUUAAUACGAUCAGAAGAAUGCCAAGUACACUGUUAAGGGAGUCAAGAGUGAAAGUCAAGGGAGCGCUCAGGUUGUUUGGAGUGAAAGAGCUGGGAGUAAGCCUCAGUUGUUAAAGAGCUGGGGGCGUUCAGGGAGGGAAGAGUUAAUCCCCUUUCGAUACUAGUUUCCUAGGUUAGGUCUAGAGAGCACUGUUUCAUUGGGUUAUUCCUCUUAGGUCUUAUACGCUGUUUCAUUGGGUUCUUUUAAUGGUUAUUUGGAUUCUGUGAAAGGGGGGUGUUCAUCUUAACUGUCAACUCUCUUGGCUGUUCUGUUGUGGGAAGGUGGGAGUUUCAUCAAUUCUAUUAUAAGGGGAAUGUCAUCAGUUGAAAGGAUAGUUUUCUCAUACUGUAAUCAGUUGAAAGGAUAGUUUUCUCAUACUAAGGUUGGUGGAAUCCACAGUGCCAAAGUAAGCAGAUGGAGUUGGAUCAGUUGCCCCUUACUAAUGCUAAACGAAAAGUAUGCCUAAACAAAAGUAAUGACUUGUUGGAGGCUUUGAAGUGGGAGAGGGACAAGUGCAGGUGUAAAACAGACAAGUUAACUUAGCAACGGCAACUGAGGAGAGAGAGGUGAUGAAUUGGCGAUACACCUUCCCCCCAGUGAAAAACGAAAGGCCUAAACGAGACACCACCAAUUAAGGGCAGAAACUUAGAGAUAUAGUGGUUGACACAGCUUCCUUUAGGCACUCAUACGAGGCACCAGUUGAUCUAAUGAUUUGUUUACUUCAUUGACCUGGGCUGGGCCACAAGAGAGAUAGAAGAGGGUCACUUACUGUGCUCUUUAUCGCCUACCUAGUACUGCUCCUGUUCCAGUUCUUGUUAGAGUGGAAUCGUGAAGAUAAGAUCUUUCGGUGAAGUUGAAAGGAACCAUAUAAGAGAAAUCCGGUUUGUAUAGAAUAUUUGUCAUGAAACAUUGGAUUGAUAAGAAUAAGGAUUAGAGUCAGGAUCCGGAUCAUAGGGUAUGUAAACUCACUAACGCUAUAUGAAAAGAAACGGGAUUGGAAGUUAAGACUCGCUUACCACUUGAAACUGACUUGCGCACAGCUGAUGAUACUGCUCCCCUUGGUUUAAGAUACUCUAAACUUCAGUACUUUUCCAGCGGGACAAGCUGCAAGGGCGAACCUAGACUACACUGGCACAGCUUCCUAUACAGUAGACGUCAAGCCCAGAGAAGAACCAUUCUCGUCGACAACCACCUAUGACUCUUUUGUAACCAACACUAUAAACGGUACUCGCACCUGACCCGACAUCCACUGGUUUAUUGAUUUAUUUCCCGGAAUCCACGAUUUGUUGCCUAGGGCUAGCGCAUCUAGUAAUGUAUUACCCAUCCUCCACUGCGGAGAGAGUCAGCUACCCUAUUCUUCCACUUAGUAGUUCAAUUCUAAUACUUACCUUUUGCCCACUCCUUUCCUUACCUUACCUUACUUGAGAACUUUCACUGGACUAUAACCAAGUCCUGUAUUCGGAGAGUGCUUUUCAAGAUCGGGCAUAUAUCUAUAAGGAAUGAAUUAGAGAUAGGGUAUCCAUAAGGAAUGUAGAGGCCCUUAUUGUAAGUUCGCUAACCAAUAAAGUCCAGGGGGGAAGGAUCAAACAAGCUUAUAGACCCUAUGGAUGAGAUUAACUGGGGCAAGCAGAAAAGCAGAUAAGUCACUUUCGAUCUACUGUUCGUCGCCUCUUUGUCUCUGGGUGCCUAGGUAUCGUCUCCACCGUAAGCCUUUCCUUUUGAAUCCGUCUUUGUAGCCAUAGGAGAGAGGGAAGUUUAGUCUUCAAGGGAAGCGGAAGAAGGCAAUUCUCUACUUUACGGGGCUGGGCUGGAAACCCACUAUUCUUAGUAGUGUAAAUGCGCUAGCAAGUCAGACCGGUAGUACUUNNNNNNNNNNNNNNNNNNNNNNNNNNNNNNNNNNNNNNNNNNNNNNNNNNNNNNNNNNNNNNNNNNNNNNNNNNNNNNNNNNNNNNNNNNNNNNNNNNNNNNNNNNNNNNNNNNNNNNNNNNNNNNNNNNNNNNNNNNNNNNNNNNNNNNNNNNNNNNNNNNNNNNNNNNNNNNNNNNNNNNNNNNNNNNNNNNNNNNNNNNNNNNNNNNNNNNNNNNNNNNNNNNNNNNNNNNNNNNNNNNNNNNNNNNNNNNNNNNNNNNNNNNNNNNNNNNNNNNNNNNNNNNNNNNNNNNNNNNNNNNNNNNNNNNNNNNNNNNNNNNNNNNNNNNNNNNNNNNNNNNNNNNNNNNNNNNNNNNNNNNNNNNNNNNNNNNNNNNNNNNNNNNNNNNNNNNNNNNNNNNNNNNNNNNNNNNNNNNNNNNNNNNNNNNNNNNNNNNNNNNNNNNNNNNNNNNNNNNNNNNNNNNNNNNNNNNNNNNNNNNNNNNNNNNNNNNNNNNNNNNNNNNNNNNNNNNNNNNNNNNNNNNNNNNNNNNNNNNNNNNNNNNNNNNNNNNNNNNNNNNNNNNNNNNNNNNNNNNNNNNNNNNNNNNNNNNNNNNNNNNNNNNNNNNNNNNNNNNNNNNNNNNNNNNNNNNNNNNNNNNNNNNNNNNNNNNNNNNNNNNNNNNNNNNNNNNNNNNNNNNNNNNNNNNNNNNNNNNNNNNNNNNNNNNNNNNNNNNNNNNNNNNNNNNNNNNNNNNNNNNNNNNNNNNNNNNNNNNNNNNNNNNNNNNNNNNNNNNNNNNNNNNNNNNNNNNNNNNNNNNNNNNNNNNNNNNNNNNNNNNNNNNNNNNNNNNNNNNNNNNNNNNNNNNNNNNNNNNNNNNNNNNNNNNNNNNNNNNNNNNNNNNNNNNNNNNNNNNNNNNNNNNNNNNNNNNNNNNNNNNNNNNNNNNNNNNNNNNNNNNNNNNNNNNNNNNNNNNNNNNNNNNNNNNNNNNNNNNNNNNNNNNNNNNNNNNNNNNNNNNNNNNNNNNNNNNNNNNNNNNNNNNNNNNNNNNNNNNNNNNNNNNNNNNNNNNNNNNNNNNNNNNNNNNNNNNNNNNNNNNNNNNNNNNNNNNNNNNNNNNNNNNNNNNNNNNNNNNNNNNNNNNNNNNNNNNNNNNNNNNNNNNNNNNNNNNNNNNNNNNNNNNNNNNNNNNNNNNNNNNNNNNNNNNNNNNNNNNNNNNNNNNNNNNNNNNNNNNNNNNNNNNNNNNNNNNNNNNNNNNNNNNNNNNNNNNNNNNNNNNNNNNNNNNNNNNNNNNNNNNNNNNNNNNNNNNNNNNNNNNNNNNNNNNNNNNNNNNNNNNNNNNNNNNNNNNNNNNNNNNNNNNNNNNNNNNNNNNNNNNNNNNNNNNNNNNNNNNNNNNNNNNNNNNNNNNNNNNNNNNNNNNNNNNNNNNNNNNNNNNNNNNNNNNNNNNNNNNNNNNNNNNNNNNNNNNNNNNNNNNNNNNNNNNNNNNNNNNNNNNNNNNNNNNNNNNNNNNNNNNNNNNNNNNNNNNNNNNNNNNNNNNNNNNNNNNNNNNNNNNNNNNNNNNNNNNNNNNNNNNNNNNNNNNNNNNNNNNNNNNNNNNNNNNNNNNNNNNNNNNNNNNNNNNNNNNNNNNNNNNNNNNNNNNNNNNNNNNNNNNNNNNNNNNNNNNNNNNNNNNNNNNNNNNNNNNNNNNNNNNNNNNNNNNNNNNNNNNNNNNNNNNNNNNNNNNNNNNNNNNNNNNNNNNNNNNNNNNNNNNNNNNNNNNNNNNNNNNNNNNNNNNNNNNNNNNNNNNNNNNNNNNNNNNNNNNNNNNNNNNNNNNNNNNNNNNNNNNNNNNNNNNNNNNNNNNNNNNNNNNNNNNNNNNNNNNNNNNNNNNNNNNNNNNNNNNNNNNNNNNNNNNNNNNNNNNNNNNNNNNNNNNNNNNNNNNNNNNNNNNNNNNNNNNNNNNNNNNNNNNNNNNNNNNNNNNNNNNNNNNNNNNNNNNNNNNNNNNNNNNNNNNNNNNNNNNNNNNNNNNNNNNNNNNNNNNNNNNNNNNNNNNNNNNNNNNNNNNNNNNNNNNNNNNNNNNNNNNNNNNNNNNNNNNNNNNNNNNNNNNNNNNNNNNNNNNNNNNNNNNNNNNNNNNNNNNNNNNNNNNNNNNNNNNNNNNNNNNNNNNNNNNNNNNNNNNNNNNNNNNNNNNNNNNNNNNNNNNNNNNNNNNNNNNNNNNNNNNNNNNNNNNNNNNNNNNNNNNNNNNNNNNNNNNNNNNNNNNNNNNNNNNNNNNNNNNNNNNNNNNNNNNNNNNNNNNNNNNNNNNNNNNNNNNNNNNNNNNNNNNNNNNNNNNNNNNNNNNNNNNNNNNNNNNNNNNNNNNNNNNNNNNNNNNNNNNNNNNNNNNNNNNNNNNNNNNNNNNNNNNNNNNNNNNNNNNNNNNNNNNNNNNNNNNNNNNNNNNNNNNNNNNNNNNNNNNNNNNNNNNNNNNNNNNNNNNNNNNNNNNNNNNNNNNNNNNNNNNNNNNNNNNNNNNNNNNNNNNNNNNNNNNNNNNNNNNNNNNNNNNNNNNNNNNNNNNNNNNNNNNNNNNNNNNNNNNNNNNNNNNNNNNNNNNNNNNNNNNNNNNNNNNNNNNNNNNNNNNNNNNNNNNNNNNNNNNNNNNNNNNNNNNNNNNNNNNNNNNNNNNNNNNNNNNNNNNNNNNNNNNNNNNNNNNNNNNNNNNNNNNNNNNNNNNNNNNNNNNNNNNNNNNNNNNNNNNNNNNNNNNNNNNNNNNNNNNNNNNNNNNNNNNNNNNNNNNNNNNNNNNNNNNNNNNNNNNNNNNNNNNNNNNNNNNNNNNNNNNNNNNNNNNNNNNNNNNNNNNNNNNNNNNNNNNNNNNNNNNNNNNNNNNNNNNNNNNNNNNNNNNNNNNNNNNNNNNNNNNNNNNNNNNNNNNNNNNNNNNNNNNNNNNNNNNNNNNNNNNNNNNNNNNNNNNNNNNNNNNNNNNNNNNNNNNNNNNNNNNNNNNNNNNNNNNNNNNNNNNNNNNNNNNNNNNNNNNNNNNNNNNNNNNNNNNNNNNNNNNNNNNNNNNNNNNNNNNNNNNNNNNNNNNNNNNNNNNNNNNNNNNNNNNNNNNNNNNNNNNNNNNNNNNNNNNNNNNNNNNNNNNNNNNNNNNNNNNNNNNNNNNNNNNNNNNNNNNNNNNNNNNNNNNNNNNNNNNNNNNNNNNNNNNNNNNNNNNNNNNNNNNNNNNNNNNNNNNNNNNNNNNNNNNNNNNNNNNNNNNNNNNNNNNNNNNNNNNNNNNNNNNNNNNNNNNNNNNNNNNNNNNNNNNNNNNNNNNNNNNNNNNNNNNNNNNNNNNNNNNNNNNNNNNNNNNNNNNNNNNNNNNNNNNNNNNNNNNNNNNNNNNNNNNNNNNNNNNNNNNNNNNNNNNNNNNNNNNNNNNNNNNNNNNNNNNNNNNNNNNNNNNNNNNNNNNNNNNNNNNNNNNNNNNNNNNNNNNNNNNNNNNNNNNNNNNNNNNNNNNNNNNNNNNNNNNNNNNNNNNNNNNNNNNNNNNNNNNNNNNNNNNNNNNNNNNNNNNNNNNNNNNNNNNNNNNNNNNNNNNNNNNNNNNNNNNNNNNNNNNNNNNNNNNNNNNNNNNNNNNNNNNNNNNNNNNNNNNNNNNNNNNNNNNNNNNNNNNNNNNNNNNNNNNNNNNNNNNNNNNNNNNNNNNNNNNNNNNNNNNNNNNNNNNNNNNNNNNNNNNNNNNNNNNNNNNNNNNNNNNNNNNNNNNNNNNNNNNNNNNNNNNNNNNNNNNNNNNNNNNNNNNNNNNNNNNNNNNNNNNNNNNNNNNNNNNNNNNNNNNNNNNNNNNNNNNNNNNNNNNNNNNNNNNNNNNNNNNNNNNNNNNNNNNNNNNNNNNNNNNNNNNNNNNNNNNNNNNNNNNNNNNNNNNNNNNNNNNNNNNNNNNNNNNNNNNNNNNNNNNNNNNNNNNNNNNNNNNNNNNNNNNNNNNNNNNNNNNNNNNNNNNNNNNNNNNNNNNNNNNNNNNNNNNNNNNNNNNNNNNNNNNNNNNNNNNNNNNNNNNNNNNNNNNNNNNNNNNNNNNNNNNNNNNNNNNNNNNNNNNNNNNNNNNNNNNNNNNNNNNNNNNNNNNNNNNNNNNNNNNNNNNNNNNNNNNNNNNNNNNNNNNNNNNNNNNNNNNNNNNNNNNNNNNNNNNNNNNNNNNNNNNNNNNNNNNNNNNNNNNNNNNNNNNNNNNNNNNNNNNNNNNNNNNNNNNNNNNNNNNNNNNNNNNNNNNNNNNNNNNNNNNNNNNNNNNNNNNNNNNNNNNNNNNNNNNNNNNNNNNNNNNNNNNNNNNNNNNNNNNNNNNNNNNNNNNNNNNNNNNNNNNNNNNNNNNNNNNNNNNNNNNNNNNNNNNNNNNNNNNNNNNNNNNNNNNNNNNNNNNNNNNNNNNNNNNNNNNNNNNNNNNNNNNNNNNNNNNNNNNNNNNNNNNNNNNNNNNNNNNNNNNNNNNNNNNNNNNNNNNNNNNNNNNNNNNNNNNNNNNNNNNNNNNNNNNNNNNNNNNNNNNNNNNNNNNNNNNNNNNNNNNNNNNNNNNNNNNNNNNNNNNNNNNNNNNNNNNNNNNNNNNNNNNNNNNNNNNNNNNNNNNNNNNNNNNNNNNNNNNNNNNNNNNNNNNNNNNNNNNNNNNNNNNNNNNNNNNNNNNNNNNNNNNNNNNNNNNNNNNNNNNNNNNNNNNNNNNNNNNNNNNNNNNNNNNNNNNNNNNNNNNNNNNNNNNNNNNNNNNNNNNNNNNNNNNNNNNNNNNNNNNNNNNNNNNNNNNNNNNNNNNNNNNNNNNNNNNNNNNNNNNNNNNNNNNNNNNNNNNNNNNNNNNNNNNNNNNNNNNNNNNNNNNNNNNNNNNNNNNNNNNNNNNNNNNNNNNNNNNNNNNNNNNNNNNNNNNNNNNNNNNNNNNNNNNNNNNNNNNNNNNNNNNNNNNNNNNNNNNNNNNNNNNNNNNNNNNNNNNNNNNNNNNNNNNNNNNNNNNNNNNNNNNNNNNNNNNNNNNNNNNNNNNNNNNNNNNNNNNNNNNNNNNNNNNNNNNNNNNNNNNNNNNNNNNNNNNNNNNNNNNNNNNNNNNNNNNNNNNNNNNNNNNNNNNNNNNNNNNNNNNNNNNNNNNNNNNNNNNNNNNNNNNNNNNNNNNNNNNNNNNNNNNNNNNNNNNNNNNNNNNNNNNNNNNNNNNNNNNNNNNNNNNNNNNNNNNNNNNNNNNNNNNNNNNNNNNNNNNNNNNNNNNNNNNNNNNNNNNNNNNNNNNNNNNNNNNNNNNNNNNNNNNNNNNNNNNNNNNNNNNNNNNNNNNNNNNNNNNNNNNNNNNNNNNNNNNNNNNNNNNNNNNNNNNNNNNNNNNNNNNNNNNNNNNNNNNNNNNNNNNNNNNNNNNNNNNNNNNNNNNNNNNNNNNNNNNNNNNNNNNNNNNNNNNNNNNNNNNNNNNNNNNNNNNNNNNNNNNNNNNNNNNNNNNNNNNNNNNNNNNNNNNNNNNNNNNNNNNNNNNNNNNNNNNNNNNNNNNNNNNNNNNNNNNNNNNNNNNNNNNNNNNNNNNNNNNNNNNNNNNNNNNNNNNNNNNNNNNNNNNNNNNNNNNNNNNNNNNNNNNNNNNNNNNNNNNNNNNNNNNNNNNNNNNNNNNNNNNNNNNNNNNNNNNNNNNNNNNNNNNNNNNNNNNNNNNNNNNNNNNNNNNNNNNNNNNNNNNNNNNNNNNNNNNNNNNNNNNNNNNNNNNNNNNNNNNNNNNNNNNNNNNNNNNNNNNNNNNNNNNNNNNNNNNNNNNNNNNNNNNNNNNNNNNNNNNNNNNNNNNNNNNNNNNNNNNNNNNNNNNNNNNNNNNNNNNNNNNNNNNNNNNNNNNNNNNNNNNNNNNNNNNNNNNNNNNNNNNNNNNNNNNNNNNNNNNNNNNNNNNNNNNNNNNNNNNNNNNNNNNNNNNNNNNNNNNNNNNNNNNNNNNNNNNNNNNNNNNNNNNNNNNNNNNNNNNNNNNNNNNNNNNNNNNNNNNNNNNNNNNNNNNNNNNNNNNNNNNNNNNNNNNNNNNNNNNNNNNNNNNNNNNNNNNNNNNNNNNNNNNNNNNNNNNNNNNNNNNNNNNNNNNNNNNNNNNNNNNNNGGGCCUCAACUGAAACUUCUGCUCUUUUAACAAGGGCUAAAUUCUGCUCUUUAUUCUAAUCCUUAUUCUGGAGCCUCUUCUUCUUAGUAUUAGUACUCCAAAACUCAUUUACUUAUGGCUUCAAAGCAAGUAGAUCCUACAUCCAUUGGCUUCAAAGCAAGUAGAUCCUACAUCCAUCUGAUCUUAUAAAUGAAUUAGAUGACAACAAUUAACUUAAGGGCAGAGCCACUUUAUACUGAUUCUCGAACUUCUUCUUAAACAAGAACGGAAACUGACCCGAUAGCUGCUCCUUAAUUCUGUAUUUCUAGUGGAAUUCUUCCUUUUGUGUGGAGAGCACAUGGUUGGUAGGGCACCUCUUCUUUUGACUCUUCUAAUGUAUUAGUUGGUUGCCAUUACGGGGUAGAAAGAAGAUAAUAAAGUACUGGCCUUGGAUCUUAAGCAGGAUUGGAUCAUAAGUUCGUAAGUAAGUUGUUGCAAAGAAAGCAUAGUUAAGGUAAGAAAUAGAAAGAGAGUUCGCCUAAGUAAGCUGCUUGUCCCGAUGGAGCUCUUAGUGGUGUAGUGAGUUAUUUCGCGAGUAGAGUGUUUAGUAUAGUUUCCUUUCCUCCGUGCGAGACCUUGCUUGUCCAUGAGAAUGUCCUGAUGAGUGUAGGUUUGGGAAGAAUCCAUUCCAUAAGCUUCAGCGAGGUGUGGUCCAGGAAAGGUUUCGUUCUUGGAAGAAUCAUCUUCAUUCGAAGUAUUAGGAUCACGAUCAGAUGCAAGACAACUGAAAGAAUUAUUGUUACUCGCUCUAGCUCUGUACGGUACGAUAUAAGAGGUAAGGUAGAAUCCGGUAACACUUCGGGAAACUGGGCUCCCCAAAACAGGCAUUUUUUCACUGUUUCGGUUUCUUGUCCUGUAACAGUUUCUUCUUAUUCUGGAGUGGACUUUCCUGGAACUGCUUCUUGGGCAUUCUCCUCGGCUUCGGCUGAUUCGCUAACUUCUUAUGAUCUUUCUCUCUUUGCCUUUGCCAACUCCUAACUAGUAAUUGCCUGUUUCUCUUCUCUUCUUACCCCUAAGAUCGUUUCAACUCUGAAUUGCACUAGAUGGGCGCUAUGGAUAUAGACGGAGUCCGAGUCUUCAAGACUGACUAUAGUAUUCAAAUAAGAACAAGGGAGGUACUAGCAUUUCUCUUCUCUAAGUCCAACUCAAAGGAGAAAGAAAGCAUCUUAGACUAGAUCUGACCGAGGCACCUUUACUUGUUAAUGAAAAAGACAGUGGCGGGACUUGGUGCGCUCUUCUCGGCUUUAGCUCGGCUCCAUAUCAAUAACGGAAUUUCCAUUAUGGUGCUUUCCAAUUAAUUCCCUAUAAUGGUUGUACUAUACUCCAAUUAAUAUCUUUCUUUUAUCGGACGUGAGAGUGCGCGUUUCUAGUUUGAUCAUGUGUUUUCGAGUUGCAUUCCUGUGUUAGCUACAGUGUUUAGGGCAAAGUUCGAUCCUAUUAGCGAGUCGUUUUAGAAUGAGAUAAAGGCAACUAAGACUGAGUUAAAGGAAGGGCAGAUUAGCAAUCGAUCCUAGCAGUUUCCGUUGAGGAACAUAAGAAUCAAAGUCAGCAGCUACAGAGUCAUAGUAAGUAAGCAACCCGGGGCAAGAUAAGGGGAAGUUAGAAUAGAAUGAUAGUCGGGAUAGUCAGAAUGAUCUCAAGGAAAAGCAGAGUUAGAGCUAUCACAGAUAAAGUCUAUAUAUGCGAAGGGACAACUAGAGCGAGAGACUUAGAGGUGAGCAUAAGACUUAUCGCGGAGAAUGUAAGGCUUAAAUAUCUAUUAUGUUAGAUCAGACUUCAGAUAAGGAGCCGGAGAAUGAACUACUACAGUAAUAAACGGGGCGUGGGCAUUGAAGUCAGUAGGGGCAGGGCUGCUUUCAGGUCAGUAAAGCCAGGCCAAGCGUAUACUACAAUUGAGGUAAACUUUGACUUUAGAGUGGAGAGCACAUGCCUUAUCUUAUUUCACUUCAUGAUUGGAAUUCUUACGGUUACUACUGAUGUUACUAAUUGAACUGUCUAACUCGGAUGUUACUAAUUGAACUGUAUCUCGGGCUAAAGUCUGCUACCUGUGCUACUACUACUGGUCUUCUUAGAUUAAUUAACGGAGUUGUAGCUAAGGCAAUGUUGCUAAGGAAAGGUUUCUAAUUCGUAGUUGUAGCUAAGGCAAUGUUGCGGCGGAGUAAUACCUAAGAUGCCUUGUAGCUCAGGAGUGAUAUUCUAACUGAUUAGGUUGUUUCAUCUUAUUCCCUUGUUGAAUCCGUAUUUAAGUAGUAGAGUAGUUUCAAAGGCGAACACUGGACUUGUCUUGUCCCGCCUCCUUGUAUACUUGCAGUGCUAAAGAAGUACUACUAGAUUGUUACCUGAACCCUGCUUGAAUGCCAUCUUAUCCACCCUUAUAGUAAAGCAAGCCUAAAAGCCCAUUCUCUACGACAAGGAGCUAGAGCACCAACCUCUCUAUACUGGGGAAAGCAGAAACUUCACCUUUGACCUCAGACAUUCAUCUAAAGACUCUUGACUCUUAUACUUAUGUACCGAGAGACUUACUUCAGAUUUCUCGGUGUUGGGCAGAGAGUAACGCGAGGGCGCCCCUAAGGGAAAAGUGUGUCACUACAUCCACAAUAACUCCACUUGUAGCUUCUGAUUCAUAUGAAUAUUACUCCUCAAUUGGAGCCAAGACACUAACUGGCAAUUCUCCGACUUCCUGUAAUAUAAGUAAGGCAACAGCUUCCGAGAGACUUUACUGCUCUAAAAACGGUUUCUUCUACAAGCAAGUGAUUCUGAAAGUCGAGUCUCUUUUGGUGGGAGUGUUGUCUAGGCGAAUUAGCUUUACUAAGUGGAUAGGAUAGAGGUUCCGUACGCGCCUGUUGUUUGAGUUGAAAGAUCUGUACUCAUAGGUCAAACUCACUUUAGCCAUAAAGACAGGACUUGCUACUAUUGCUGCCGCCGGUGACGAAGAAAGCACUUGUUAUAAAGUCAAUUACCUAGGACAGGACAGGGGUGAAGAAUCCUUACUUGUUGGCUUGAAGACCGGAUUGAUAGUUUCAUCUAGAGUUGCCCCUGUGCCCCGAGUUUCAUCCUAUUAGAAUGCCAUUGCCGAGUGGCAAAUAUAUAAGUUGCAUAAGACUUCCACUCAAGCGGAAUCAGUUGAUUGGCCAGUUCUUGUUGUUGGCGACAAUAGAGAGAGAAUGGAAUCUUGCUUUGAACUCAGAUACUAGCUUUGAACUAAGAUAGAAAUCUAGCUUUGAACUAAGAUAGAAAACGUGCAGGGGCUUUCUCUCUAUUUCGUACCUAGGACAGGAAUGGCAUCUUUCGAGGGCAAGCAUCGGCAUACAAUCUGUUCACUAAAACAUGGAAUCUCAAGCAUAAGCAUCAGAUCUUAUCUCCAACCUCCGGAAGUAGGGUUUAACUGGACAACUCUACAACUAGUUUCAGGGCGAAUACAGGUUCACUCAGGACUCGUAACAACUGCUACAAAACCGGGAUGCAAAAAAGGGCUCCUUUUGUCUUUUACGUAGUGACUUGGCUCUGGUAUUCCUACAACACCACUACUGGGAAGUUUGAAUGGAAUGAUAACACUAAAGGGAUAGAUCUAGUGCAUUCAGUAUUUGCAAGAGGGCAAUCGAGGUAUUAAAUUACUGUUUUCCUUGGUGCGAGGGUACUGCUUUAGAGGUCGGGGAAGAGGAAAGUCAAGGCGAGGAAGCAAGCCAUAGAGCAUAACCAUAAGCCGAAGAAGCCCUAAAUAAGGGAGUUUUGUAUAGAAAUGAUAGGUAAUAAGAAUAACUUCUGAAAAAGUCAGGGUAAGGCGGGAAAGAAGGAAUUAAUCCCCAGUAUUAGCACAGGGUGUGUUGAAGCUAGGUGUCGUGGAGAAUGCCCUGUUCUUGUUCUUCCAAACCCCGGUAGCCCUGGUGGUACUGUUCGAGUGGUACUGUUCGAGUGAGAUCAGUGAGUUAGAAGAAUGGAAUUGAAGUGAAGAGCACAGGGGCAGGAUAGCCUCUCGGAACAGACCCUUAAAGUAGUGGCCCAGCCCAGCGGAAUCUGUAUUAGUUGACUCGGUACAUAAGGAAGCUCGGUACAUAAGGAAGUUUACUAAGCAAAGGAGUUAGUGAGCCCGAAGGUUGGUUAGGUUAUGACCCAAGUGCUUUAUACAGAACCAAUUCCUCUGGUUCCCCGGCAGCUUAUUCAACUCGGGUUGGUUUACUUGUUUCAUAUGUAUUUUUAGUUGUAGCUAGAGGAGCUGGUAUUUCAUUGUCUCCCUUUACUAAAUAAGUAUGUCUUAUACCACUACUACUAAAGAAGCAAGAAGCGGUCCUACUACUAAGUGGAAGUUGAAGUUCAAGAUGUAUUAAUUCUUAGAGGAAAGAAAAGAGGUAAGUUCAAGAUGGAUUCUCAUCGGAGGAGUGAAAGAGUUAGUUAUGUAUAGGAGUUCCUUCGGCGGCAGGAGCCCUGUUGGUUUAUUUACUCUAACCUUCUAUGCGUAACACAUGGGUGAGACUACCAAUACCAACUAACCCCCCGAACCAUACCUCUAAACUGACCUUAACGAACCACAUACUACCAACGGACCUUCCCGAACUAUAACCAGAAUUCCAAUUAGUAAUGGAAAACCUCUCCCUUCAUUGCUCGAUCCCGGCAUUAAAGAAAGAAUAGUACAAGCGAAGGGGUGUCGUCAACCCAACCCCUAAAGUGCAUUCUCCUGUUUGAGCUUUGGUCUUCUGCUUCAGAGCUUGAUUUAGUAGUAACUUGCCCGGUCUCGUACGUAAUAGAAGCGGUCUCUUAUGGUAUAGUUUCCUUCCUACAAGCACAGUUUUCAUUCCAAGUUGAUAGUUAGAUCCUUAUAGUUUGAGUUACUUGUCCGGUCUAUCCGGGGUAGGCUUUCCGUCUUUUUGACAGUGGUUCGAUUCCCACCCAGUUACUAGUUAGGCUCGUUAGGCACAGUGGAUUUCUUGACUAUAAGAAAAAGUACUAUAGCCUCAAAAGAACUAGUUCGAGUCCUGUUAGCAGCGAUCUAAGAAUUCCAAGACAGCAGUGCGGGAAUGAAAGCAUAGAGGCACCCUUCUAAUAGGUAGUUUAGUUCCUCCUUUUGAGCUCAAGUCUUGUUAGCCCGUGUUGGAUUACUAUUUGUUAAUUCCAUUCUAUAAGUGGAGUAGUUAGCUUCUAUAAGAGUUGGGGUUUUCCUAGUUUCACGUAUUAGGGGAAGUAGUAGUGGCUCCCGAGUCACUAGUUUAGUCUAUCAGGGUCGUGUCCAAUUCCUUAUUACGAUUAUUCCUUCUAUGGAGUUAGGGGAGGCUCCUCGGUAAUGUUUCAUUAUUGUUCCUAGUAGUUUACUACAGUUCUUUAUUUGGAGCCGUUAUCUUAGACACUAGAUUGAGUUCCUAUACUAGUAUAACUUUACCAAACUAGACAAAGACCUGUUGAUGUCACUUUCAGAAUGAGUUAUCCAACUAACUGUUAUCGGGGAACGAAACCUUCGACGCGCCCGGACGAUGGUGAAUGAUCGCUCGCUUACGGAAUUGGUUAACCCAAAACCAGAAUUAGUGAUGAAUAGCCCUACCUUGCUUUGCUUUAUGGAUUGUGAAGACCGAGGGAACCCACCUUCCAACUAGACACAGACUUAUUGAUGUGUCACUCAAGACAGACUUGUUGAUGUUACUUAAAGAAUGGGCUAUAUUAAUGGAAGGCUAAGUUAUGUUAUACUUGAGGAAUUAGUUCGUGGCUGCUCGUGGACUGAUAGGUGCUCUUCCAGGACUAUGUGUUUUGACUUUCAUAAUGAUUCCCUUGCCGAGUAGGUGCGAUUACAAUUGAACCAAUCAGACACAGACUGAGUUAUGUUACUCAAAGACGGAGUUGUCUUACUCUGGGAAUGAGUUGUUCCACUUUAAAGAAUGCGCUUAACCACUUUGAAGAAUUAGUGAACCUACCGCCAGAAGGAGGGAGAGCCUACCUUGCGCACCAGAAAAGGAAUGAUUGUUGUUACUAAAAGAAUGAGUUACCCUACCUUGACAACUAGCACGGACUUAUUGAUUUGAGUAGAAGAGAAGAUAUUGUGAUUUACUAUAGGAUAUUGAUUGUUGUUACUUUAGGAAUGAGCUAGGGGAAUUUCAGAAUGGGUUUUCCUACGACAUUGAUUGUUGUUGCUCGCACCCACGAUGACUCUGACUGAAUGGUCUCUAGCAGAUUGAGAAGUUAAUUCAUUAGAGUAUUAUUAUAUGUUAAUUCAUUAGAGUAUUAUUAUAUGUGAAUAAACAAACAAGCAAAUCAAGUAAAGCACCCGAAACUUCUUAUAGUGCCUCUACCUUGAAUUGGAUGAAACUAUAGCACCGUGGGAACUCCACCUUUUCUUCACCGACAACAGCACUGUCAAUAAGAAUUGAGCUCUAUCUAAAGUCAUAAUUCCUUUUCAUAGGCCGGGAAUGCAACGAACAAGCCAAAGAAAGAGCCUGCCCCCCUGCACUAUUAUUCUUGAACACUGACUGGCCUGUCCUGACUUACUGUAUCUAGAUCUAGCCUCACACUGCCGCUUAUGAGCUCGCCGAUGCUUACCUGUACUCUUGAGUUCGAUUGUUAGGCUGACUUUUCGCACUAGAAUCAAGAAAUAGUGCCUAACGAAACUAGCUCUAAACUACGAAUCAAACUAGUGCUUCUCAGGAUUACUAUCUAUAGGCAUAAGAAAUAACAAAAGAAAAAGGGGCGCCCCCAACUAAGGGAAUAGGACUUAUGAUAACAAGGCUUCUCCACUAGUGGGCUAAUCCGAUCUAGUGAUAAAGAAUACACCCAAGACUGCAGGGCUAUAGCUCAAAACAGGGAAUUCCACUCAUAAGUAGAAGGCUGAAAUCAAUGUUAACAAGAAAGGAACACUACCCUAGAAACCAGGCCCCACUACCCGAACUUGGAUUCUAAGACCACUGACAUCAACCCUCGCUCGUUAGUUGAAAACUACCUCUCUUUGCCUUGAACCUCGCUUUACUGCCAACAAGCCUGCUCUUACAGUCUUUAAGCCAGCUAUUGCUUUCUCUCAUUCUCAAUAUCCUUCUUCUUAGCCUUACUUUAAUGUCUCUCGUUCUGUUACUCGUACUUUUCAUUCCGGAAUUCCGUAUUCCUUGUUCUUCUAUUAGAAUGGGUUUUCUCAUAUUCGAUUUCUCUUCUAUUUGCGAGUAGUUUGCUUAGCGUAACAGGGGUGAAAACCGAGAUGACUUUCUCUAUUUUUGUAUCAAUAAAGGUAGCUUCUUUUUCUUUGAACGAGAGAUCUGUUUGUUCCGGUGCUAAGUGAACAUAACUCUUUCGCCGUUGCUUGGCCCCCUUGCUUUUACUCUGAGACUUGCUACUUGGAUUCUUGCAUAGAACCUUGCUUUACUGUAUCUAAGGUUGCUUUAAGGCCCUCCCUUUUGAUCUAACAUCUUGUUCCAUAGUUAUGUAUGCCUCUCCCGCCUUUGAUCCUAGGACUCCCACUUCCAGGACUGAGAUCGUUACUACCAAGAAUUGAGCCACAGAUAAUAGGCUGACUAUCCUGUCUAUCGGGCUUACCUUACUAUCACUACUGGAAACAAACCCUGGCUCUCCUACUGAAACUUCUACUUGUUCCAGGUAUCCUUGCUUAUGGGGGGGAACAACACUGGCGCGUAACACGCGAGCUCAACAGCAAUAAUAACAAAUACAUAUAUACCGAACUUCUCACUUAUUAAUAUCUAUUUAGAACUACUAUAUGGCAGCCCUGCCGCGUAACGAGUGACUUGGCUGUUGUUCUGUAUUACAGUAAAGUUUGCACUCAUUUAGAACAAAUACAUAUAUACAUUAUGUUGUUUAUUGCAUGCAGUUUCGCUCGAGUACUUGUCGGCUUCUACUCCUUGCGCUUCCAUCCUCACCUCGUAGUUAAAGAAUCGGGCACUACCCUAUUAGAUUAGGACACCACCCUAUGUUGUUAGACUUUGGUCUACUCUAUUCUAUUGGAACUCCACUAGUCAAUAGGUGCUGAAAGCCUAGCGCUUCUAAGCCCGAAACAAGAGAAAAAAAGGUGCUAAGAGCCUCGAUGACACCUGAAAGAAGGGACAACCAGAACUCAUUUUGGAUUUGAUACUGCUGCUUAUGUCUUCGGAGAACCGAACUGGGGAAUAAAAGAAUGAGGCUAAUGCCAACAGGGCUUAAACCCACUAACUCGGAAUACAACAUUGAUAACGGGAAUUCCACUGGUUCUUUUGCUUCUGUAACUGCUGAUCCCAACGCUUUAACCAAUGUCAAACAGGGCUUGAGCUUGAUACCUGGAUCCUAUGUACCGGAGCCACCAAAACCACUCCGCCCUCAUAGCCAGACCUACCUUAUACUUGAAUUCUAUCUUUGAUUUCUGCAAUUCCUUAUCUAUUAUACGAAAACAGCCGUUCCUUUUAGCUAGGUUGAGAACCCACCUUUCCACUACGGAUAACAAGACUAGAACUCGAAACUCAUUCUUGAAAUCUGAAAUCUGACCUCUGCAGCUACAUUACUUUGAUUCUGUAACUCGAAACUGGGUUUUUUUUCACUGCUAGUGUUAAUAUUCGAUCUUAUUCUCCUUAUUUAUAGUUGGAGUCUGUCUUUGCUUGAUUUGAACCUGAGACCACUGCUAACUGGAAUGGAACUACCGGGAAACAGACUCGAGAGCCCCUCCACGAUGGAUUACUAUACGACACGACAGGACUUGCUUGAAAGACUAUGAGCCUGUCAUGCCUUACCCAAAUUCUGUUUAGUCUAGUCCUCUCACGCGUUGUUCUUACUUGAGAGAAGCGGCGGCGUUACCUGAUUCUUUGGUUAAGAGCACGACUAGUUGGUUACUAGCACCACUAGGUUGACCAGAAAUACAGAAAGAUUCUACUGUCCUGGGUGUUUUACUUCUCAAUUCCUGUUUUCAGGCAUCAACCCCUGUUAACUGGUGAACUGAACUAAUUGUAUGCCGCUACUUGUCUAUCUUGACGACUGCUUGCCCCCGAACCCACCUCUCCUCGAAAGUGACUUAUUGGCUUUCAGCACCUCUCCUUCUGCCCUAUUAUUAAGUGCAGCCUGGCCUCUCCUUCUGACGGAACUGCUUACAGUGACAUCGGAGAAGAAAAGACGGAUUCUAAUACCAGAGUGGAGGACGAAGCCCGUUUUCCCUGCCCUCUCUGGCUCAGUAGACUCGAGAAUCAGAAGAAGCUAGAGAAUCCGCUGUUUUAAGUAAGGCAACAGGAACAGAACCUUUCUUUUCUUCACUGACAAUACACAGUCAACGGCUAACAAAACUUCCCUUGAAGACCCGCGAAACCCAGAACUGUAAUAACUUGAUUCGGGCGUCAAUGAGUUAUACGGCUUGAAUUCUUUAUCUUAUCGCUUGACUUCCAAUUCAGAUUAGUAAUAUCCCCGGACUCACUAUUAUUAUUCCAACUACCCUUACGACCCUUAUUCCUAUCCGGAGUCUCGUCAAGAGCAGAGCAAGAGAGAGAGAGAAAGGGCCAAGAAUGGACCACGAAGAAAACUAGUACAACGGAUUCGCAAUCCUAAGCUUUAGUCCACUCAGCCAUCUCUCCCAAUUUCAAUAGAAUGGAAAAUGCCAUAAUAAUGAACAAGUAUAUUUCUUUUUUCCUUUUAAGCGCGGUAAAGGAUAUUGAGCCAGUGAGCCACACUAUUGUGUUCGAGCCUCGUGAGCAGGCUAGUCCAGAUAAAAGAAGAAAGAAGAAAAAGCUCGCCUAAGUAAACUACGAGAUAAUGUAUUAAAUGCACUCAUUGAGGAGAUCAGCUCAAGUUCAGGUCUUCCUAUAUUUGAGAUUGGAGCUACAGUUACACGAACAUAUAUAGAGUCUUUCGGACUACCUUGAUUUUGGGUAGGGGAAGAGGAAGAGGUCAACCCUAUUGCCACCAUCGAGCAUAGAUUAAGACCGAUCGACCGAGGAGAAAGGCAGAAAUGAAUCAAACUGAUGAGAACAAGCCCAAAAGUGCAUUAGCUUACUAUAGGGGUUCGGGUAGUCCCGGGUGGAAUUGGCUUCUGGAGAUUAUUGCGCCAUAGCUUUCAAAUCUUUUCUUUGUUAAUCCAUAAUAUUCCGUUAAUCCAUAAUAUUCCUUAGACUUUUUAUUACAUUACUUAUUGAUUCCGUUACUUAUUGAACUAAACUUCCCGCUUCUUAUUCUUUGUGUUCUCCCGCCUCAGGUCCUUCUACUGAUCCAGCAGAUGCUGAUUCUCUCGGAGUGAGGUCAACUCUACACUUCCUUAGCUAUGACGAUGAGGAAAUACGGAAUAGAUCUCAGUAAAUACACUGCUUCCAGUAAGGAAAACAAACUAUCCGACAAGCAUAGACGUAAGGGACAGAAGCACCUCUUACAAUAAAGAGAAUGAAACAAAAGAAGAAGGUUAACUCAGAGGCGAGGGAAUAACUAAUAAACGAAGAGACGGAAGAUGGUAAAGGUAUUCGCUGCAAAUGAAUUUCCUCAGCGGAGAAAAAUAGUGGAUAGUGAUAGGUUCCUAAAGGGGGGAGGAUGCUUAAAACCGCCUCAAUGAAAGCACAAGAUAGCCUCAGUGGAAAAACGCUUCAAAAUCAAUCUGGAUGAGAGCCACUCUUUGAUCCAUAGGAAUAGAAGCUUGAUUGUUUCAUCGACAACUGAAUCAUGUCCAAUAAGUUCAAGUUACAGAAUCCGCGGGAGCUUUAUUGAGUACGAGUGCAGAAAUGAAAGUGAAGUGAUUGCGUAAUAAACACGUUGGUAUUUGCUGGGAUUCCGCUGAAGUUGAAGUUGACUGACACACUGAUAGAAGAAUGUAACUGUAAACAAAGGAGAGUAGAAAGGUAUCCAGUGGGUUGCCCAUACCUUAGCCCAAGGUGCUCUUACUAUACUCUUGGGGUGCUCGCUAGCUUCAUAAGAGUCUCUUUCAGUUCGAGGUUAGAAUGGAAUUGCACAAAAUAAUGAAAUAGAGUAGUAUAGAAAAGUAGUAGUAUAGAAAAGUAGUAGUAUAGAAGUAUGAGAAGAAGCUUUGUUAGCCGACUAGACGGUGAAGUAGGCUGCUUUAGCUCCUUGUCUACGAGUGAGGCAAUUGCGUUGAUCCGGCAGAGCUGUAAUAGGUGUUGAGCCUGCAGUAAUAGGUGUUGUUAUCCAAUUCUCAAAGAAGCAGUCAGCAGGUAGAGCAGUAAUCACUCGCUUAGUUUGUUUUUUGUCUCAAUCAAUAUAGAGUCAGUCAGGGCAGUAUGUUUACUAGCAUCUAUCGUAUGCGAGAGAGAUGAUUUCACAAUAUACCUAAACUCGAGCAAGGGUCUCAUAUAUGGGAGCUUCUUUCUUUCUAGCUUCUUAGCCUUAUGAUUAUUAUUCUGGAACAACUCAUUCAACAACAACUCUUAGUCUUUUCUUCGGCGUCAGUAAAUAGUGGUUCUGGAACUGUCACAGGCUCGGGUACAACUAAUUGAGUUGGGGGCUAUAAUAUGAGGGCAAUCAAGCCAUUCCAACCGUCACUUUACUCGAACUGGCCAUGCCACUACUAACUAUCAGGAUCACAAACCCAUGCCUAACUGACUAAAAACUGUGUGCUUCUAUUACUUUAACUCAACCCAGGGAACGAAACUAGAAACUAUAGCACCCAUACUAUACUCUCUUACUUGUAGCACCGGCACCCUUCCUUUCAUUAGUGCUUUUCAUUCCUUAGCUACUGAUCCCCGGAUCUUUGUUCCUUAGAUUGAACCUAUCUCUCCUUGGUUAAGAUCUGUCUGUAGUGCUACCGGAUAAAGUGUAGCGGCUCCGCCCUGCCGCGCAACACAAACACAGGAAUUGAGGAAGGCAGCUAAACCAUAACCUAAUAAAAAGGAAUGUAUUACUUACUCGGGAGGAUACCUACUCGACGGAUAUACUUCUCUCAGACAGGCAACCACGGACUGCUAAAAAGGAACGAGGGACCUACUUCUGUAUUUAUUAGUAAGCGCUAGCACACGGGGUAUGUAAUCUUUCACUAUUUAUGCGAGAAGAACAUGAAAAACCAAUGGAACUUCCCAGCGAGAGCAAACGGAAUUGAUCCAAAUCUUAGGAGAUACAUCUUGCCCCACUUAAGGAGGGCAGAUAUGAGCAAAGAAAGAUUCAAUGUUUAGAGAAGAAAGAUAUUGUUAACAGGCUUAUCAUAGCCAUGCGGUGUACUACUAUCAUUGUUGCCAGGGAAGAGAGCACCUCGGAAAGGAAAUCAUUACCAUGUUGGAAUCUUAACGGAGUAGGCAAUUCAAAGAAGAAGCGCUUGAGCGGUUCCCUUGCGGGUUACGUCAACCUAACAACUUGACUCCCUAACGAACUUAAAAGCAAGUAAUUCCACUCCUGACUCUCUCUCUCUACUUUUUCGUCGAUCGCUUUAUGGAAUUUUCUUUCCAAUAUUCGGUAAGUGUGUCCAUGGGUACGGGGAGGAGAAUAGUCUUGGUUCUCUCCUUUUUCUCGAGAUUGGUCUUAUCCCUCUUGAGCUUUAGAUGGCAGACGCACUAAGUUCUGUUGAUUUGUAGAUGGAAUUAGAUUGAUGGGCGUAGUGAACAACUAGCACAAGAGCCUAUAUAUACACAAAAGUGAAGCUGCCAUAGUGUCUGUAUUUUCAAGCAAUGGAAUGGGACAGUUAUCUUUCUAAGGAGAAAAUAGAGGCGUCGAGAAUAUGACCAAGGCCUUAUCACGGGCAAAUUGCAACUCAAAAGGGCCAGCGCUUUCCAGAUGCCUGAUCCGGAUUGAAAGCUUCCUGAUCGUAGAUGCCUGAUCCGGAUUGAAAGCUUCCUGAUCGUUAUUUUGAGUAACCCGGUUCGUCAACAGAGACAGCAAGACUAAAUCGACUCUUCAUUUUCUUCUCUAACUACUUAAAGCAAACGGCGAACUAGUGGGUGGCAAGGAGACUCUAUUAGGGAAAGAAGGCAACCUGCGGAUUGGAUAUGCAUUCAUUCCAAGCGGGUUGGAUACGCAUUCAUUCCAUUUAUUCUGACGGAUUACACCAUCCAAUUAUCAAUUCCAAAUCCAGGAAAGGGGAUAACUUAGAAGAAAGCCAUUCUCUCACUCGGUAAAAGAGUAAUACUAACUGACAUUCUUGCUUAUGAAACAAUAAUCUUGCUUUUUCACACAAUACAAAGAAGUCCCAGGCGCCACUAUCUUUAGGAAUAUCAGCUUAGGGGUGGAUUCGAACGUAGAAGGAGAUCCAUUUACUUGAUCGAUGAUGGCCGGCUCUUUCAUGUAUCGUCCUAUUUUCUGAUAGUCGCCAAUCUUUUUGAACAGCUUAUCUAGUAACAAUCCCUGCAUCUGUCCUGUGGCCAAGAAAAAAGGGAUCUAAAAGACAUCCACAGGCUUUAGCUUUAUUUAAUGCCCGAACAAUAGCCCCACUAAGUUGAAGAUCUCGACUGGUAAGGCGCUCGCUUUCCUGCUGGGUACAAAUUCUAUACCUUGCAAAAGGGGUAUGGAAGUGAUUGUCCUAACAAUACCUACGGAUCAAGGAAGGAAAAGAGGCUUGAACCUAACUUACUAAACCAUAAAACGUAGGCAUGUCAGCCACAGGAUCUUUUCUACUGGAGAAAGUCAAGUGCUCUUUCUUGCCCAUCCUCUUUGCUAUCUCAAUUAUGCGAUGAAAGAGAAGAAACUAAGAUACCCUUUUGCACCAGUCAAAUCGACCUCCGAAGAAGCUAUUUUCCUAAUAGAAAGUGUUUUGACUCUCCUUCGGGUUAAGACUAAGGCACCCCUUUCUCAAUUCAAAAGGAAAUAUUUUCAGUGCAGGAAGUCCUUGGGAAGUCAGGUUUGCAGCAUCUGAUAUUACCGCUCCGUGGGCUUCUACAGUUUGCCCUUCGUUCCAAUCAAGUUUCAAUUAAAGUAGAUAUUUCCAUAAAAGACGUGCGAUAGCGUAACUAUUAUGAAAACCUUUUCUUUCCACUGGUAUUGGUAUGGGCUAACCAUCAAAAUAUGCCUGACUAAACUAAGAGAAUAUAAAGCCUCCGUAUGAAUACCCUUAUCGGCUAUAGGACUUUGUUGGAUUGCCUUCUCCUCGCUACUAUCUCUUUACUAAGGUAUUUGCCCAUUCAAACUCGGAAUCGAACUUAGUGAUCCUGGUAAGGUGUAAGAAGCUAGUUAUUCCUGCUUGCCUAGCAGCUUAGCUACAAGCCUCGAUCAACCCAGAAUUGGCAUUUAUAACUCAAAGAUGCACGAAUACCACUGCUCAACCAACAGUGGCUCUCCUUUGUACGAUCAUUCCCUGGGAUUAAAACCUUUCGAUCCGGUCUCAGGCCUUACUUUGUGAAUAGGCUGGGGAACGGAGUUGCUUUUACAGAAAACCCUUUCGAGAUGUCACCCUGAAGAGUACCAAUCUUGGAAAAGCUACCUACAAGAGACAUGGUAACCACAGGAGCACCUUUCCUAUAGAGAGUAUUGGGGAUACCGAGAGCUAAAAGUCCUCCUCAACACGAGAUCUCAGGUCGUUGGACUUGCUAGAGGAACAGCUUUUCACCCUGCGUGGAAUGUCAGACACCUAACCCAUUCCUUGCGUACCUUUUAAGGAAGGGCCUGUAAGCUCCUGGAAGGUAGAAAGGGAAUCCAUUCAUUCAGGUAGAAAGGGAAUCCAUUCAUUCGAAUAAGCGGGUUACCUGACAGAGCUUGCAGAGGUAUAAAAGCUAUUCGAAAUCGCAUCAGGGAGAUGUUUUCAUUAGAAUGAUCGACAUACCGCCUUUACCACUUAAAAGACAGGUUAGAAGAAAGGCUACGCCAAAGACGGCCAAUUAUUGCCAGUCGAUCUCCUCCUCUUGACCUUGUAUCCCACUUAUUCUUUCUUGUGAACCGAGGAGGAGGCCAUCCAGCUACUUUUUUAGGUAGGGGACCAGACUUUUGACUGCGAACUCGAAUUAGGCCAAUUUCUGAAUUAUGACCUGAGGUAGCGGAGGAAGGUUCCACAGAGGGGGGCCGAGGUAGGAAUAAAUGUUUAGAGAUGGAGCGAAAGACCGCACUCGAGACAGAGAGCGCUCGAAUACUUCCCUUACUAAUUAGGAUGUAGAUCGAGAUCGAGGCGAUCGAUAGUGAGAACUAACAAAUGUUCGAUAAUUACCGAUUGGAUCAGCCUGUAACAUGUGUGAAACAUGGGCAAUGGGUGAGUUUUCUUAGUUAGCUUGAGUUCCUUUUCAAGAGGAUGAGGAAUGACAUGACAGGAAUAAGUCUAUUCUUUGGAAGUUGGUGAAAGGGCAGAGUUCCUUUUUGAAUUGACUUAGAUAAGGUGGAAGAAUGAAGCUAAGCAAGAACGGUUUGCUCGGGUUAGCGAAGGAAAGAAAGCAUUCAGAUUCGCGGCAACCUAUUCAAGAGCCUUUUUCUCUCCACUAAUUGGGGGAACCAGAAGGAUCCUAAACCUCAACGGAAACCGAAACGGAUAUAACAUGGAAAUAGCACCUGAAGCCGAAAGCAAGAAAUCGACAUCUAACUAGACAUCUAUGGAAUCAGACCGUUGAAAUCGUCCCGCCUUUCCCUUGUGCCCUGGAAAUUGAUUAGCAUCCACAUUGCCUUGAAGCUUAAGCUCGACCUUAUCUUAUUUCUUAUUGUCCAAAAUAUACCUAAGCACAUAAAAGUCAAUCGUGCUAUGGGAUAUCUUCCAGUGAUAGAUAGAGAAUCGCGAAUGCUUCUCGUCUUCAGCAGUCGGGACAGUUGUAACAGAAGGUAGCUCCAUAACCCUAUCUUCCAGCCAUUUAAGGAAAAUCACCCUAACGUUCUCUUAUGUGCAUGGAAACUUUGGCGGGCCUUGGGUUGGUUUUGAUCCAAUAAAGUAGCAAGGAGUUUGCUGCUCGUUGGUAGUGGAAUGCUUACUAACCGGCUCCGGCCCUCUAUAAUGAGCUCAAGCUUUCCGAGUGGGGCGAGGACCGAUCUUCUCUUUCUUCUCUAACUGCUGUUGAUUCUCUUACUGAUCUUCUUAAGUCAAUUACAAAUAUUCUAUCAUUGAUAGCUACAACGAAACACACUCCGCUUUUUGUACCUCCGGGGGCCUGGUCCUUAGCUCUUAUCUAUGAUCUUGAUCUGCACUAUAUUAGAUUAGUAGGAUUUCUACCUCAGGGGAUACUCCUUCCAAAUCAAUGAAACUGAAUAAUCUAACUGAGAGACUUACAACUCAAGACCUUCAUUCGGGCAGUCACUCCUUUCAAGUACGACUAACAAACUAAAUACCGGUGCAGGAAAAGACAGAUAAAGAAACACCUUUACUAGGGAUAACCUCUCCCCACUGAUUGACUUAUGGCUAGGGCAUCAAAAAGCCAGUACUUUAUGAUUAUCUUACUGCAACACUCGCUCGCCCUCUUGCAAAUACUUCUCUUUCGAGCGCAUAAGCAUAAGAACUACUUUCAACUGGACAACUUUCUACCUUUGCUUUAAGAGCGGAUCUUUCAACUAUCACUCCACUUUCCAUUUAUGCUUCCUUUCUAUUUCAUUCUGCCUCGACACUUCUUUCUUCUUUCAAGUUCAGAAUUUGAAUAUCUCUAUCUAAUCGAGCACCGAGUAAAACAUUAAUGGAUUAUUGAGCACUUCGACCAGAGAAUCAGCAUCAACUGGAUCUAAAGCAGAGGGUUCAGGGCAUCAUCAAGUAAGUCCUUUGAGUAUACAACUUUAUUCGUCUGCGGGUAAACUCAUUGAAUAGGGAAAUUGUAAUCGAGGUACUCUAUUGGCUCUUAGAAUGAAUUGAGCCUACAAUCUAUAUUUGUUCUGACACCAGUUCCUUUGCCGACCACAACUCGUAUCGGUUCAGGCUUUCAUCCCAUCUUUAGAGCUUCGAGUAAACUAGCACGUACAGGAAUGGAUUUUAGUGCUGUGGUGAAGAUCAGAGAACUCCGUAAGCAAAAAGAGUACUAUUGGAUUGUACCGCUUACUUGAAUUCAGCUUAUAUCGGUCGGCUCGAACAGAAAGAAGGACACUCUCCUCAACUCACAAAGCUAGAAGAAACCGCUCCAUCCCUAAGUGGGCUAUCCUAACUCCCGAAAACAAAGAGAUCCGUAGGCAAUCCUUACUACACUUUAAUAACCACUUUAAUAACUACUUGCGGACUUAUAAAUACUCUGCUCUAACUGCUGACCGACCCUAUUGCUUCCAUCUGUAAUUCGACCUUAUGAGUUGCAUUCUUAGUACUGGAUGCGGGGAAUAGCUACCACUGGUUGAAGUCUGCCCAGCACCGGUUUAGGGCUUAUCACGUACCGAAGAUCAAAUGUGACCCCUUCCACUCAAACAAGGGCGAUGGUCAAUUCUUUCAAAAAGUAGGCUUUCGCACCACUCCAUGGAAAUGCCUUCUAUACAAAUAGAAUAGUUUCAUCAACUUUCAGGGAUUGGAAUUGAAGAAAAUCACUAAACACCCACCACCCGUUCCUUUUCGUAAUAAUGGACUGAAAAGUGGAUCCUGGGCGGAUCGAUAAGCUUAGAAAUGGAGAUUCUAAAGACAUCAAAUAAUUGCAUCGAAUAGAUUCGAAAGAAAGGGCUUUUAACUGCUACCCGAUAGAAGGGGUUGUUAACUGAUAGCCACCCCUACGAUGCAAAGGCUUCAACCCGUCAGUCAAGAGGAAGAGAGUAAGACUGCUUGCCAACAUAUACCUUAGCAAUUAGCAUGGUACUCUUUUGAUUGAUCCUAGCAUAUGCUCCCCAUCUAUACCUCGAAAUCUCUAUGUUUAGCCUAGCGCAGGUCCUUAUUCGAGACUUUCUUUUUUGAUGUGUUCGGUUGGGAAAGGCAUAAGUGUUUGAAAAACGAAAAGCACACCCGGCUUCGUACCUAAAUAGACUCGACCUCUUCUUUCUAUAGAGAUACAAUGCUGCUCUAGUAUAAAUUAACAGAAGUGAUUAUCUCCCAUCAAUCAGUCGCAUGACGAUUCUCACAAGUCAAGAGAGAUUAGAAGUGGUUAUAAAACAAUUCGAAUUAGAAUAAGGGGCCGUGUUCCACUUUUGGUUAAUGUAUCUUCAUCCAUAUCCAUAAGCUCUCUGACCUGGGAACUUUUGAAAGAUCUAAAACACUUUCUCUUUGCUCUUCAUGACAGAAUCCCGUACUUUUAGAUGCAUCCAUCAAACGACCCUUUCUUUCUGUGCUUUGUUUGAAACUUGACCCUGGUAGCAAUUGUGUCUUCGCCAAGAAAUACCUCUUUACCUUUUUCACUCAUGUGGCCAAGUCGUCGGUGCCACAAGAUUAUGAAAAGGCGGUGUUCAUGUGCUUCACUUGCUUAGAUGCAAUUCUGUCCUCUUCGAGUUUAGUUCAACAAGUAACGGCUUGCAGCUCCUAACUAAAAUGCACGCGGGGGGGGUAUUUUCGGGUAACCUAGGCAACGAGUGCCCUUACACUUUUGCAUUAGUCAUUGAACGAACUGAAGCCUUUCAUUUAACCCCCUUAAAACGGAGUUCACCCUGCCCUCUGUGGAAAGAUUCUUAGAUGUUGUUGUUGGGGAGAAACCAGGGGCAACACGCUCCGUAGCUAUACAUUAGCAACAGUGGUAGAAUUCCCUUAGCCUUACAAGCAACAUCGGCACUGAGUAGAAUGUGUAUUUAUAAGUUCCAGAGCAGAGGUCGAGUCAGAGUUUCAUAAGUUAUAGUAUACCCGAGUUUCAUCCAUUACCAUUAUUCUUCAUAUAGUAUAUCACUCCUACGCCGCUACAUUGCAUUGCUUCCAAUACUAUUUCACUCAUAUGCUUCCUAUGACAAAUCUGCCGCAUCUGGUAUAACACUUAGAAUGAAACUACAAACAUAGAAGUUCAUACUUGAAUUAAAGAAUGGAAUUCCAGAAUGAAUAUUAGCCAGUGGAAUUCCGAGUAGUUGGCUGUUGCAAGAGUGUCGGGAAUAGAAGCAGUGCGAGGAUAAUCUGUCUUUGUUGUCGAUUGGAUCGAAUGGAGCCUUCUUGCCUUCACCGAGAUUAUGUCCUUCUUCAGCGCAAAGUGGAGUUCGAAAGUAAGCAAUAAGGGCCAAGUCACUACUAUACAAGGAGACAAGCAGAAAGGUCGGCAAGGUCUAAUCUUUAAUCAAGGAAAAGAGGCCCUUAUAGUAAGUCGGGGACAACCAAUCUUGAUCUUAUUAUUAUAGGAGAACAUUUAUAAGUAGAGUAGCUUGCCGGGGCAGAUGAGGGUUUUGCUUGUUUGCUUAGUUGCGCUAACUUCUAGUUUAAUUGCACAGCUAAUGAUCUGUCUUCCGCUAAUGAUCUUUUUCCAUCUUCUGCUGUCUUUUGCUAAUGAUCCUUUCUCCAUCUUCUGCAAAAUAGGAAUAUGCUUCGCUUCCCUUGUGGCUUCUAAACAUAGCAUACUCCUUGAAUCACGAAUAGAGGCAGUGAACUCCACUUGAAAAGACAGAAUUGCAUCAUCUAGGAACGACAAUGAAUAUCUGAAAGUCACCUCACAAUGCAUUGCUUAUUGCCCUAGCGCCCAUAAGAGAAAAGUCCGCUAAUGCACCUUUCUUUAUUGGGGUUUCCAAACACCGAACCUAUACUAAAAGGACAAAGGCGGAGGCAGAGGCACCCUUAAAACAAUGAGGAUAGGCACCCUUCACUAAACUAAGCUUGUUCCCCUCAACUCUCACUUUGAUCAUCCAGCUAGGCACUCCGAAACUCACUUGAUUAACUCUGCUAGGUACCCGACCCCGCAACAAGAACUUGUGUUAUGGCCCCCAUUCAAGUCACAGAAUGGAGAAGAUUGAUGUCGGCACAGCUUUCCCUGUAUUGAUUCUUGCUCAACACCGAGCCUAGCACAUUUAUUGAGUUAGGCGCCAUACUCCAGAAAAGUACUAAGUAGAGUUGUUACCAAGUCCUCAUUUCGGCAGACAAGCAGACUAGUAACUACGAGAAAAACCAUAAAAGAGAAGAGAAGAGGCAAACAAGCCUACUGUAAAGGACAAGGGAUCUGUCUAUUGCUUUUGAGUGUGAAUACCCUCAUAUAGAUAUCAAUCGAAAUUACAAAUACUAAAGUGUCUCUUGGCGGGCAUUCUUUGUGAGUAAGGCAUUCUCAAAGCAAGCAUUCUGAGGUUGCAAGCUUUCAUCACCUUUGAUCUCCUCUACUAUCAGGCCCUAAGCGAAGAAAGAGCAAUAGAAGUAGUAAAAUAGCCAAGCCUCGCUGUCGAAGCAAGAACUCAUCGAUUUACCUUUUCCAAGAAGAAUGGGCUUUGAUCGGUCGAGUGGUCACAACGCAAUGGGAUAUAUUCCCUUUUUCUUUCUUUCUAGUAUAGGUAUAUAUCAAAGAAUCAUUUGACUACUUUGGGCAGGAUGGAAGAGGGCUUAUCCCAAUCUUCUUACACGGGUCCCGGUGCGCUCUUACGAUGUGGAGAGCAAAGAAAGGCUAGUUUGCAAUGUUGGGGGACAUACGAAAAGCAGCAAGAAUACAGUUGGAUACCAGCAGUGGUACCACGGCACGGGGAUCUCCGGGUAGGAAAGUCAAGAUCAAAGAAAGCCCGAGGAUCGUCGACAGAUUUCAGAACUGUAUAGAUAGAAUUCCGGCCCGUUAAAGAAAGAAGAGGUGUCCGGACUCCCUGCUAGAAAUUACCUUACAACUACGAAGGAUAGAGAGUCCACUUGACUUGCUCAUAACUCGCCUCGUAACUGUAUUAGUGACUUGCCAGCUUGGCCCUGACUUAGUAAAAGGCCAGCAAGCAAGACAACUAAGUCGAUCUGGGGGGUGAAGUCGAAACCUUCUUGCUUACAUAUCUGCUCAGAGCUGUGAGUUAGGGUUAUAUUUCAUGAAAGAAUCAUCGGUGAUAGCUAUAGUACUUCGUAAGGCAAAUAGCCCAUUAAGAUCCAUAGUCUCAGAUAUCCCCGAGCACAGAAGGAGCGGCACAUUCAUACUUGUCAUGAGUGUGUGUCGGGAUGACCUAAGGGGUACUUACUUGAGCAAGGAGAGGGAUUCGACAGUGAAAGGCAAGGAACGGAUGGCAUUAAGGCAAUUUCAAGCCAACUAGUGUUUUUCGAGAAGGAUAUUUAUAUGUGAUUGUGAUGUGCAAAAUAAAAGCUGUCAGAUCAAAUGCAAGUAAUAGAAGGGUGGCUAGAUUCGCGUUGAUUAAUUACACUCUUUCAGAUUGCCUUAGUGUGAAGUGAAGGAACAAGUAAAGACUGAGGAAAGCCGUAGCGCGUUAACGCAUCUGUUUUAUUGCCUAUAGGUAGUAAAGUAAGUCUUGACUUUCUUGUCUUGGCCCAAGCAAUGCCAAAAGGAGUUACCGUGGAACGAAACCUAAACCUACCUAGAGGGGGAGGAAACCUAUACGUACGACAGGAGGGAAAGGGUAUUAUACUCAAAAGGUUUGAAAACAGGGCCUAUCAUUAAGAGUAGCUGACGUGGGAAAAACCCGACCGACCGGGCAGACCUGAUUGAUUGAAAGCGCUGUGCUGAUUAGACUUUCCUUGCCACACAACUCAGAAAACAUGGAAUUAGUUUGAGUCUUUUAACCGGGUAAGUAUUCUCAAACGGCUUAGACUCCUACUAACUACCUAUUCUACCUUCCACUUUCAGAUUAUGCUUGACAAGACUUGUGCGUUGUUUGCUUUUCAUAAUCUUAGGGCAAUUCCACUCUGACUUUACCGCUCUUGCUGCCCACUUUCCCUUCUUCCACUUUUACAGGUUCUCCACAUAACUAAGUUGCUGGUUACUCUACUAAGACUGCUCGAACUGGAACUUGACUUUCAGAACCAACAAUACUGGAAUCUCUAUCAUAGAUAAAGACUCGAACAGAACCACUUGCUGCUGACUUGCCCGUUAGGAAUGAAGUUGCGCUAACUGAGCUCUUCUCUUACCAAGAUGAAGUGGCUAAAAAGCGAAAGAUAAAGUGGGCCAAGCAACUACUAGACCUUGGCCCUGCUUUGAUGCUUCGUUCUUAUCAGCACUAGUGAAAGCCUACAUUUGGAGAGGCUGCAGUCACAGCCCUAGUUUCUCGUUCUCGUCUGAGUUCGCUAGGCCAAGUCUUUUGACCAUCUGUUCGGUUCCAGUUUGUUAGGCAUAGUAUCAGCCUUCCCAAGGUGCUUUUUCAAUUCUCUAUUAUGAUAGAAAGUCCUUACAUGGGCUUUUCCAGUACAGAGAUGUAGGCUGACAGACAGGAUAGUUGGAUUGGGAGCAAGGAGUAGCAGCCUUUCUAUAGUAACAGAUUUCUUUAUAUUAGGACAAAGUAUCCGAUGUGGGCUUUAGAUAGCCUUAAAGCAGUGGUUCAACUCCCUCUUUUGUUGAUUGUACUCCAAUAAGCGUAUUUGACUUGACAGCAAGGAAAGUAAGUCUAGAAGAGAAGAAUAGCAGACUUAGGGGAUAGUUAAUAGGACUAAGAGAGAAGAGCGGGAUCUGUAUCUUUGUCAGCUUCAAUUGAUUCUUUAAGUAGAAGGUCGGGUGCUUGUGUGUAGCAAUUCCGGAUAUUAUUCUUGUGUUGGCGAAGAGAUCCGUUUCUAGAUCUUCCACUGUGCCCAGGAAAGGAGACUCGAGAAUCAGCAAAUUCAGGAUCCGAUACAGGCACUUUCGGGCGAAGGUAAGAAUAUAUUCCAUAAGCUUCAGCGAGGUGCGGUCCAAGCAUAUAAAGUUCCGUUAUUUGUUAUUCAAGUUACGAGUAAAGGGAAGAGCCUAGUUGUGCAUUAGCUUAGUUUGAUGAGUUGGGGCGUCAAAAGCAAGGAAAGGUCUGGAAAGAAGGAUCUAGGGGUUUAGGUGAUUAUGCUGAAGUAACAGAAUCCGCUGGAUCACAGUAUCCAUCUGUAGUAGUAUAGUAUCUGAGGUAGUGCAAAAGUCUGCAGGAAGCACAAGUCAACUGCACAUGGUAUAGAAGUUCAGUGUUUAAGAAGUCAAUAAAGUAAGAAAAUGAGAUGAUAGGAACAAAAACGAAUAUUAAUUCCCACUAAAGGCACAAAAAUAGAGGGUAAGUUGGGAUCUGUCAUCCAAAAGUAAGGGUAUGUUUUGGUGUCAGUAGUUACAUUAUUAGAAGCUGCAAAGCAAGGCUUGUAGAAAGGCAAGUCAUAAUAGGAGUUAGGGGAAACAGCUUUAGAUGCAGUAAGGCAAGGUGUUAAGGUAGUAGAGGCAUGGAAGCCGGGAUAUUAGAUUCGAAGUUAUGUGUUUGAGGUUGAAAGCAGAGAUACAGAGCAAAGAGUGGUGGUUUGAAGCUAAAAGCAACACACUUUAUUGCAGGAUAGACAUACUCCCUUUUGGGGGCAAGCUAGGAGCAACUACUGAAUGCAAGUAAGUGGUGCCAGUUCCUGUUGACAGUGAAGUCUACGAUGGAAGCCAAAGCAGCAGUGUAUAGAAUACCGGUUGACAGCCCGGUUUACAGCCCGUUUACAGCAGCAAAGCAAGUGGAAUGAUUUGUUUCAAGUAAUGCGAGAGAGAUAAGUUGCUCUGUCACAUUCCUCUUAUUUAUAUUAUAGGCGUAAAUGAACUAGAACAGCACUUAUUGAGUUCUCUGGUCCAGAUACCGCAAAUGGAUAAUAUCUCCUCUGCCUCUAGCAACAAUACCUAUGGAAAAUUAUGCUGCUUCAGUACACCUCGCAUCAAAGCAAGAAUACCAUCGGCACCACGGAAACUAUAUUCUCUAUCUUAUAAGAAUCUCAUUGGCACUGUAAAAAGGCGUAUAGUGGUUUUUCUAUUAAUACAUUUCCAUUAAUACAAGUUCUUGAAAGAUGGAGCUGGUGAGUAAGCUCGAUUAGGUGAGGAAGAAGUCAGAGUUUGAGUCUAGCAUAGAAAUGAGGUAAAGAAGACAGUUCAGCCACAGACUCAGUGUUAACGUACCGGGAGAGUUGCCUUACUUAUAUUACGGUUGUCCAUUCAGAAAGGGGAGUUUCGUCUUAGAGAUCAUAAACUUGAUCAGAUAAAGCAUCAGCUGGAGAAGAACUAGUUGCCCCAAUGUUGGCGAUUCCGUUUGUAUUGUCAGGUAUGAGAAAGUAUUGGUCCAGUGCUCAUGGCGGCAGGAGAGUUUUCCCGGUUGAACAAAUUGAGAAGAAAAUGAAAAAAAGAUGAUAAACUAAAUCAAUUGAAGCUAUACACACGCUCUACACACCCAGUAUAAGAAAAUACCUAGCACUUUCUAUAGGAUGAAAUUGAUGAUUCAACUCGGGAUUACUUUAGCACAACAUCUGAUCUGGGUAGGAGUGAGGGCAAGAAGAUCUUAAGGGAAAUGCUGACUCUAGCCUCUGAAACUCCAUUCUUUAAGUAUACAGCACACGAAAGGAUUAGUCACCGCGUUCAAUAAAUUCAUUUGAUCCUAACAUCUUAGUGGGUUCGACUUUACCUCUGCUUCAAGAGUAGCAAACACGGAUGAAACUAGGGAUUCCAGAUACUCUACAAGAGCGAUUCCACUCCAACAGGUAAUUCAGAAACUUACUUGAGAACUGGACCUGGCUAUGAUACUGCUAGUUUGGGCAAGAACGUAACUUUCAACAAAUCAUUCCACUCAAGAGUACGGGUACUACUCUAUAUGCCCUUCUUUAUCUUCUCUUUUCUUUCCUCUCCGAUAUAACUCUAUUAACUAUUAAGAUACAGGGGAAAGGUCUUCAACUAGCAAAUCCACUACUCAAAAGGCAAAUAAGGUCAAUUGCUUACUUUUGAACUGCAAUACCGGAUUGAUAGUAUAGUCCUCUCCUUGCGCUAACAAACACGGAUACGGAUUCCACGGAGAUUCCACUCUAACCUCUCUCUACUGGGCCAAGUCACUCUGCACUCUACCUAUGAAAUUAGUAACAGCGUUCUUCUAUACCUCUGGCAACUGCUACAAAUGCCCUGAACCCGAACUAACUAUCACUCGAACAGGCACAGGAGAAGGUAGAAAACAAAAGAAUCAAACCGUAUACUAGCAACCCUGCGGAAAAGCCUCGCAUAGAUGACUUGGACAACUACUAUAAAGGGGCUGGAAACGAGCCUUUUGUACUGUACUAGAUCUUACUAGUUAGGCUAGGGUUGUUUGUGAAGAAGCACUACUAGGUUUGCGAGGGAGAGGUCAAUUGAGCAUCAACCCGGAACUACUAUAUGACUUUCUAGUUUCAUUGGAAGGGAAGGUAUAAAACAGAGGAUAAGAAUUCAUUUAGUAGGGAAGGGACUGCUUAGUCAGAUAAAGAGCCAAGCAACUACGUUAUUAGUAUACAAAGGCAAAGAACCAAGCAACGUACAAUAGGCAAGCUACCUCAUUUCCUACUCAAUGAAGCGUACAAUAGGCAAGCUACCUCAUUUCCUACUCAAUGAAGCAAGUCAGAAUGAAGUAAGGGGGCACAUCGGUAACAGUAAUCAAUUCAAAUUCAGGGAAAUCAUAUAGUACAGGCUUUGUUGCCAGAAGUACCAGAAGUUGUAGAGUAUCUUAAAGCAAGGGCAAGGGGCAAAGCAACUAAAGGGAGUGAAUUAGUAUGUAUGUUAAAUACCAGAGAGGAGGUGGGCAAGUGGAGCAGCUAGGCUUUACUGGUUAAUCGCAGUGGUGGUCGAAUCGAACAAUUCUGAAAAUACGAAGAACUUUAUUACUUGCUAUAGUAGCAAACACAGAUGAAACUAGGGACUCGACAAGACACAACUACUUAUACUACUAGUUGGGCCCUACUUAUACUACCAACCUGGGGUUUGGGGUUCUCUAAAGAAAGAUCAAUAAUGAAUGCAGGUAGUCCUUCUCUUGCACUUAAGUAAGUGGCUGUAAAUAAAUGAGUUUUGUGGGGGUGCCGCGCCUAGCAUAGUAUGAGUGCCUAGCCGGAGGAGAGGGAGAUGAGAGUCUUGUUCAAGUUCUUGUUCGAUAGGACCUAGUUGUUGGUGGAGAAGAAAACCACUUGCCUUACUUCUGGAUUUGAUUCCUUGUGCUUAGGGAGGUAGUAACAAAGCUUAAAGUGUUGAAAGCUCUUUACUGAUCUGUUUGCUGAACGUGUUUCCGACUCGCUUAGAGUUCCUACUAACACAACCGCAAGAGAAAGAAAGCAAAAAGCAGGAAUUUGGACUCAAAAGGAUUUCUUCUUAUUUGUUUAAUCGAGACUUAUUUGUUUUAUCGAGACGUCUAAUAAACCCUAGCUCGCAUUAGCACGACAUCUUAUUGCAACUGUGUAAAGAGCUACCCUAUCUUAUAAUGGGCAUAUUGCAAUUGCAUCCUUCUCGUAUUACCUAAAUUUCCAUUUCAACUGAAAACUCCAUAAGCGCUUAAUCGAGAUGAGAUCGUAUAGACUAAAGGAAAUACCAACCAUCCCUUGAUACUAUACCCAUGGAACUUAAGGGAACACGGAACUCCUCUACGUAAGUGCGCUUCAGCUUCAUAAGACGUAAGGGCUGGAAAAUAAGGAUAUAAGGCUUUCACUUAUGGCCAAGCAACAACUAAGAUGUUAGGUUUUCAUCCGUAACACGUGGGAUGGGCUAUAAAUCCCGUAAUAAGAAUCUCAAUAAGCUAGAGCUUAUCUGCUUAUGUCUUAUCAAUCAAUCUACUUCUAGGCUGUAGAAAUGAAUUGACGCCUCACAUCUUUGGCGCUGUCACCGACCUUGCGUAAGCUGCUAGUGGUUCUCCUGAUAUGGCUUAAACGAUGAGAACUCUACUUUCUUUNNNNNNNNNNNNNNNNNNNNNNNNNNNNNNNNNNNNNNNNNNNNNNNNNNNNNNNNNNNNNNNNNNNNNNNNNNNNNNNNNNNNNNNNNNNNNNNNNNNNNNNNNNNNNNNNNNNNNNNNNNNNNNNNNNNNNNNNNNNNNNNNNNNNNNNNNNNNNNNNNNNNNNNNNNNNNNNNNNNNNNNNNNNNNNNNNNNNNNNNNNNNNNNNNNNNNNNNNNNNNNNNNNNNNNNNNNNNNNNNNNNNNNNNNNNNNNNNNNNNNNNNNNNNNNNNNNNNNNNNNNNNNNNNNNNNNNNNNNNNNNNNNNNNNNNNNNNNNNNNNNNNNNNNNNNNNNNNNNNNNNNNNNNNNNNNNNNNNNNNNNNNNNNNNNNNNNNNNNNNNNNNNNNNNNNNNNNNNNNNNNNNNNNNNNNNNNNNNNNNNNNNNNNNNNNNNNNNNNNNNNNNNNNNNNNNNNNNNNNNNNNNNNNNNNNNNNNNNNNNNNNNNNNNNNNNNNNNNNNNNNNNNNNNNNNNNNNNNNNNNNNNNNNNNNNNNNNNNNNNNNNNNNNNNNNNNNNNNNNNNNNNNNNNNNNNNNNNNNNNNNNNNNNNNNNNNNNNNNNNNNNNNNNNNNNNNNNNNNNNNNNNNNNNNNNNNNNNNUAUCAAGUGGUAGUCCUGUGUGAGUGAUAGUCAGAACCCCGAGUUGAAGUCUAAGUGAAGUACCAUCCCAUACUAUUUCUCUAUUUGCAACGAAAAAACCCGGGAAAACGUAAAAAAGUCAUUUCAAAGGAUCGGUCCAGGAGGGAAACCAGAGUCGCUAUCAGGCAAGUAACUACUAAUGUUACGCGCCAGCGCUGUUUCCCGGGAAAACGUGAAAUUAUCUAUCUUCUUGAUCGGUCUAGGAGGGAAACCUUGGUCGCUAUCAAAAAACACGGGUUUCGUCCAAAAGAUCAUUUCAAUGGGUCGGUCUAUUAGCUAAAAUCACUUCACUGCCUUUUUUCACGGGAAUUAGUGACGAGUUGAAGACCGAUAGUACUGUUCUGGUUAGAGUUUCAUCCCCAACUAGUGGUGGUCCUGCUCGAGUGUGAGUGGAAUUCUGUAUUUGUAGUGGUUUCUAUCUUUUACUAGGGUCGGGGAGUUUACUGACUUGGAAGAAAAAACAAUCCAAUCACAAAUGAUCAAAUCACAGCCAAGACACUACUAAUGACCAAGCCACUACUAACCAAACAACUAAGCAAGACGGCCGCCAAGCAACUACUAACUCCCAAACACAUAGCUAGUCUAAGGCGCAUCUCAUCUACCUAUGGCAACUUCCAACUAUUCACUUCAUUCGGUAUACCUCUGAUUCUAUACCUCUGGGCUCUUUCAACUAAGUUAUAUCUUUCUUCCCUGGGUUUCUUGCUCCAACUCUUUCUGUCCCAGCUCCAUAAGCGUUGUACUUUCAUUGAAGUAGAGUUAAGCGAGUAAAGGAAGUCUGGAGCGAGAGUGAAAGCAAGCCGGGUAGGUAAACGGUACAACAGUGAAGAGCAGAGCAGUACUAGAGAUGCUCUUAGGCGUCAAUUCAUUGAAACAGCUUUGACUCUGCAUAAAAUGCUGGUCGAGGAAAAGUGAGUUGAAAGCUGGUAAUCCGUAAGAUGUUAUGUUAAUCUAUAAUAUGCUAUUGCACUAAAUGAUAUUCAAACAGAUGAACUUCUGCUUGCUUAUGAUCCUGAUCUCCUUGAUUAACUGCUUUAUGCCUCUGAUCCUGUUCUUGCUUCUGAUCGUUUAAUGGAUUUGGAUUCCGCCCCCGCUUUCCUGGCUAUAAGAGUAGACGACUCUCUGGUCUAUGUUAUAAAGAAAAAACACAACAACUCUACGGUCGAUGUUCUAAAGAAAAACACAUUUGAACUGAGGUUAACCGUAGCUAAUUGCCUACCUAUAGCAUUAGCAUACAUAAUAAUAUCUAAUUGAGAAACUUUCCAGGACAACUUAUGGAACAAGACUGGAAUAACCCAAUUAUUUAGUCGCACCAACAUCCACUACAUGUAAUGAAACAAGCUUAGGUGAGUUCCUGUCUGAAGCUAGCACUUACGCCUUUACCUUUCAUAGACUGACUCCGGACCUUUAAUCUAUCAGCUGGGCACCUACCCUUGGUAUAGGAAUGGAAGAGCAUUGCAGAAAAACAUCAAUUUCUUACUGAUGCACUUGUUUCUUUGGCCUCCUUGCUAACGUUUACUUAAUUUCAUCCACCGAGCACAUAGUCAACCAGUAUGAUUUCGAGCGGUCAGGUCAACUUGCUAAUGCCCAUAAAACAGGAAAAGAUUUAAGCACAUAAAAGUGAGUUAUUCUUCUUGCGGGACGGGAAUGGAAGUCAGUCUAGAAGAUUGCUUGUUGAGCAUUAACCGGUAAGUAAAGAGAGUUUCUCUGAGUUUCAGUAUGAAAGCAGUAAGGAUGUAAGGGAGCAAGCCAACUUAAAGGGCGAAGUGUGGGAGACCCAGCCGACAAGCUACGACUACAAAAGCACAGAAAGUCGGCAAGCAACGACAGUCCGGUUAUUACAAUUCCUGUCUUCGGCAGACAAGUAUACAAGCAAGCAACAGUAGGAGUGAUUAGUUCUUGUGCUCGUUAAGUCAAGUAGUCCAGUUUUCUAGAGUAUGAUUUCGUUCCCGCUCCGUCAAGAACAUCUCCAUACCGACAAAGCCCCAAUCAAUCACUUGAACAGAAAAGAAAGAGAAGAAGGACAUUCUCCACUGGGUUAUCCGACCUAAACUCCACUAUCUUCCACUUAUGAUCCUUAUCUAGUUUAUUAUGUUGGGCCUGGACUUUUAGUGGUAGCUUGUCUCUUUCUAUGCUUUUGUAUACUACUACGUUGCUUGGCUGUAUAGGAUAAGAGGUAUUUUCGCUUUGUUGUUGGUUCUUCAAGACUCAUGGAACUCAUCACUCUUACCUCUGAUCGAGGGCUCUUCUUUUCUCCUCAAGAUCGUGUUUGAAUCAUCCACUCACGUCUGAUAAAGCCAUUGAUUGGAGUUGAUUUGACUAGCAUUUCCUUCAUGAACUGGUUCUUUCUUUCAUUCAUGUGGUCUUAUUCAUUUCUUUGGCUCUUAGCACCUUCCUUCUACUUGUUGCAUGAUUUCUUUUUGCAUUACCAAAUUGAUUGGAUUUCCUCUUCUUUUCUUCGCUCUUCUUCUUUUUGUAAAAAUAGCUUGAUCGUAUGGAUGCCUCUUCAUGGAUCACAGGCGCUCUCUCUCCCCAUGGACUUUCCCCUCUGAAAGACGGAGUUAGUCUCUUCAAGAGCACAUAGCUAAUACGCUGACUGGAGUCUCGGGGUGCUGAGUGAUUAAAGCGAAAAGUAAGCUGGUAGAGCGGAGCCUGCAGCCAUAGGUGUAAGGUUACAAUUCUUUCUGUCUUAUGAGACCCCUAAGGCGACUAUACCUCUCAAGCGACUAUAACUCUUGCUACUCUCUGCUCCCUAUCUGCUUUCUUUGCCUUUGUCCAACUAGUCUUAUACUUAUACUUGUCUUAUGAGACCCCUCGGAUCAUCUACUUACCUAUGGAAACUAUGAACUGAAUGAGGUAUACCUCUCCUAUGCCUCUGUCCUUUCUCGAUACCUAUGUAGUGAGUCCUAUGCCUCUGUCCUUUAUGAUAUUAAAGUCGGGUACCUGGUAGUAGUAGCACUGUUCGAGUGAGCAUCCUUUUUUUCUGACUUGCGGAACCCACUAAGAUGUUUGGUUCAAAUGCAUUCGUUGGCAAGUUGAUGAGUUUCCAUGAUAGAUUUCCCAUCAAACUACAGAAGUUAUGUUUUAGUUAAUUUGACACCCAUAUCUUGCUGGUUCAAGGCAACUCUCUGGUAGUACAGGAUGUUUAGUUAAUAAGUUCCUCUGCUCUGGGCUCGGUUCCAAAGGGUUAACCUGUGUUCGAGCGGCAGUCUAACGCAUUUAAGUUGUGGUUUCAUAUCUAUCGCUCCUAGCAUUUCUAUUUCCUGCCUUGUAUGAUAGAAUCUGGUAACCCGCCUGGUAGGUGGCUCCUUAUCUAAAGUGAGAAUGAAAGUGAACCAGAGGGGUCUCGUUGCUUGUCUAGUAGUUCCUUGGCUGAUAGCAAAGUGAGUGGAGUGGUAAAGUGUAAUCUGUAUGAGUUUACUACCCCAACUCAGUUUAGUCAAACUCUUAUCUUAGUUCCAGAAGGUAUGCCGUGAAGCAAGUAGCCAGCUCCUUUUCUUGUUCUUGAUGAGACUGUUCGAGAUCUAACCCUAUUCCUAGUCUUAUUAGAAGAAGACAGUAAGCGCGGGAAGGAAUGUGCGGGUAAUUAACUAUGAAAUUACUCAGUGGUUGCCUGCCCCUAUUGAUUACCCAGGACAGGCGACGAAGCGGACUCCAUAACAUCAGUAGUAGCGAGUGUCUUUCUAAACAUUAUCCUUAAUAAGAGAAGAAUUAAUUGAUAGUGAUUUCUUAUACAUAGCAGUCCGGGUAGUCCACUUCACUUGCAGAACCGAUUGCUCCUUAUAAUUGAACUGACGCCUUAGCACUUAGUCUAGUUGGGGCUGGAAACAAACUACUAGUGGGUGUUGGAAACGUAGUAAACAAGUAUCUUUCUGAGCCGUAUCUUUAUUAGGGUUGAAAAUGAACUAGAGCAGUUUAGCUCCCUACCACAGUAUAUGCUUGUCGUCUUGAUUUACCUUGUAUAUAAGAGAGUCAACCGGUAUUAAUGGCGGCAGGGAGUUCUUUAGCAAAGGCAAAGAAAGAAAGUGAAGAAAGAGUCAAAAGAGCAUAUAAGUUGAAGUCUAAGUGAAAAGAGCAUAUAAGUUGAAGUCUAGGUAAAGUAUCAAGUGUGGUUCAAUUGUCUAGGAAAAGUUGUACUUAAUUGUAUUGUCUAGGUUCGUAGCUAGGCAAAGAAAGGAAAGGGUUAGUUAGGUCUACGAGAUCAGAGGAAAGAUAAGAGGAGAGGUGGGUUCGGUUCAAUGAGCGGCCCCAAAAACAGGAAUGCCGAGCAGUAGUGCUAGGUUUAAAGCAAGGGUAGGCAGCUUCAGGUGCAGUAAAGGAAGUCCCUCUCUCUUUGCAGGCUUAGAAGUGUUCGGUAAGGCGGCAGCCUUUUCAGUAGUAUUUAGAGUCUAAUCGUUACUAGUGGAUUUCUUGUCCCACUCUAUCAAUCUUGUCAGUACCAGUUCACAAUCCUAUAUUAUAAGAGAAAGCAUUAGAACCAGCAGUUACGGAAUGAAAGUCCGCAGUGUAAGAGGGGAGUUCGGUAAGUCCGUUUCGUAAUGAUAUACAGUAAAGCGAGGUUCGGAGUAAUUAGUUGCAGAAGAAAAGUAAGCCAAGGUAGACCAAUAGGCAUUAGUAGCAGUCUCAUCCUUUGUAGUUUACUUAAUGGUAGGUGGUAGCAAUAUACUUCUAUGGAGUAGAUAUAGAUUGAGAUAAAGCAGUGUCGAGCUAAGAAGCUCUAAAGCCAGACUCCGAGCAAGGAUAGGUGGAUUCUCACUAGGGUAUAGGACUAGUUAGGCAGGGAGCUCGGGUGCAGUGAGUCAUACUUCUCGUUUGGUGGAGAAGUCGCCAGUAUUGUAGUUAGUCGUUGGGGAAUGAGAGCUGGAAACCCAGUGAAUUAUUAUGCUCGGGAUUUGUCUUGUUACUGCCGGUUUGAUUUCUUCAAUUGCUUUCUUUGAUUCUAGAGCUAUUUGUAUGAGUUUACUUAGAAAGCCGACUUCUUUGUUUUAUUCCGAUACUAAUACAGUAGAGCAGGAACCCCACCCUAAUUCAAUAGGGAAGUAUACAAGACCUAGAUAAGGGAGUGGAAGGGGCAAGUACAAAUACAUGUUCUAACUCACCAAGCAACUAGUAUAAGACAAAGAAAUGAACUAAGUAGUCAAGGAAUCAAACAAGCCCCAAGCCGGGAGUGCUAGUUUCAAGUAAGAAUUCAGGGAGAAAGGUAGAAAACGAACUGGAGUUGUUAGUUUCAAGAGCUUAAGAGGUAUAUCCUGAGGUAGAUUAGACUGCUCGAGGUCUCAAGUUUCAAGUGUUGUUCUUUCCCCCCCAAGUAGUGGUCCAAGGAGAGUUUCUUUUGGUGCGAGAGAGGUUCGAUCUCUUGUGUCGGUGAACAAGUCAGCAGCAAUUCCAGUAGACAUCGACAGCAGAAGAAGAAUAAAGUACUGUCAAAAAGGCUUUGAAGCGCUAUAAGUCAAUAAGUAUAGUCACCUUGUUAGCGAGGCGGUCAAUUAUAGUGCCUCGACUUGAAGUGUAGUUGCUCGUCUGGAUGAAACUCAAACGGGACCAGGACCUGGACUUAUAGUAUUAGCUUGUCUUGUAUAUUAGUUACUUGGCGUCUGCUUGUCUGCAGCUGACCUUACUUAGGGGUUACUAAAACAAUGGUACUCGCACCUUACCUUCCACUUCCAACAAAUAGAAAUUGGAGUGAACCUCCACAAGCAACAGACAGAUAUGAAACUUAAGCUAGAAGAUAUCGCGCUUCAGAGGAUAUUUCUUCUUUUCUUUUGCCCACCUAUCCUGGAAGUUCCUUUCAGUUUGCAGCUGACUUGUUUUGUUCAACAGAACUACUUGCUAUUUCUUCUCCGGAUCUUGAAACUGCUGUUCCUAAGCUUGCGGAUUGUGAUCUACCAGUUGCAUCUUAUUGAGUCGACUUCACGGAUUACUUUAGCAUAGCAUCUUAUCUCGUUGACAAAAAGUAACUUAACCUUGUAGUGGGCAUUCGUUCUUAAAGAGAUUCUAUUCGGCUUAUACAUAGGAGACUAAUGGACUUAGCGCGCAGAACUAUACAACCUUAUCCCUUAUUGCCGCUUACUUGGAAACUGCUUCUGUUCCUUCUAUAACUGUUGGUGCUAUUGCUUCCAUAGAGGUCAGAGGUAGAUUAGAGGAGCCUAGCCUAAUGAAGUGAAGUGCUAUCCUAUAAUCUUAUAUGAAUUCCAAUUCUUAUCUUUAAGGAGGGAAGGGAGCCUACGGGUUGGCAAGAAAGAGGGAAAUAAAGUCUAGUUUGAAAGUAAAGUCCUUUGUUCACCGAUGUGAAUAACAAGUACAUAUUUCGGAAUCCAUCUUUGUGGCUACGAGAGCGAGAGAGAAACUAAUGAGUGAGAGCAAGUCUAUCAAGAGCCAGAAAUAGCAAAGACCCUAAUACACUCUUACAACUCAGUAAAGGCGGUUUUCGAAGACUUGAGGGCAGCACUCAGGGAGAAGGGAGCAGGACUGCAUGAAAGGUUUUUAACAUACUUACAGGAGAGAGAGUGGCCAGAAGAAUACACCCUCCAGCAGUUAAAGGAAAAGUACUUUCUACUGGAAUAGUUUGAUGCGAGGGUAGUUGUUGCAUUCUAUUACUACUUAGUGAAAUUCUGUAAUUCGACACCAUGAGUUGGCGAACACAGGACUUGAAGACGAAACUCGGUAUUCCACUCACUACUCCUCUGUCAACUAAGUAAAAGUCAGUAAACCAGCCUAGCCUAACAAGCUAGUCAGUCAGUCUUCCCCGACCUCGCCUCUGGCUCUAGCACUAACUGACUUAUAUAAUAGAACGGAUGAAACUCCCCGAACUUCCCCGAAACUUAUUAUAGAGGCUUCUAACUUUCCUACUUGCUUGUUAGUUUCAUUCUGUAUUUGACUAUGGGGAGCAGCUUCUCUAAUACCUAGGCUUGGAGGGGAACUCUCUUCUUUCACUUUCAUUAAGUAAACUCUCUUCUACAACUCUAUUCUGUAGUUAAGUAGAGGACCAGAGUCGCGGUAAGUCUAGACUACACUAUACUUGUUGGGGCAAUCACUACAUUUGAAUAACAGACCUCCACUCAAGCUUGCAACAAAGCCUUGACUUUCUGAUUCCUCGGUAUCCGUAUCCCUCUGGCGGAUUAUAAUAAGGCACUCGGGAUGAAACAAGUGGCUACUUAACCGACACAAGAACGGAAAGAGACUUGACUUUAACCUCGCUUCACUGCUUCCCUUUCUACCCUAACCUGAACUACCGGUCUGAAGACUAACACUCGAACAGGAACAGGAUCAAACAAAGGAUUUGAAACAGUAGCUGGAGAAGAUAUAGCUCUGGGUAACUAACCAUGGGCUCUCAACUUCAAAUACAGAAUUCCACAAGCCCAGCAUGCAACGGGAAGGAAAGCCUACCACUACUCGGUUAAGCCUCAGCCUUUGACUCCCUCGGUGAAGUCUUGCUGGCACUGGGGUAAGGCUUGCUGGUACUGCUUUGAUUCCUGCUGGCACUCGGUUAAGGCUUGCUGGGCGGUGUUGUAGUCUUUGAUGCAGUGGUUGGUGUCUUAGUGACAGUGGUUGAAGAAUGAGUGACGCUAGGUUGAUUCUUGGAUGCACUGGUUAGUGGUUGUAGUCUUUGAGUUAGUGGCUAGAGCCUGGUUGUUAGCUUCAUUCUUGCCCUUACUGGUUGAAGUCUUGGAUUUAGUGGUUUGAUUCUAACUUUCCUACUUGCCCACCUCAGAGAAGAUCUCAUUCCGUUCACCUAUAUAAAGAUAUUAUCUCAUUUAGUAGGGGACACGCCUACAAAGGUGAUCGAUUGACUACUUGCUUAACACAUAGGUGAGACUACUCCACUCAAUGUAUAAAGAAUCGAGGUAAAGUCCUUAUUUCUCCCGACCAAGCCGAUCGCCAAGCAACGAGACCCCUCCAGUGAACUUUCAUUCUCACUUUCCGUAUUGAGAGAAAGAGCACCCGGCUUGUCACAGCUUCCAUUCUUCCUCUGUUACUACUGAGGCGAACAUAGGACUUCUAUCUUUCUAUACUUUCUCCUAUAUGAUGUGAUAUUCCGUUCACCUAUAUAAAGAUAAUCUAGAUAAUAGUAGGGGCCAAGUAGGGAUCAGAGCCAAACAAUUAUAUCUUUUCCUCAUUGCUUAACACAAGCAUCCGAGCCUAGUCACUGAAGUAAACAAGAACUUACUAUAAGGGCCACCACCCUAACAAGCUAGUCAGUUUACCACCCUAACAAGCUAGUCAGUCAACAACACUACCCGAGUCAAUAAACCAGAUCCGUGCAGGAACCAGAAAGUCAGUAACCCAGCCUAGUACUAGUAAGUCAACUCCCCUCUCGCCAACUACUGGAAUGGAAUAUCUCUCUUACCUUACCGGGAAUGGAAUAUCUCUCUUACCUUACCAGGAGUUUAGGCUAGGCAAGUCACUAUCGGCGUUAGUUGUUACCGAGUCCUGUUUUCUUUUGUUGACACUGGCCCAACCCUAGCUAGAGAUCGAAUACCAGACUAACUGCCCCCGCAUGGCCUCACUGCUUGUUGAAACAAGUCAUUAAGAAACAGACUUAGGGUAGUAGGCAACUAACUUAAGAGGGUUCAGGUCUACACUACAAUACAAGAAUAGGGGUCCGGUAUACACUAGAAAUUCAUUCUAAGCUCCAUUAGGUGUAUUACAAGGGGGGAAUUCUAUCAAAAAUCAUCUCCAGAUUGCAAAUAAAGCAUUUGAAUCCUAUAAAGCAGGGUCGAGUUGGAGUGUAAGCAGCAGUAAGAGUUAAGUCAACCAGAUCAGUAGAAGAAACAUAAUCAGUGUAAGAUAAGAUGAUACAGAAUUGAAUACAGAUUCCACAGGCAAGGAAGCACUAACGGUAGCAAUAGCAAGAGAGGAUCCUCAGCCUACUAUACAAUUGAUCCCAACUAUAUUCUUGCCCGCUUUCAGCUUACUUGAUAACAGCUUCAGAUCCCGGGUUUACUAAAGGCUCUGCUCUAACAGCUCCGCUUGCCUGCUUACAGAGAACUUGAUUGAUUUCUUUCUUACUAUACGAGAUUCCUACCCGCUUUCUUUCUUUCGCCAACAACUGGUACAUCUUCCGCAUCAGUAAGAAGUUGAUUCCCGCUUCAAAGCCUUGACUUUCUUCUUUUCUUGACUUUCUUCUUUUCUUAAAUAUAAUAGAAAUAUAAUAAGUGGUCGAAUACAGGACAGAUAUAGUCGUUCCGCUCUUGCUCUUGAAACCUCAGAUUAUCCUGCUCACUCGAAAGAAACAGCAAAGCUACGUAUACAAAGGCACAGCUAUGGACCAAAAGCCCUAGUAUAGUUCAGUGGCUUGCUUCCUCGCCUGCCUCUCCUCUCAAGUCACUUAGGAUAUCCCUUUCCGAUCUUACCUCGUAUUGCAGGGUGAAGACUUCUAGAUACAGGACUUGGUCACCAAAUACUUCUUGAAACUAACCUAACUCCCAAACCACAUAGCAAGUAGGCACCAACUACUAACCAAGCGUAUACUACUGGACUGGCACCCGAACUAGUAUGUAAACUACCCGCGCCUCAAAGCAAGUACUCUCUGGAACCACCCUGCCCCUUGUAUUGGAAUCAAACAAGUAAUUAAACAAGCCAAGCUGCUGGCCCCUGAUUGAAAGUACUAAUCCACUUCUUAUUGUAUCCCUGCCUCCCCUUCUGACUUAACUGCUUCCAAAGAUUCAAGUAGGUCCGCUCAUUCUAAGUGGGUUCACAAGAUUGACAUUCUUAUUGUCAACUUACUAGAAGGGCCUAUCCUAUGGCUCCCCAGUCCUUGCACAGCUACUACCUUCUGAGUCCUGUGCCCCUGGCUAUCUGUUCUAUCCUCUUCUCUUGCUCCGCCAAGCAUAUACUCGACAAGUUUCACUCCUAACUCAUUGAACUCCUAACUCAGGUACCAGUGUACUAAUUGCUGUAAGUGUUACUGAUUUCUUUGACUACUUAGUUUCAUUCUAAGAUUUACUAGCUCCAUUCUAUCAUAUGCUAUCUCAAUUCUCACGUUUUGCACUAAAUCAAACAAGCCCUUCCCUUUGCGCUAUUGCUUAUUUACCCACGAGGAUAGUUUACCAGACAAAGAAGAAGUCAAUUACGAGGAUAGUUUACCAGACAAAGAAGAAGUCAAUUCACUUCCAGUACAGGAAAAGGUUUUCUCGUUGAAGAUCUUAUUGCCCUAACUCCACUUUUAGAACCAACAACAUUAGCACCCGAAGACGACGAAGAAAGGACUUGUAAGAAUAUAGUUUCGCCUGCAUGAGAAUUCUGCUUUUCUCAAUAGGAAUAGAAUCUUUAUAGAAAUCAAAAGGAAAGGGUCAUAAGGAGUUUUUUGUUAUGAGUUAGGUCCAAGUAACUACUAAGUAACUACUAACCAAGCAGACAAGCGACUACUACAAAAGCUAAGAGCGGAGAGACAAAACCAAUAAUGUUAGUUAGUUCGGUGCCCUUAUGGAGUCCUGACUUUAUGGCGGUAGCGAACUUAAGAGGGUUAGUUCCUUUCUUUUCUGCUCUUGUUCCUAUUCCUACUUUCGGAAUCACUGGCUACUUACUUUAGCACCCGUAGAGGUAAUGAAACAGGCCUGGCCUACCCUAGUUAAGGAAUGACACAAGCCCUCGUAUAGGAAUGAAACAAGUCAAUAAACUACCGUACCCCUAGUCACUUCUUUAAACAAGCAAAGCUGUCAACUAAAACGAUCCUCUGGCUACAACUACCGGUAUUCACCAACAACUCGAACAGUCUCUUUUCACUCUGUCUCCUUAACUCCCUAGUAAUGAACUCCUCUUUCUUUCCUACCUAGACCUAACUUGAGCCUCUGAUUCUUCACCAGCUCCUUAUGAUUCUCGAACUCCCCUUCCCGCUCGUACCUGAUCUAGCUCCUGCUGAUUGAGUUUCUUUCCCCUUGUUCAUUAGUUCAGUCUUGUUGGCACUGGUGUAAUUCCCGAGUUCGAGUAUAUAAAGUAGUGUGGCAGCCUUUGAAGCACUAGUCGGAUUCUUUUGUUAUAGGGAAGAUAGUUCCAUUCUUUCCAGUAGUCGUAGUAGCCUUGGAAGCAGUAGCUACAGGCUAUAUUAAGUAGUUGAUUCCCUAUUUGUUAGUUGAGCUCGGCCAUACCCUUUCUUUGCCCAACACUCAGUCUUAGACUACACUUAGCUCAAUUCUAGCUUUGAUACCUUAGCUUUUAGUCUUCCUUGACUUUACCUUAUUCCUCAAUUGUAACAUAGCACACUGCCGCUACACUCUUUUGAGUGCUUUUCGUACUUUAUCCUACAAUAAAGAAAGAAACUGGUGCCUAUUGGAAUUGAACUAAGAGGUAAGAAAGGUGCUGAAAGCCUGCUGCUAACUCUAAAUUGAACUACUCUACCUGAUAGGUCAAACACAUAACUUAGCCUUUGUCCCCUAGCUUUUAGUCUUGCUUUACUUGCCCUGAGUCUUGCUUCACAGUCGAUGAGUCUCUGUCCUUAACGUUACUUAGUUUAUUUACUUAUAUUUAGAAUAAGAUCUAUGACAUACUGGAAUUGAAUCAAUAAUAAGUAGAAGAACGAACUACCAACACAACUAAUAAGACUAGGGUAAGAGCAUAGGAGCUUAUCUGACCUACUUUUGGGUUAGAGCCUCCUUAAUUCCCUAUUUACAGUUUGAUUCCUGUGCCAUAGUUUUUAUUUCAUCACUGCUACUCGGAGUGACAAUUACAAGGCUUUGUUUUCAGUCGGGCUUUCCUUCUUGUUCUGGUGUUGAUUAUUCCUUAUUCCCUUUGUUUGAUCCUAUGCUUUAUGACACUAUAUCAUAUGGUGUAUCUACGACGUUGACUAUCGAAUUCAAUAGGCAAUUAGCAUACUUCAAAAAGUAAACUAUACUGUAUAGCUGACAUCAAUAUCAGAAUUGAGCUAAGAAAGAAGGAUUAAAAACAUAAGUGAGAAUAUCAGAGGGGUUACGCAACAUCAGAUAUAUUUUGUAUAUGGCAAAUCAGAAUCCAAUCCUGUAUUAGUAGAGACAAGUAACGACUAGACGCCAAGCAACGGGACAGGCAACUACGACUAUUAGAAUGAAACCGCUACUCGUCAGAUGCCCUAGGUGCCUAAAGAAGGCAUUAGUCUAAAUCCUACUCAGGGGUCUACUACUACUACUGAUAAGAAUACCAACUACAUAAGACGAUAACUCAUAAGAAAGAAUCCAAUACUGCCCUAACGGCUUUAACUCAAUACAUGGAAUCCAAUCCACUCCAUUAUAGAACUCCACUAAUACUAUCAGAACUAAACCCAGCAGUCCGAGCCCCCUAACGAUUGCAUAUCCUUAUUGCCUUUCCCUUGGCCCGACACCCCUUGCUUGUCCUUACUUAGUUGCUCGCCGAGUGAAAGUGUUUUUAUGCGGUGUUCAAUUCCUAGUUUCCUUUCUUCUACUUAUUUGUUUGAUUCCCGAGUUAGUAGUGGGGGAGUUAGAUACAUUAGUGGCAGGGCUGGGUUACAAAUUGAGUGCUUUUUAUCCGCUUACUAUUAUGAGUUUUCUUGUUCAUAGCGUUGUUCUAGUAUGUUCAUGCGAGUAUCCAAUCUAUUAGGUAGUGUUUUCAACCUAGGCUUCAGUCUUUCCAGUAGCAGUUAUAGAGAAUGAGACCACAAACGGGAAGUAAGGUUUAGCUGAAAGUUUUUCUGUUUGAUAGUAAGGAUCGGAAGAGCCAAACUCGACUGUGAGGUAAGGGCUGCAAGAAUGGUAGCCUGUAAAGGCGGACUAAAACAUAGGUGAGCAACACCUUAUUAUAGUAUGGAUUCCGAUUAGCAACUGUUAAAGCUAUGUUAGUACUUGUUGAAUUGAACUAGGGCUUCGAACACCCAGUAACUCACCGGCAAGCUACUCUACGACUACAAACUCUACUCUCAGUUCAUAACCACUUCUAGCCUACCUCCCCUCUGGUCUUGCUAAUCUACCUCUGUAAACUCAUAAAGUUGUUGCUCUGGACUACUCCGACUACUCUACUGGUUGGGCAAGGGAGACAAAGACAGGACUUCCCUCUUUCUCCACUUUUUCCUUAAUAAGAAGAUCUGCCUCCCCUUUCUCUGAAACUUCCAAUAAUACCUGUUAGCCCGCCCUUCCUUAGCUUGCAUUCUUAUGAUUGAGUUGGCGCCGUCUUUCCCGUCUAUCAUCCUGACUAUCCUUUAUCUCUUUCUGAAGCUACUGAGUGGUGAGUUGAAGCCCAGUAUUAAUGAGUCAAAUUCCUACUUUAGAGUUGAUAGCGAAGUGACCCUCUGAUACUAGAUGCGCUUAGUUUCAUUCUUAUACUACUGAGUUUGAUUCUCACUUUCUAACUUUCACUGGGGAGUUAACUCAUAAACUACUGGCUCGGCUCUGUAAACAAAUACUUCUUGAAAGAGCUAUACCGACUUGACUUAAUAUAAGGCUUUGCUAGACUAGCACAAAAGUUCUCUUUCCACUCCUCUUAUAUACAAAAGUCAUCUUUCCACUCCUCUUAUAUACAAGUGAACAGUAAACACAAGUGAACAGUAAACAACAUGACAUUCCAACUUUACUAAAUUCUAUCUUAUAUUUCUUAAGGAUAACUGAUGAAACUUCCCUUGAAGACCAGACCCGACCUCUUAAUCAUGAGCUAGGUAUGAUAGUUCUAUUACUAUAUGCGGGCAAAGUCACUACUAGACAAGAAAGCCAGUACUACCAGAAGUAACCAACAACUUAUUAUAGAGGCGUGCCUCUUAGAUGAAAGUAUGAGACAAACUACAACUACAAAGGCAAAGAAAACAAUAAAGCAGGCAAUUCGAGUCGACACCGCGCCUCAGAAAGACGACUUGGACCACUACUUUUCAACUUACGACUUAUAUACUCCCCCGAUUGCUGCUAAUACAGAUUCCACUGGACUACUUAGGGCUUUCAAAACCAAGUCCUGUGUUCAAGAACAAGUACUACCUUGUCUGAAACUCUUCCUCAAACAGAAUCAUGAGCUAGGUAUUCUAGAAAUAAGUAACCCAGGAAAAGAGGUGGGUCCAGAAAUGCAGCAAGUAAGAAUGAAGGUAUUGUUGCCAUAGGUAUAGGAGCCGAAUGAAGUUCAUAGUUUACAACGGUAUUGAAGCCAGCAGCUAGUUUAGAUGAGCCAUAGGAGAGUGAAAAGAGCCAGAAGAUAGAUAUAGUAGCCAUAGUUCUAGCAGGUAUAUAAGUGGCACUCGCUUAAGGAGCUGAGCUAGCAAGUGAAGUUGAUUCAUAAGUCGUAGUAGUACUGUUCUGGUUCUAAAGUCUGGUGAGUAUAGAGAGACAAGGGGAGCUCGAGAAUCAUAAGGAGCGGGUGAAGAAUCAGAGGCGAAAGUCAGGUCUAGGUAGGCAAGCUUCAUGACUCAAAUCCAUUCUCGUAAUUGCUUGGUUACUCGGUAAUAUACUUAGGGCUUCAAAGCCGAACCUUGAAACAACAAUUGUACCAGUAGGGCCAUGCCAGGAAUGAAAUCUUUCUCUUCUCUUGCUACCGUAAGGGCACUUGUUCUUGUGCCGAGUCCACUACUCCACCUUUCGCUCGUUCCGAGUCAACAACUCCCGUUAGCGCCUUACCUUAGCCACUUAGUAUUAUUGGUCCGGCUACCCCUAAUUCUCAUCUUUCUUGCACUGAAGGAACUGCACCCGCACUGCCAACUUUAGCCUCUGAUCCAGCUCUAUCUUCUGCUUUAGCCUCUUCUUAUCCUUAUUCUACCCCAUCAUCAGAUCCUUCUUAGAAUCCUGUUCUGCCAAUAACAUCAUACUUAACUGGAGCUGGACCUGGCAGCAAUACUUAAGCCUCAAUCAAAGUCAAGUAUCCGACAAGUAAAGCAACCAAGCGACUACUAAACAAGCAUAGAAACGUAAACUUGAAUGGAAUAUCUCUAAACUCAUACAGAAUCCAACAAGAAAUACAAAGAAUUCAACGGACCCUAUUAAGUAAGUAGGAAACUCCAUUCUUAUAACUGUACUGGAAAGCAAGAAAGUCAGAAGCAAGCUCCAACCUCAGCAUUGAACUGGCUCCAAGGAAACCAUCUUUUAUGUAGAAUGAGAAUUAUCCUACCGCAACACUCGUACCCUCAACUCGAUUCUGGUAUUUCAAGCUUUCACUCUUAGCACAACCUACCACUCUGUGAUUACCAACUAGAAAUAUCCAUACGCUCUCGGUUACCUUAAGAACUCUUUUAGUGCAAGGCAGCUCACUGACACUGAACUUUGAUGCUUGGACCACUAGCAGGAGCAAGCCUACAGUCAAGUAACUACUAGACAAGCCGAGCAAAAGUUAAGUAUUAUUUAUACAUUUGCUAUCAGCCAAGUUACUACUAGGCAAGUAGACAACCAACCACGAAGCUAUCAGCCAAGUCAUUACUAAGUCCUGUGUUCGGGUGCUAAGAGCCUAGUGUGGUUAGUUUUAUAGAUAGGAUCCGGAUCAGUAUAGUAAGUCCUAUUUCUUUGUUUGCUUCUUUAUCGUUAUUGGUGGUUCAAUUCGGUCUUUUUGCCCAGAUCAUAUCGGCUGUUUACCAUCUGUUCCAUUCUCACUGGUGCCCUUCUCCAUUCUUAGACUCACUAAUGAGAUGAAUUCUUCCCACACAAUACGCAACACCAUUUUGAAUGACCUUGUGCUCCGCCCUGCCCUAAGCUUCCAAUACAAAUACAGAAGAGUGAUUUUCAUUCUGAUUUAAUAGAGCGCAGUCUUAGCUUCCUAUCCAUCCGAUGUCUCCUUCCUUCAUUCUUCUUCUUCUUCUUAGUAUAGUAUUCCUAUCUUUUCAUUAUUAGUGGAAUUUCUACGUAUGAGUUGUUGUCUUAUCGGUAGUAGCGAUAUUCUUGUUAGUGGUGAUUCGAUCCCUAGUUAGUGACUAUUGGUUGCUGUCUUUAGUUAUGCCUUCUCGUUCUUUUCUUUAACUCAAUACUGGCAUCCUUGCUUCUGCAGAUCAGUAAACCAAUAUCCCCUGCUAAGUCUACUGCUACUAUCUCCAAAAACAAUGCUGCUUUAUCUCAUUCACCAAGCUGCUACUACCAUUAGUAUUAUUUGUAUUAGAAACUAAUCCUAACCUAUAAACUGACCUCACCGAACUAUACUUAGCAUUCUGAUUUGUCAUUGAAAACUUCCACGCUCUUGUACUUACUACCGAUAUUCUUUAUUCUCUAUAUCGUACCUAUAUUCUGUAUUUCCAGAUUUCUUCUUACUCCUUUGGCUUCUUUUUCUUCCUUUGUCUUGCCCCUAUUUAGGGUUAUUCUCAUAGCUUAUUGAUAAACAUAUUCUAAUAUCGGCGAAAAGAAUCAUUAACCUAAGUAGUAACCUUAAUAAGGCACGUAAGAAUAAAAGACAGUAAAGAUAGGCUUGUAUUAAGGAGAGACGGACUCUAACUAAGCUUGGAAGCUAUUAGGUAAGGCUCGGGAUACUAGGGCAUAUAAUAGGGGGUCCUCUGCUGUUCGAUUCUAUCCCUUGAGUUUCUAUUAGUUUAGGGCUAUGGCCUUGUUAGUUGCAGUUCAACCCGAUAGUUAACCAAUAAAAGAUAGAUUGGUGCCCCAAGGUAUUCGUUUUAGAGUGAGUAGCUACAGACCUCGUUUUGUAUCUCAGGAAAAGAAAGCAAGUAUGGAUACCUUUCCUUAUUCUCAUGUACUAGAUCAAUUCUGAGAAGCACCGGUUCAAGCCACCAAGGCACUGCUAAUGUGACGCGGUAGCGAGCCCUCAGUGGUUAGAGACCUUGGCGACCAAUACAGAGAGUCAAUGGACACCGCGUCAGGCUGAGAUGCACUGGUUGUAGUCUUAGUAGUCGUGAUAGCUGGGGCUGCUAGUUGCUAGUUUGAUUCUUAUCCGCGAGCUCACCUCUUAGUUGCAUUCUGGAUUUCCGUACUUAUGGCUUAGCUUCCUCUCCUCUCUUUGAUUUCCUGGUUCCAUUCUUAUACUGACUGGUGGAAUUCCCCCUUCCCUUAGUCUUACCUCUCCUCUUCUCUUGUCUAGUAGUUGCUUGGUGGACUCGCUUCUAAUUCCACUUUCAUUCUAUCUUGACUACUUUCAUUCUAUCUUUCUCCAAAGAAUCGAUGCUUUUGAGCUUGGAAACGAGUUGCUGAUGGCUAUCUGGCAUUCUAUUAUGCAAAGCACUCGCCCCCCUUAUGUCUGCGUCUGCGCUAAUUGAGGAAGGAGUGUGUUGACCCCAUUUAAAGGGAGCCUGAUCCCAGUUGUUAAUUGAUCUGCAUUUUUGGGUAACCUCUAUGCUUCUCGGCCUUAUCUCCUUUACACCCUGAUAUGGAAUUAGUUGAUGCAGGGUUUGCGCCCAAACUCUUUCUGGGAUCUGCAGCAGAGACAGUUUCCCCCACACGAGUGGCGCUGGAUCCUCCUUUAUUUCCUCAAGGAUGUAUCUGUACAACGAAGCCAAAGACUUCCAAAAGGAUAGGUUAAUCAGCGUGUCUUUGAAUUCAGGGAAGAUCUUGCUCAUGAGGGUUCGAGUGCUCGUUCUAGGAGCUCCUUCCUCAAUGAAUAUUCCAACAUAGAAAUUGUUCCCUGUGUCUCAAAGAAAAUUCCAUCGAAAAGAAAUAAAGAAAUGUGGAAUUGUUUAGAUCAUUAGCUGCAGGAGUGACUCGGCUGUCUAUACGUUACUUGGCCUAUACCGAGUAUACUCAAAUGAAUUCUCUUUCAUUAUAUAGGAUUCUAUUUCCUCUUGCGACAACGGGGUCCCUUCUCUGGUUGCGACAACGGGGUCCGUCCCUUCUCUGGAGUGGCAUCUCGGCUCUGGAUAGUGUGUUAGUCGAAGAAACUUCUUGCGUAAUUCUACUGCUACGGAUAACCAUAAGUAUAGAUUGUUUUCAUGCUAUCGGAAUAGAAAAGAGAAUGCCCAAUGCCAUGCCUAACUGGCGGUAAAAAGGGAAAAUAUACCGACAAAGAAAAACGAAUGAUUGAUAACAAUUAAUGAAAUAAUGGAUAAAUGACUAGUAGAGAAGAUUAGGAACGAAUAAUGAAAGAGAAACGAAUGAGUAAAGGAGGAGUCACUGAGGGAAAAGAGCCUAUAAUAUGAGAAAAGAAUAUGAUAACAAAAAGAAUAUAAUAUGAUAGAAUAUGAGAAAAAAGAAGCGAAAAAAAGGAUGACUAGAAACUAAAACGGAGGGAGAAAUAAGGGGGAGAGAGCUUAGGAAUAUCAGGGAGAAUAGAGGCGAAACACCCUAUCUUUCCUUAAUAGACGUGAAACACCUUCUCUUUCUUAAUAGACGUGAAACACCUUCUCUUUCUUAUUCUAAUGAGGGAGGAGCAAAAUACAGAGGAUAUGACAAAAAGCCCGAGGGCGACCCAACCUCUUGUGAACAAUCCGCAGAUUGAAAUUAGUAAAAGCUAUGAAAUUCGCAACAGUCGGCUUGGCAGGUACGUACUUGUUGGAUCACGUAGGGGCGGAAAGAGCACCCACUAUGGUAGGGAGGUUAUCGCGUGAUGCGGAAAGAGCACCCAACCCACUAUGGUAGGGAGGUUAAUUAAUAAGAUCAGGGCUACCCGACACAAGAGCAGAAAUCUACUUUUUACCGGCAAGCGUAUACUACUGGACUGGAACCCGACCCGGCCUAUCUUUCUGAUCCUGCCUCGGAUCUUGCCUCGGAUCUUGCUCCUAUGUUUUAUAGGCUUGAAAUGCUUUCUUUCUCAUAUGGAGCUGUUUUGAAUGUCAUUUGCCAUCAACACAAAAGAAGUUCUGUUAGAGUGCAUUUCCUCCUAUAAGAUUGAUGGUUCGACUUCACCUCUAGCUCUGUAAACUAAUUCUGUCAUUCCUACUUCUGAGGUUGUCUCUCUCUUACUUGAAACAAGAACUCCCGGCUCAGCGAACUAAGGCUCAGAUCAUCUCUUUGAACUCUGUCUUGUCUACUUGCCGGAUAGCUUGAAUAGCUUCCCGAGCCUAGUAACUUCAUGAAACAAUCAAUACAGAAUACAGCGGGCUCUGGCUCUGUGAACUCAAACUACCCUUUCUGCUACCUUAUAUAAGAGAACUGAUUGAACUCCAUGGCGCCUACCUCGACUCUUGAACCUACCUAUCCUCUUCUCUUGCAACAAAGACAGAUUCACACCAAGAACGGAAAUAGACUGAACUGCUUAACUGCUACAUGGGCAUAAUUGGAUUGGACUUCUGAAUUUGAUGCAAGAAAGUAAAGCACAACGAAGGAAAGAUAUUCGUAUUCUUGACUUAUGGUCAUAGGUAAGAAGUAGCUCCAUUCUUAUCUUAGUACUAAAUGUGCUUUGACUACUUAGUUCUCUAAGUGUUAUACCAGUAAUAGCAAUACCCCAGUGGAAUUCUUUGUUGAUUCCGGUUUCCUAUAUUAAGAAGUCCUAUGUUUCCUAUACAGUGUCAGUACACGGGUUUCAAAACGCGAAGACAUAUAUUGUAAUAACUUCGUUAUGACUGUCACUUGCUGCCGCUCGAGAUUAGGACUUGGGAACAACCCCAUAAAACAUAUUAUAUGAGUUCCUUGCCUUCUAUGUUUUCGUAGCAGUUACUUGGCCUGAUUUAUUUGUGAUUUGAGAAAUUGAUUCAUUUUCUUACAAUACCCUAGCCCGACCCUACCUAGUAUGUCUAGUCCACCCCACAAAGUAAGUAAUCAAGCCCUACCUGAACUAGUAGUUUCGUGGUGACUUUAUCCUUGUUUGUAUUGACAGGAAAGAAGAGAAGAGAAAGGAGACAUAAAUCAAUAAAUACAGAAAGGACUGCCGCGUAACAUUAGUAGUUACUUGGCCGGUCUUCAACUAGCCAAUAACCUACUACGCGCACUAUAAUCAAUGGUCAGUGAAUUCUGUGACUUCCACCUCCUGAGUUGAGAAUUUCCAUUUCAUUUAAGUGUUAGGAGCUACACCAAGAGCGUAUACAUUGAGGUAAUCCGGGUCUGGUUCUUAGCUUUGCAUCGAAUUAAACCACAUGCAUGCUCCGGCCCCCGUAAAUGACUUUUAGCGAACGACGAAUUCUUCCUCUUCGGGAGAUUGCUUGGAUAGGUCCCGUGUGUGUCCUUUCUAUCUCUCGAUGGGCAGUGGAUCUGAUUCAAACAUGAACCAAUGACUCGAGUCACUCGGGCAUUCCUACAAGAGAUCUUCCUUCUAACCCAAACGGAAAGGGAUUCUUUACGCCUUAACCUUUGUACCGCCUUUACCUUUCCUUUCUAACUGUCCCCAUUCUAUACUACAACACAAUAAACUCCACUUUAAGAACCCUACUCACUACAUACAGCUGGAAGAUGCCGUUCCAUUACGUGGGUAUUAUUCCAGAGAUUCUAUUCGAGAUACAGUAAAAGUAGAACUCUCUCUCCUUGAUGAACCAACAACACCACUGUAAACCCGGAUUUAUGUCCCACUGACUGGAUACUCUGACUUUAGCCUUCUUCUCGGCUCGGCUGAUUAUCUCGUAGACAACAAACAGAGGUAAAGCCAAUAAAGGAAGGGAAAGCCCGGAACUGUGCUUGUAGGGGAAAGCCUAUAACGAAACUUCACUACAACACUAUUAGGAACUCGAUUACCUGGAGCUACAGCGGUGACACGACUUGGAUCACUUAGCGCAUUUAUGGAGUUGGUAUGGAAAGAGGGAUAUUUGCUAUUAACAGAGUAAGACAGAGCUUCAACAACGAUAAAUAAGGGUAUUUGCCAUUAGCUACGUUGAACAGAGGUCUUACCACUACAAAGAAAGAUUCAGUUCCAGGCCUUAUCUUAACCUUAAUGCUUGGGCCACAAUGUGUAAGUAGCAUAUGAUAGAAUUUAGUAAACAAACACAGCUUACUCAAAACAAAGCGUUAGCACCCUCUCUGCCAAGCCAACAUUCAUUUCUCUCUCUUACCGUUUAGGAAUUGACACUCCCUUCCCAAACCUAGCUGUCCAGAGAUGCUUCACCGCUUAACCUAGACUCGCACCCGGAUACUGAUUGACCUCGACUUGAAGUUAUUAAUUUCUUUGAAUCUCCUUUUUUGUAUACCUAGGAUAGAAUGAAGUCAAGUGUCGAACAGUCUAGUCUAAGGCUUCUAAAACUAGUCCUUCUUCCGAAACUCAUCCUGCUGUCACUCGAGUCGACAACACUAGCACCUGACCCGACCUCUCAUAACCUAACUUUUGAACUGGAACUAGCCCUAGCCCUAGACUCUUAUCUAACCCACUUGCAACAGGCUCUACUCUUUCUACAAACAGGACCAGACCUAUCCUUGAAGACGAAACUCAUCUCUACGAUUCAACUCGGGAUUACUUUCGAACAGAAGAAACAGCAUGUAAGGAUCCUGCCCCCUAAUUGUUGAAGAACCAAUUGUAGUUGACUUACUUUCGAAACUUUCAGUGAACAAUUGAAUCGCAAUACACGCAACACAAGCAUCCGAACUAUACUGACUUUCGACCUGCUUCUCUGAUCUUGUAGACUUAAGCAUAGCUGAUGCGAAUUCUAUUACAACAACAGAAUAACCUAUAUCUACUGACUUAUAGCCAAGAAUCGAUUUUGGAGACUUUCUACUUGCACCACCACUUGCAACUUACACAAGAACAUGGGACUUUAUGGACUUAUCGUGCCCGUACUAUUGGAUUCCCCUUAACAAGCUGAACUUGUAAGUAAAGUAGGCUUUCCUCGCCCUUAACGGUACGAGCCCAUCUACUCAAUUACCCAUCGGCUGCUAAGCUGCCCUUGUUUCGAGUGUACCGCUUGUAGUAGUAGUUUGGUGGUACGAGAAGCAGUAAGUAAGCCUAUGAGCAAGGCAGGACAUCUUUUAGUAAGCAGUUACAACAGUAUUAAAGUCAGAAGCGGGAGACCUUUAUUUAUAGCUUGGAGAGCUAGACUGAAUAGGGCAGGGCGUAUUGGUAAAGAGUAAGGCUUGUUUUGUUGGCAUCGGUUAAGGCAUUGUUGGCAUCAGCUCAAGUCUUGGAAACACUAGUCCAAUUCGUGUUAUUGGUGUAGGAUUCCUAUUGUUGGCAGUAGAUAAGUAAGGGCAGCUGACGAUGGCCCUAGCGCAAGAAUACAAGUGAGCAAUGUUUGUUUUAGAGCUAUGAGUCGAAGGAUCCGGAUCCGCGGUGAAAGUAUUAGCCUAGGUUAGUGUAUUCUGUUUGCCAGUAGCGUUAUUCUGAUAUUUCAAGUAAACAGGGGCUUUAGUGAGUGGAUUUCUUAUUCUCGGCCUUAUUUUCUAGGUGACUUCUUAGAUGCGUACCCUUACCCUACUAGCACUUAGGGUGAUUCCAUGCUCUACUACUUAUUCUUAUACCUAUACAGCGAUACAUCAUACCUUAUCACUUCUAAGUUACAUUACGAGAAGCACCAGUGUCAUUCCCUGUUCGAAGCUACGGCCUUGCUAGCCCCGGGUCAAUUCUAUAGUUCCCCUGGUUCAAUUACAUAGUUUAGAGUUAAGCCUUGUUGGUAGGUCUAUUCUUUAUUACUAGUGGAGUUCCCGGCGUUGCUAGCUUAGUUCUUUAUUUCAUAGUUUUACCUGUGUUAUAGGGCUAUAUCCCUGUUGACAUUAGUGAAAGUAUUCGAGGUGGUAGUCACAUGCUAGCAAUCAAACACUACGGAUCCGGAUGCCUAGUCCAAUUCUAAUAAGUGGCGUUUCGAGUUAUCAUAGUAGAAGCCUAGGUCCAAGCCAAGUCCGAGAAGCAUUAGUUCCAUCUAUUGGUAUGGUAGUGGAUUCUGAUUAGCUGCAACUCGAUUCUUGUUAGCAGAGGAAUAAGAUUUGGAUAUAAGUAAUUCAGAUGUAGAUCCAGUAGCGGAAGACAAAAACUCGUAUACCAAAAGUAGAUCUCUGUGCGCGCCCCUUGUGUUACUCUAAUUCUGAAAAAUACCUUUCUAUCAUUCUCACGACUUUGGCACUUAAGUGAAGUUCAACUCCCUCUUUGGGGUCUAAGGGUAAAGGGUCAAUAGUCGAAAUAUAAGGAACAGGGUCAAGAAAGGGUCAAUAGUCGAAAUAUAAGGAACAGUACAAAGAAUCAUAAUUCUAUAGUGGGUGUGGGAGCGUUAAGCUUUGAUUAUAGGCAAGACAUUUGAACAGAACAAGCAAGGGUUUCUCUACUUAAGUAUACAGUACACCGCGCGACUCAGACUCAGCUCGCUAACGGGGAGUUCUCGUAAACCCGGAUUGAGAAUCCUAACACCUAUGGUAAAACUCACUCAUCAAAUGAGGCUUGUCUCUUCCCUUCACCAGGCAUUCCUUUAAAUUCGAGUAGACUAGGAGGCAAGACAAUCAGCGACAUUACCAACAGGAGGUGUUACCGAUCACUACAAGGAAGGGGCUUAAGAAGGAAGGGAAGGACAUAAUCUCGGUUCAGGCAAUCAGGCUUUCGAGUCGUGAAGUCCAGUUUCGGGAGCAAGACUCAGGUUCCUAAGUGCUAACCUAACGUGUUUAGAGUUAUUUGUUACCGCUCCGUAGUCUAUAUUAGGGUAUGUUACCGCUCCGUAGUCUAUAUUAGGGUAGCUCGCUUCAAGCACCCGAACUUGACUUUCUUUUGAAUCCAAGAACAAGAUCAGAAGCCUAAGAUGGAGCAGUUUCAAGAUCUUCAUCAGUUUCCAGAGAAUCCUUAGUUCGAUAUCUGGGUGUUGGCGCAGAGACAGCAGUAACAAAAGAAUCACUAGUGGCAGGAUCUUAUGAAGCAGCAAUUCCUGUUGUUGAGGUCGGGGAAGACUCUUUAGCUAAAGGGAGAGUUUCCGGAUCUUGAUAAUCAGAUGAAUCAGAUAGAGCAGCUGAGGACAAAGAAAGGACUCGUUUAUAACUCGUUUAACACAUCUUAUGUUGCUACUGAUGCCGCGGAUUUGGCCUCUUUCUCAUGCCCACUAUGUACUUAAGGGAAGAAAAUCAGAUGGUACUCAUUACUCAUAUCUGAGGGUGCUAAUGGAUGGUUUCAUUUCAUAAUAUCUUAGCUAGAGCUAGCGUGGAGCUGCUAUUAAUUGGGUCUUCAUUCUUUGCCAUUAGUUAGGUCGGUAUUCAUUCUGAAAUAGAUGAUAGAUGGCUUACUACUAAGAUUCCAAGUCGAACAGGACAAACAACCAACUGAACCUUUCUUGCAGACAACAAGGGAAGGAAAGGAAAGGAGCAGCAGCCUACUUAAGCUUUAUCACAAGCACCGCACCAGUAUCGUCAGUCACUCCGUAUUUCUUUUCUCAUUCUGUAAUUCACUACUUAUAUGCGGCAGAAGGAGUGGUUGGUAGCGAGGGUUGUCAGUUCAUAAAGUGAAGUUCUAGUUCUGGUUUGAUGUUUCUGAUAGUGAUUCAGUGGUUAUAAAGUCAGUCUUAUGUUGGUGUUCGUCAACAAGAAGGGGUGAUCCUUAAUGACAUGAUUUACUUCAAGUCAAAGAGCAGGACUAAAACUACCUACCUGGGUGCCUUUCAUCUUAUAUAGAAGCGGCAUCUCCUCUUUAAGAAUGCCCAAGUCGCGGUUAAGGGAAAGAGAAGACUCGAUUACUGACUUUUUAUUACUGUUUCUUUUCUUGAAACUGUCUCAUCCGUUGCUUUAAGAAUGGAAUCCAAAUAAAUAUGUACCUUAUGCACCUCAUACAUAUAUAUGAUAGAAUACAGUAAACAACCCGCAUCUUCUAUUCUGCUUUGCCUACGAGUAGUUUGCUAUAGGAUGGGGAACAAGCAUACAAUCUUUGAAUCUUUUAGUGCCGAGCCAAACAGGAAAGAAAACAUUGAUUUGAUCAUUAUAGGUCAACUCCCUAACUCAUCACUUUCCUUUCAAACUCCAUAUUGGAUUCCUUCCUUUCGCUGGUAAACCAUCUUUUCAGUGAAGAAUUGAGUGCUCUCUUGCACAUGGGGUAUAGUGUACGGGUAAUAUACAAGAUUCUAGUAAACACCCUCACUAACGUUUCAUUCACUCUCUUUCCUGAAUUUCUUGAGACCUUCUUUUGGACUUAACACCGAGUCUACCCCAAGUCUACGGGCAAUAAAAUAAGGAGAAAAUAGAGUCAAUUCGGUUUGGGCUAAAGGCAACUCUUAAAGCUACUGUUAUAGGCUAGUGGUCUUUAUAGCGUUAGUUAAAGGGGCUUGAACUUAAUCCUUCUCUAAGUUGAACCUCUGCACACGAGCUGUCAACCCUGAAUUCCGACUUGCGCCUGUUCCGAGAUACUUUAUUAUAUUAUUGGAGUAAUGAAAUCCAGUACCAGUAGUGAGUCAGCGGAAUCACUGUAUUCUACUAAGGAGCAGAGACAUAAGCCAUAUCCAGAGUAGGAACAAAAGAAGAAGUUGUUCGAGUUUAGGAGACAAGAUCUUAAGAAAAAGUCGGAUCAAUAUCUGAAGCAGAAGACGGAAUUAGGACUAGUUAAUUACUAUUAAUAACGUAGUACUUACUGCUAACGCCAUAGAAUAAGGACUGGGCAACAACUAACGUACAAUGUCACUAUUUGGUUGUUACGUUGCAUCUGUAGUAUCCGCCUUGUUCCUGUUCCAGUUGCAAGUAUAGUUGCUUUUGUCUAUAAGUCUUAUGUGAACCUAUGUUGAACUCAUACUAGAGCUUUGGAGGAAAGUAAGCUGUAAGCGCGGUAAGUAAAUAAUAAUACUUGAAAGGCAAAUAAUGAAUAAAAUAAUGGGGGAAAAAGUCGGUAGCAAUCGGUUCCUCAAAGGUAGUUCGAGCAUGAACAUCGGCGACGAGGAGGAAAGAGUGUCUGCAUCCUUACUAAACCAAUCGACUUGGAACCACUACUACUUAAAGGGACAUUGCAUCAUAUAAUGAAACACUCACUUAACUUGUCGACUUGGGCCAAUAACUUCCUGAAACUUGAACUACAUUUGCUAUUUGAUUUAACUACAUUUGCUACUUGCUUUCGAGCAAACUCAUGUGAAAGGGCUGGGCGCAUAAUAAUCAAAAUAGAGAUCAUCUGUGGUGCACGAGUCCGCAACAAACGGUUUUAAGGGUUGGAGUUAACGUUGACAGUGAAGUUGGUUCAUCAAUAUAAGUUUGAGUUUCAUCUGUGUUAGCACCGAUAUAAGUAUAAAGAUCUUACUAAGUUCGAGGUCCAGUUCUCAAGUCAGAAUGAAACCCGUAAGUAAAGGAAGGAGUCUCAUUGAGUUAGCAGAGAUUCCAUAGUCUCUAGAGAUUCAAUCGGGCAAGCUAAUACUAAUUGUUGGGGAUUCAACAAUCACAGUCAAUUCUGCUGCCUCAUCUCUUGCUUCUGUUUUAGAUGCUUACCCUUACUUUUGAUCUACAGUAGUUGCUUGCCCUGGCUUUCCUAAAUGAAUGAGAAGCGACUCACUAAUCCGGUUCCAUAUUGAAUAUCUGGUUUAUUGCAAGUUAGGUAUCUAAAACAGCUCAGUGGGCUUUUUCCGUAGUCGGCGACCAUCAUUUUCUCUUUAGAGUGCUACAUUCGACCGGCGUGUCAACCGGGUUGCAAUCUUCCUUCUUGAAUCAGAACCUACUUAGCAAUCUUCCUUCUUUAUGAAUCUUUUGAGAACGCAUAUCCCUCUUGCGAAAGAUGAUGCAUGGCUUCUUUCUUGACUUUGCUUCACUUCAAUACCAAUGACAUGUUGCUUCACUUCAAUACCAAGGAAAUAUUACAUGAGUCCAAUGUCGCCCACAUUAAUUGACCAUUCUUUAACCUCAUUCUUCAAACAUUAGUAGAUUGCUUCCUGUAAAGACUAUUUCAUAGAAAGGAAAGACAAGCAAACAAGUCAUCUGGUAAAGACUAUUUCAUAGAAAGGAAAGACAAGCAAACAAGUCAUCUAUCUCCAUUAUGGUUCAUCUUCCAAUAAAGAAAGAGCACUUGCUUGAAUAAGGACACUGCAACCCAUUUCGCUUGAAAUAGGCAUCAAUGAUAGCAUCGAGUUAGGGUGUUAGGCAUCAAUGAUAGAUAGCAUGGAAUACAUUAGGUUCUAGCUUUAGGCAUCAAUGAUAGCAUGGAAUACGUUAGGUUCUAGCUUGAGGUCAUAUAGAGCGGAGCUACCUUCCACUUGAUCACUUAUUCUAUUCUUCAUGCCCCUUAUUAAUGGAACCCCCCUUAUUAAUAUAACCCAAUGGCUUUAUAUACACCUCUUCCUCAAUCCAACUAUUCCAAAAUGCAGAAUAGACUUCUAUUUUCUAGAUUGACCAAUUCUUUUGUACGUCAAUAGAGAUUUGGAAGAAAAUCGUUUCUAUUCAGAUAACAGGGGCAAAUACCUCAUCAUAGUAGAUGCGCUUGUCACCCUUUGCCACCAAUCUAGCUUUGUAGCGAUCAACAGGGCCUUUGAUCUUUGGAUUUCCUUGCGGAUGUCGCUUUUUCUUACAUUUCAAUAAGAAAGACUUUUUCUUACAAUUCAAUAAGAGAACUCCUACCCCAAAUCUAGUAUGGAAUUGAGUAUAAAGGGAAUUCUACUCCGCUUCCAAAUAAAUAAUGAAUAUAAGGUACAGCACAUAAGGAGAUCGAAAUGCAAUUAAGUAUUGAGAGCAACAGCGCGAAGUGAAUGAAAUACGGAAUUCAAUUCGAACAGCAGAACUCACAGGGUAGUGAGGGAAUACUGAUUCGACCCUGUAUAAUACAGAAUGAUAAAGGUUUUGGUAGGAAUGAACUAUUUGCAUAUUAUUAAUUGGUCACCAACCUAGUACGUGCUCUCUCUAACAAGUAAGAAUGGAAAGUGCUAUCAACUCAAAAGUUCGAAUUGAAACAGCAAGGUAGGAGUGACACUAUAAAGACAAAAGCAAAAGAAAACUCUAUCUCGCCAAUCACGUGCUCUUUUCACUUUACAUGAAAUUAUGUAUGUUACCCUAUGAUUCUUCCUACUACUUACUAUAGGUCUGCUACUACUUCAUCUAAGUCUGUCUUACUUACUUAGGGUUCGCUCUUGGACUCCUUACUCCAAUUAUGUGUUACACCAUUGAGUCUUCUACUGGUUGGUUGGAGCCUACUGCCCGCGAGAACACAACUACACCAAUGGAUAGAAUAGAACCGCAGCUACUCGGACUUAUGCCCGGAACCGGGAAACCAACUACAAAUGCUAAUACUUUAACUGGGAACUAAGCCUAUACCUACCGUCUCUAAGACCGAACCUGUCGACUGAAUAAAACAGCUACUAUCCACUACUACCUACCAACUACUACCAUGGGAAUCAGACUAACUCAUUGCCUCACAAGGCUUUCACCAAUACAUCCAAGACUGGAACUACUGAUAACAAGAUCUCCACCCUUCUUUUUGUACGAAAUCGGAUCCUUAAUGAAAGAAUCAAAGAAAGGCUAGGUAGUCUUAGAAGCAGCAGCUCAAGUCCUAUCAACAGGUAGUACUGUUAGAGUUAGAGUUUCAUCCCAUCCCGGUAGUCCAGGUAAAGUUGAAGUUUCAUCCCAAACUAGUAGUUGAGUAGUUUCAUAAGUAGUUGUAGCCAUAGGUAUAGAUAGAAGACAGAGUUCAAAGAGUAAGCCCGAAGUAAGGAGUCAGCCCACUACUAGGCUAGGAAGCCCACCGAUUGCCCGUACUGAUUCCUCUAGUACCAGAUAGAGAGUUUCAAUAGAACAAGUAAUCAAUAUAAGAGGUUUCAAUGGCACACAAGUAAUCAAACAAAGCAAAGAGAGAGGCCAGGCCAGGGAGUACUGCUCCUGUACUUGUAUACGCUUGUCCAAGUGCUGUAUUCGGGCUUCUGAAGCAGUGUGGUAUCAUAUCAGUGCAAGCUUGAGUGGAAGUAGGCAAUAAAGUAAUAAAGAGAGGUCGGGUACUUGGUUGGAAAGAAAGAAAUUCCGUAUUGGGCAAGGGUGGAAGACGUUGCUUGGCCACUCCUUAGGGACAUUCUGAAAUUACUAGUUGUGAGUGUCAAUAACUUACUAUAAGGCACUCCUACUUAUUAGUUGCAUUCCGACUUUCUAGUUUCCUCAGUGCCAAUUCCAUUCUAUUCUGAGUUUCUUGUUUGGAUCUUAAGCCUUAUCCAGUAGUGGUCUGGUUACUAGUGUCUUGGCAGGUAGGGUAUGCUGGUUGAAUGAAGUUACUAGGCAACUCUGUAGUAGUGGAUUGGCCCCCGCUGCUAGUAUACGCUUGGUAGUUGACAGAGCAGAGGCUGGUUCGGUGCUUUACCAGAGGAGAGGGAUAGGUCUGACUUUAGGGUUUCUUUCUUAUAGUUAGUAGUGCUUUUGAGCUCCCCUGCCGCUGUAGUAGUGACUUUUGGUGCUUCUUAAAAUGGAGUGUCUUUGAGUGUCUUGGCCGGUCACGACUAACUGGCUUCAAAGCGACUCCGUUAGUGCUUCCUUGCCUUUUGAAUCUGUAGAAUAGUUGACAGUUUACAGAGGCCUCUAUAGUUAGUUUCUGGGAAGAGUCAAUUCCAUGCUUUGAUGCGCGUUGCUCAUGGGUUGGGUUUGCUCUGACUCUUGGGGUGCUCGUUGAAACAUAAGUAUCGGGGUGCUAGCUAGCUUCAUAAGAGUCUCCUUUCCUUCUGGCACCGGUGACCUACUUCCUUAUAAUAGAAGCUUCUAAUAUAAGAGAAACCCAGAACAAGCAAUUCUCGACUUCCCGCCUCAAAGCCUGUACUUUAUGAUUGAUUAGAAGCCGGUCCAACUCGUAAACUGACUAGUGAUGUGAUAGCACAUUCAUCGAGAAGAUAUAAGAAGGCCCUAUACUAUACUACAUUGCUAGCGCAUUUACAACUAAGAUACAGCAUUGAUAUAAGGAGUUAAAGAACGAAGCUAUUGAGUUAACCUGUGCCCAGUGGUACAGCCAACACCGAGUAGUACUGACUUACCUAUAAGUACGGAAGUCUAGUAACUCAUUAGUAUAGGAGUCAAGGUUCGAUGCUUGUGGUAAGGUUAAGCAAUGAAAGGGGAAAGUUUGGUUCCAGUCCCAGCUCCAGCUUAUGUAGAAAAGCAAGUACUUGACCUCGCAUCAAAGCAAUGAACUUUGUUCAACAAGUAUAGAGUAAGUAGCAAGUCCAGUAUUCGAGAGUCGGGGAGAGCCAAGGAACUACUAGUGUAAAGCAAGUAGUUGAGUAGUUUCAUCAGUAGUUGUAGGAAGACCGGUCCCUUAUUCUGAGUUUCUUAUUAGUGACAAUAGUUACAUCAGAGUUUCAGACCGGUAGGCCUUGGUCAGUAGUUGUUAGUUGACAGAGCCUAGCCAGUAGUUUAUGAGUGGAAUCAAAUUACUAUAAGUCCUGUGAGAGUUAAGUGAUAGUCUUCAUACCUAGUUGGAAGCUUAAUAGUAAGGCUCAAUGAAUAUGGUUACCACAAUGCCGCUACUCCUACUAAGAAUGAAACCAGGUAGCUCUAAGUAGAAGGGGGCUAAGCCUUAAACCAAAUACCACUGAGAUUCCCUGCAGCUAGCAGAGGUCUUAAAGCCAGGAAGCCAGCUAGGCAGUAGAAGACAUAUAUUGUAAUAAUGGGAACUCUAGCGGCAGAGGAUUUAGUAGGAAAGUUCUCAUCUGUAACCUUAGUUGACUCCGGAGAGGCUUUGAAGCAGAGCCAGAGAGGGCUAGGUUAAAGUCAGAAUGAAACAAGUAAAUCAAAGAAUAGACCCAAGUAAUAUAAGAAUGCAACGAGGUAGCCAAACUCAGUAGCCAGAUCAGAGGAGAGGUCCGGCAAAUCUGAUAGAGUUAGUUCGGGUCGGAGAAUUCAUACCGAUCAUAAGAUGCUGUGGAAGUAUCUGAAGCUGGAGAAUUGCCUGUUACUCGGGUAGGUACGAACCAACUAACAAUUACCCUCGCAUCAAACAAAGCCGAUACUUCUCUCUCCUCUUGAAACAAAUACUUCCUCGCCUCUCCCUGUGCUCUUAACCCACCCAGUCACUCACGUUUUCCCGUCAAACAGCCCUGCCGCACAACUGACGUAGUUGUUUGCCUGAUAGCAAAUAGAGAAAUAGUAGAAGACUGAACUUAGGAUGAAACUAGGCAUUCCACUUAAACAAUCACCAGAACUGUAACAGGAAAUGUAGACGCACUAACUGACUUAUAUAAGAGAACAGAUGAAACUCUCACAUUAGGGAGAACAGAUGAAACUCUCACUCGCCAAGCAACUAAGGAAGGUAAUCAAACAAAAGAAUCAACCCAGCUUCAAAGCCUUCUACUUACUAGUUUCUUCCCCGCAUCUGAUCUAUAUGCUUCUCUUUCUUACCAAGCCGACCUCUGCUCUGAUAUGGAAUUGUCCCCUUUGUCCACCUCUACUCUGCCUCUGCUCCUAUAACUUCAUUAAGAUUGCCAGGUCAUAUCCUCCUAUAUAAGAACAGAUAGAAUUGAUAUAGCUUUUCUUAUACUAUUUUCUACUAUGUUGGUACAUUAGAAAUAUGAGUAGAAGACAUAUAUUGUAAUAACUUCGUUAUGACUGUCACUUGCUGCCGCGUAACAUUAGUAGUUACUUGGCCGGUGAGACAAGCUAUUCUUACGGUGUUAAGUCAACUCACAACUCCUCUGAUCUUGCUCAUCUAUUAUAUAUAACUGAAUGAGGCUAAUCUCAUAACUGAAUGAGGCUAAUCUCACUACUUGCUACCCGGGCUAUGGCAACUAUGGAAAUUAUGACUUUUCACAGGCUCCUGCCGCCAUGAAUACAGGACUUGCUAAUAGCUCCAUUAAUAUCUAUAAAUUGAGUUCUUUGCUUUCGUUGCCUUUGUAGAAGUUGCUUGGCCCCCUUUCUGACCCGAUUGGAGCUGUCCGCUAUCAUACCUAUGACAAUUGGCUCCCGUUAGCUCACUUAUGAACUUGAACUGGGAAUUCUACCGUUAUAAGUAAGGGCAACAGGAACUGGCACCACCACUGGAAAGGGCAAGAAAUAGACUUUCAUAGCUGACCUCGCCUACCUCCUUAACAGCACUACCCAACUUACAAUAAGGGACUUACUAUAAGGUAAGGGCUAACUCUCACUCUUGACUUUCUCACUUACACUAGCCCUGGACUCUAAUCUAGCUCUGGCAACAAAAGUACUAAUUGAGCUUAUUGCUCCUCUCUGGCAACAAGACUAUAUUCCAGGCACAGCUGAUUCUAUUACUUCGGAUUCUAUUACUGCUGACUUCAUUCUGACUUGCUGACAGUAAGACCUCUCUUGCUCUUCUAACACUCCUCUGGCUCAUCUAACUUGUUACUACUGGAAAGCUAUCCCUAGUAGUUAUCAGAGUUGGCCAGGUGCCCUUAAUUAAUGCUCUAAAGAUAUGGGCUCAUAAUGCUGUAUUUCGAAUAGCCAAGACACGACUAAGUCCGAUACCAGUGCCGGGCAGACUUAUGUUAGUGCUGCUAAGGCUUGACUACUGUCCGCUGUGUCGAGGCAGGGCCGCUCUGUGUUCGGUGUUUUUAUUGUUUGUUAUAACCGAGUCCUUUGUUCGCCUUGGAAACUACUCCACUACCCUAGGACUCAAUAUCUUUCAACGCUGUAAGGCCACUCAUCUCCAACAACUGGAUCGGAUACAGAUGAACUUCCCGCUUCAGUUCAGAGUCUGGAUAGCCUUUAUGUGAUUAAUGUAGUUGACAUACCCAGACUGCCGCUACACUGACUACGUUACUUGGCGGUCAUUAGUAGUUGUUUGUCUAGUAGUUCCUUGGCUCUCCGAGUUACUUGGCCCUGGAUUACUUAACUAAAGUAAAGCUACCUCGCAUAUUCUAGUUUGAUCCUUGAAAGGAGAAAUCGGUAAGGUGGGUUUUCAGAAUUCAAGUAAGUAGUCCACAUUCCUAUUAGCAGUAGUUCUAUUUAGUAGGCCUCGUUAAGGGCAUAGGUCUUGUUAUAACAAGUUAUAUUCUUUGCCUUACUUGAUCAAUUCGAACUUCCUAUUAUACGAUGUGCUAUUACAUCAUCAUAUUAUUAUUCUCCCUAUCAUGAGGUUGGUUCCUUAACUAACAAGUAAGAACCAGUGCCGACAGUGAUGGAAUUAAAGACAAGGCAAUACAAACUUAAUCCGAGCAGAGGCAGACUCACUAGUGGGGGGUCUCAAGAAAACCAGUAUGGAUCUUAAGAACCAGAUAAAGCAGUGUCAGACUCAUGUGCAGUGACUAGUGGUAGAAAUCAGAAUCCGAAUAAUAAUACAGGAGAUACGGAAUGGAAGCAAGAAAGUCAGUAGCCUAAGCCUUACAUAAAGUCAAUUCCAUUGGUAUUGGUUCUAUUCUUUCCAGUAUAGUAUUAGGUCUUGUCAGCUUGUCAGCCUUCUUGUUAGUAGUUCUAUCAGUAUUCAAGCAAACAGUGUAAGGCCCAUAGGCAUUAGUGAGCUAUGUAGCGAAAGUAUUCAAAGCUGCUGUUCGAGUCGUUAGUGCAGUUGUUCUUGUUUAAGUCGUUAGUGCAGUGUUUGAUUAUGACAUUAGUAUUAGUCUACUUAGCACGGCUCUACUCUUAUAGCUCGUACCCGGAGCAAGGAAUGGUAGUUCGAAAGCAAGAAUGGAGCUACUACUUCUAAGAAUGAAAGGGUUGUGCAAGCUAGUAAAGGUUCGGUAACUACAUAUCACCUAAGAAAGUCAGGCAGGAGUCUCAGUUUGAAGAUGGGGAAAGGCAGUCUUGUUUACAUUGGUUUGAUUCUGCUCUUGGUAGGUGAUCCCAAUAGUGUUUUAUUACUCUCCCCUUUGGAUUAUUCUGAUAUUUGUUUUAGUUGGGCUCUUCUUCUUACUUUCCACUCGAAAGUCAGGAUACCUUUCUAAGGAAACCAAUAUGAAUAUAGCCCUAUGAGACUAAUAGUGAGAAGUAUUAGACCUAAGCACAUAAGUCACAGGCCUAACCACAUAAGCUAGUCUACCUCUCUUUGCGCCAACUCUAACUACCUCGACUUGAACCUAAAACGGACUGUUUCUCAUUUCCCAACUGCUUGCUAUCAAACGGAAACUCAUGCCCUUCACUCUGAGACUCAGUACUGUAAUUCUUGAUUAACCCAUUAGCUUAGCCUUACUUGUGGAAUAUUCCACCCUAAGGAACUAGUGUACCUUCUUGGCUUUCUACUUACUUAUUGAAUUCUUUGACUUACCGUAUUCUUAGUACGGAUCUCCUUACUUGCAUUCCAUAUCCCACUAAUAUACUACUUGGUAGAAUUCCGAUUGUUCGAAUGAAUUAUCAUUAUAGUGGCAAUUGGCUUUGUAAGGGCAUCCUAACUCCACUGACUUACAACAACUUUUAACUGGGAGGAAACCCGUACCCCUAUUAGAAUAGAAUUGGUGUUGACCAGAAUUGAGCUAGCACUAACAGGAAUUUCACUAUGACUUAAGAGAAUGGAACGGAUUAAUGUAAGAAUUAACUGACGGGUAAUCAAUCUUACUGAUCUACUCCACAUGCCAAGCCCUACUCAUACCUUGCACUAUGCCUUUCCCGAUCUCAUAUCUGUAGUUAACCCAUACCUCCCCUUGCUCGCAUUACGUAUUUGACUUAUUUGGGCUUGCUUUCCUGACAAUACUCACUACUUACUUGCAAACAACCAUUCCCGCCAAUGAGCCUGUGACCUUCCUUCAUCUAAGUCUAACUAUCUCCCUUGCUUUUCAUUUGAGACCUAGGCGCUUUUCAUGUUCUAUCUUAUUAGAAUCAAGAAAGAAACCGGUACUUCUCAUAAUGGAACUAGUGUAGUGGCAAACAGGCUGAACUUAACUACUCCACUAGAAUAGAGCCAUUGACAACCAGGCUAUAACUCAUAGCUAGGAAAUCCGAUAGUAACCCCAACUAGGAGAAAACCAGUGUCUAUUACAUGAGAAUGCAAUUACAAACAAGAGGAAUCUCACUUAUAAGUAAGAGCCAAGCAAAGCCUCAAAGCAACUACCCUGUCACUACUGACUUGAAAUGCUUAGCUUCAGUCCGAAACUCCUGUAUCUUAUUCUUCUAUUUUGACCUACGCUAGUUUAGAGUUAGAGUAGCGCUCGUUAGCUUCGUUCUGAGACUCCCGCCCGGCAUUCCCUCACCAUCCUAUGGUAUUCAGUUCAUCUAUAUAAGAUUCAUUUGUAUUUUAGAGUAUUUUAUUAGAGCAAGAAACUAGACGCCAAGGAACUAGAAUUGCUGAGUAAGUAUCUGUAUAGUUACAGUCUUAUCUGGAAAUUGGUAGUAGUGGAGAGCAGAGAAAGUAGUGUGGAACAGGGAAAGAGGUUUCUCAUCUAUCCUAGCGAAGUAAUAGAACAAAACACGGAAUAGGGUCAAAGGGGCUUUCAUAAGCGAGUUCUGGGGAAAGCCAACACUAAACCAUAGGGCAGGCUACAUCAUUGGAGACUGCUGAGCGGAGGACAUGUCUUUUAUUUCCUAUCAUGACCACCUGCCUCCAUUCACUGCUCCACAGGAAUCCGUUAACUCGGCUUGCUUCACUAUAAGGAUCGUUUUUACCCCGCGUAUGAUAGAUUGGGCUUUCAUACAAUAAAGGAUAAGAAAGAAUAAAGACUUCUAUAAUGAGGUUUCUGAAUAAAUAGAGUAUAUAGUGUCAAGUGCAAAUAGAGUAUAUAGUGUUCCGUUCGGGUUCUUAUAUGGGUAGGUAGUCCUUACUUAACUCGACCUUCAAACGCCCCAUCAGUCCCAUGCCUUUCUUUUUGAGUUGGAUCAAGGCGAUUUCUUUUGAUUGUUGAACUCCACUUUCUGAAUCAACAACACUUGCACCACCCCUUUUGCAGCUUACCUCUGACUCGAGGAACCAACAAUACAAGCACUAGGCUAGGAUUACACAAUCAGAACUAGGGGAACCAAAAUACAAUAAGGCAAUUCUAAUCAUUAGAAGCAACCGAAACCACACUUGCAGAAGCAGACGUUGCACUUGCGGAUUCUUUCUAUGAUUUCACUCGUACCCGAUACUGAAGCGGAAGAAGGUAGGGCAAUUCUAUAAGUAAGGUAAUCAGGCUUCUUUCUAGUACUAAUCGGUGAAAGCCGCCCCCCUAUCCUUCUUUGACGACUUGCCCUUGUAGUGGUCCAGUCCAAGCACCAAUACUAUACUUCACUCACAUAACUCAAUACGGCUUACUGCCUCCUCACUACUUAAAUAAAGUGUUGAAACAAGCAAUGUGACGCUCUAGUAUAGAUCCACUCCGAGGUAAUAUCACUACUCCACUCCAACAAUUGGCAAACGAGAAUAUAUUGUUUGAAAGUAAUCUGUGUUUGUUGACGACACCAGAGCAUAGAUCCAAAUAGUAUAAAGCAGAAUCUUAUGAAGCAGCAAGCGGGUCAGAAGUGUAGUUACGGACGGGGAUAGUUUGAAGUCAGACUGGAAAUAGAAGAAAUACUAACCUAACUCAGGUGCCUGCUGUAUUGAAUGAAACUCCUAACUCAGGUCUGAAACUCUGUUACUACGGACUCCUUUACUAGUAGUAGCUUGGCCGUUGCUUGGUCUUACGUAGUUACGCGGCGGUCAUUAGUAGUGUAUUGUCUGCUUGGCCCUGGGGUGUUUCCCUUAAAGAAGGUGCUGCAGAGAUCUUUGCUAGAGCUAGGAGAGGACAGGACCGCUUAGGUGAACUUCACUGAUCUUGAUAUACGAAUAUACGAAAUGGAUUCUGUCCACUUCGAUUCUGGUUGUUAUAAGAAACCCUUCUGUCUUUUCCUUUGCUUACAUCCCCUGUUAGAGAACUGGUUUUAUGCAAUGAAAUGUAGAGUCGAGAUACCACUGGCACAGGUUUCGGUGCUGGCACCGGAUAAAGCAGCAGAAAUAGGGCGGGCUUACGAGGCUACUUUUGAGGUAUGAGGGGCACUCCCUAUCGCUCUGAUGAACCUACGGGUUAGAGUGUUUCAGGGGGUAACUUCACUCCUGUAUUCAUAGUUCACGGCCACAGCUUGCCCAAACCGAACUUCUUUUUAUGCUGUCGGUAGCUCCGGUUUGAUGUCCAUGUUAUGAAAUGGCCGCUUAUUCUAUAACGAGCCCUUGUAAGGUAGGAUUGGAAUAUAGAGAAUAGGAUCUUGUAUAGCUACUGAUACACGUACUUGAGAUAGAGAUAGCCACGGUAAGCAUACACUCUCUCUAGAUACUCAAGCCACGGUAAGCAUACACUCUUCUCUAGAUACUCCUGAGUUCUCUUGUUGUUUUUGAAUGGAUUACUAGAGAUCUACUAUGAUAUCGAGAAUGCUAUCUUAUUUCGUGUUAUAGCUAGUAUGCUAUGGAAGGUGUAUGGAGAAGGUGCGGAACUACUAGGUGUAUGGAGAAGGUGCUGAACUACAAUGAUAGUAAACACAAUGCUCGCACUCAUUCAUUUCAAUUUCAUCUAUUCCUUUCCCCUUAAGUAAUUGGAACCAGCGCUCCGGUAAGAUGUUAUUUAUACAAAAAUAUGCAUUUAAAGCAGGGGGUUCUGGGCCUACGUGAAAGUAGGAUUUCUGGGCCCUCAAACAGUCCUGUCCUUUCGAAUUGAAUGUAAGUGCCCCUUAUGAUAGAAAGAAGUAACAAGGCAGCUCCGGACUUACCCGAAACUAGACUUCCACUCAUUUUGCAUAAACUCAGGAAUUGCACUUACAAUUUGGUGUCGAUUCAUCGAGUGCAUUUGAGAAUUGAUUGAACAACUCACUAGCAACCCUAUCUUGUGCGGAAGCAUAACCAGAUCUGAUCUGAUUGCCAGAACUUCAUCAUUAAUGGAAUCUAUCGAGUCGAGCGCAGAGGAUCCUCUUUGCAGGAGAAGAUUGAACUUACACCUGAGUAAACAAAGAAUUAGAAGAAGCAAUUGAAACCCUAGCGCGAAAGUCUUUGAACUUACCUUAGCCGAUGAAGACAGUUGAAAUCCAUUGGUGAGUUAGGAUAACAAGCAACCACGCAAAGAGAAAGGGCUGGGCGCUAAAGAAGGUCGGUAAAGGGGCAAUCAAUCAGGGAAUUCUCGUUGUUUCACCUAUGUCUUACUGCGCGAAUAGAGAAAAUAGCCUAUCUGGGCACACCUGUAACUGCUAUGGAAAUGCAUAUUCUAUUAAAUCAAUAACCAUAGAUCAGUUCCCAAUACUGACAUUGAAAGCAUCUUUCCUGUGGUGCGCCACAUUGAUGGUCAAAGUGUUCUUAUAUAAGUAAGUACUUUGUUUGAGCGAGCAGCUUCGUAUAUAAGAGAUGAACCUAACUGCUUCUUUAAUGGAACUUCCAAAGAAAAUCAUGGAAUAGAAUUGAGAGCAGAUAGUGCACCCAUCUAUCCAUUAUAGAUAGAAGAAAGUCAAACCGCACUCGAAACUCAUAAUGGAAUUGCCAAUUUCCCUGAAGCCCCUCUUGCUCUCCCGCUCUUAGUAGUAGCCGUAAGAAGAAAGAGAAUCCCCAGUGCCCAAGUCCUGUGUUCGUCUACCUGUUUUCGUUCCUUUCCCCUUAUCGCUGCGAAGUAAGAGAAGAGUGAAAGCAAGACGUUACUUCUCCGCUCUGAAGAAUUCGACUAAUCUAGAAAUACGGCCAUAUCAUCUGCACUUUUCAAAGUGAGUGAUAAACCGUGAGGAGUGGACGAAGAACAACUAUUCUCUUUCCGCUGAAAAAGCACUUUUGUCUUUCCUAAGAAAAGGGAUUCUCGGACAGUAGACCUUGCGCCCUUGACCUCAAAGCGUCCAGAGCCUGCUUGUAGAGAAAAGCGGUGGACAUGCAACUCCGGGAAGAAAUGGAUACUUUGAUUGCAGACGAGAUUUGACCUACCUUUCCAUCGAUCAAAUUAUAUGCACGAGCACCUCUGCCUAGCGUAUGUAUAAAGAGAAGAUGAAAAAACGAGAAUCACAGAAGUCAAAAGAGCUGGAAGAGGCCUAAUUGCCAUCAAGCGGAAGCGGUGCAGAAAGAAAUGGGGGAAUAGCUUUUCUCAGAGUUUCGAAAUAUAGAAUAGGGGGGAAUAGCUUUUCUCAGAGUUUCGAAAUAUGGUUGCUUUAAGAUCUUAUGUAUUAUGUUAACCAGAAGACAUUCAUACUGGGUUACCUAUAUUCUAUAGUUCGCACUAUGAGUUAUAGGUUUGAAAAAAGGAAAUGAGCUCCACUCAAAGGAAAUGAGCUCGUAGGGGACCUGAGCAUCAAAGCGUUAAGGCUUGAUUUAUCCCCACAUUCAAGUGAGUCAAUGGAUAUCAUAACAUUGAAGCGGCUUAAGGCCAUCGAUUCGAUUUUGGAUUCAGCAACCCAUAGGUAGAAGGCAGACUCGUAAGGUUGUCUUUGACCUGUAUAGUAUGCUCCCAGAGUCACUGCCCUAGGAAAGAAAGAUGCUAAGGCUAUUAUAUCUAUCUAUCUAUCCAUCCAUCUAUUUGUACAGAUUCCCCGUAUUUAACGAAGAAAGAAAGACCUUUUUAUUGCCCCAGCAGAUCCCCUUUGUCUUGGUCCAACCAAGAAAGCAUUGAAGAUAGAAAGCGUACGUGAUUCCGACUCCACUCCAGACUAAAUACUCUAACUUAUAUUAAUGGAAUAUUACUGAAUAGAAGUAGAAUAGUUGAGUCAAGAGGAAGAAGAAAGAGUCCAAAUCGAUCUUUAGAGUCAAAAAAGAUCUCUGUACUUUGAGAAUACUAUAUUACACAAUAGAAUCAUAGACUAUCAUCCCAUAAGAAAUUAAUAUAUGAUGAUAUGGCAUUCACUACAAUCUACUAUAUGUACUUCUUUCAUGUUCUUCCGAAUGAAUGGAUAGAGAGAAAUGGGAAUAAGCACUUAUAUUAUAAGAGUCGGUCACACAAUGUGCAAAAAUGGGUUGGUUUUGCCUCUGUGAUUUCUUGAAGGAGAAGGUGCUUCGAAAACUAAUGAACAGCAUUCGUAUUGGCGGGCGAAUCUAAAUGGUAACAAUAAGGAGUAGGUCGAACGGUAAGGCUGGCUAUAAGGCUCUAAAUGAAUGGUAACAAUAAGGAGUAGGUCGAACGGUAAAAGGCUAUAAGGCUCUAUAUAGAGAAGAAGGAGUCGCUUAGCUAGCACUGCCUCGAUACCUUCCUUCGGCUUUCUCUUGAUAUUCGAAUCCGAUAACUAUCAAAAGCAAUGGCCAAAGACUAGCUUAAGUACAGAACUCAACUUGCUAUAAUCGAAUUCUGUUCAAAUAAGUAAUCGAAGGCAGGCCAUUCAAAAGGGUAUCGACGGUAGAGAGAGCGAGACCACUUUCAUUAUCGCAAAAUCCCCCAUAGUCAACAAACCACUUUCUCCUUAAUAUUGGAUAGCUCAGAUAAUCCAACUUCCGGGUUAGUAGAAUUGGAUAUCUACCCGAGACGAGGGUUAGGCUUAAUAGAGUGGCUCGACCCUAUGGGAGAGGAAGGCAGCCUCUAGACUUUACCCGCUAAAGAGACCAAAAGUGCUAUGCCAGAUGUUUUAACAAGAAUAGCUCACUAGUUCCUUAUACUUGAAUGGAGAUUGGCACUUCUUUUGCUCGUCAUCCUCCUCUGCACUUGGUGAAGAAGAUGUUACUGCUUAGAGUUGAAGUCUAUUAUUCUAUUUUCCAUGGAAUCAUAGGAUCCCGGUGUCAAUUUGGAUCAUCCAUCUAUACCAAAGAAGCUACCCUUAAUAUACCAUAAAAGGGAGCGAGUGACUAGAUAGUUUCAGUUCAACGAAGAACGAAGAAUACAGUAUAUAGACGAUUUCCUACAUUCCAUUAGAAAGGCUAUAGGUGUCCAAAUCCCUCUCACUUUAAGAAACUAUGAGGGCUGGAAGGAUUGCUGUUAGCUCUAGAGCAUCCAAGAUUACUUAUUCAGAAACAACUAAAGGAAAGGUCAAAGCAUAAAGAGAAAGCGCACACCACAUGGAUUCCUACGAUACGAAAGAUAGAGGGUGAGUAGCUGGAAGGUAUUGUGCCCCGUUCAAGGAAAAGAAAAUGCCAUUGAUGAAAAAGCUAUCCACUGGAGAAGAUAUCUCUGCAGAGGAUUGAUGCCGAGACUAGAUUAUCUACUCGGGAAGGGCAAGACCUGAAUCGGAAAGGCUAAACCUUACUCAUAGGAUAAAUGGUGCGCGCUAAAGCUAGAGCUGCUCUUUUUCCCGAUAUAGGUGUCAUUUCAUUAAUUCAGUACUGAGGAUAUGGUCUUCCCCCGUCAAACAAACUCAUCCAAAAUCCAACUCGUGGAGCGAUAAUAAACAUCCUGACUAGAGCUAGGUUAGUUCGCUUGGGGCUUAUGGCGCUUCCUCUGCGUCCCGCUUGGCAGCUUUCCUAAAGAAGAGGAAUGCCUAUCGCUGAUGAAGCUAAAGGGAACUCCUCAUUAAUCCACCUUCGGGUUAGAGAAUGAAAAGGCUAUUAGAGAAUGAGAAAGGCUAAUAAGAGAAAAGGAAUGAACUCUAUCACGAAAAUGUGUUGCUUACGGCACGAGCUUCCGAGCCAGCUGCUGACAGAGCUCUCACUCGGACAGGAAGAGAGAUACAUCCAUCAAUCGACAGGGAUUCACUCUAAGAUAGCUCCCCCUUCCAUGAUGUGUAGUUCAGCACGGAAAGGACUGGUUCUGGGUGAUGGUUACUUCUUGUUUCGUACACUAAGCUUUGGGCUUUGACUUUUCUAAAAGAGAGCUUUCUUUUAUUGUAUAGAUUUCCUCCACCAUUGCUUUAUAGAAAUCCUCUUCAAAGGCUUUCAGCACCUUCUUUCUUUUUGGUUUGUGGGUGGUAACAAUAGGUCUGAUUCUCAAUUGAUCGCAUAUACUACCUUUUCUAAAACUAAGUGACCCUUAGAUAAAGAAUUGGAUUUCGAGAACAGAGUUCCGCAAUGGUCUUAUCUACAGCAGAGAAAAGACAACUAUAGGGGAGGCUCUCGAGAGAACCGCUACGAUUUUGUCUCACUAACAGCGAAAAUCCUUUGCUUGCUUUGGGAAGACUAGCAAUCAAUUUGUCCUUCUUUCUGGGUCUGGAAUCUUGUAGAUUCUAGCAAAGAAGGUAUUCUUAUAUAAAGGGAAAUCUUAUACUCGCCGGAUCCUCAGAUUGGUAAGAAUCUAAGUGUGUUUACUGAUUGUAUCAUCUGAGAGACCACCGAAGCGAAGGCGAAUAGUGGCAAGAAGGCUUUAUACCGGAUGAAGCUUUACUCGGGUAGGGACUGCAAAGUCUGCUACUUUUGAAACCGCCAAGCAACUAAGGAAGGUAGAAAACAAAAGAAGAAACCCGUAUACUAGCAACCCCGCUUAAAAGCCUUAUCUCUAUUCUUACCGUUGUGGAAUCCCACUCAUUUCAUAUCCCUUAUCUCUAUUCUUACCGUUGUGGAAUCCCACUCAUUUCAUAUCCCUUAUCACUGUUCUAUUACAUUUGAGCCUCCUAAAACAGGACUCGCUCCUAAAGGACUCGCUCCUAAAGUAAAGGACUCGCUUCUAAUACUUAUUUUUCUGUUGGUCGACUUGAAUUCCUCGCACUGUUGAUUCUAGAUACUAAGGAGACUGCUUAUAUCACUAAGGAAUACGGUAACCAAGGAGUCGUAGAUAAGAGGUAAAGCCGGGUGCUCAUGCUCAAACUCAAGAUGUAGGAUAGGUUCGGUUGCGAAAGACAGGUUUACAACCUAAAGUAAGUAGCCAGUGUUCUUUCAAGUGGAGAGUAAGGAGCAGGUUAGUAAGCAUAAGCAGGAGCAGUUUCAUAAGCAGCAUCUGAGGCAGUUAGGUCACUUUCUUCUAUACCAGGAGUUCAAAGUCGUGUAGUUAUUGUUGUAGUCGACUCGAGAGGUUCAACUUCAUAUUGGGGCUUUCAAAGCCAUAAGUGAAUCAGGUGCUGCAGCUUGUCCCGCUGUAGCUCAAAGUAACCUAAAAGUAGUCGAUUUCCGAUGGAAGUGAAGUUCGAGAGGCCCGCCCUAUUAAUGAUAUUCAACUUAAUGAUAGAAAGCACUCUCUUUUCUCCUGCAAAUAGAAGAUAUGCUCCCUAGUAUAUUAGGAGUUUAGUCUUACAUAGAAACAAAACAGGUAAUAUGGAAACGAAACAGGUAAUAUGACUAAUAUAUAUGCUAAUUGAGCGCUAACGUAGUUUAGAGUUAACAGUUCAAUUGAAAAGGAAAGAAAAGGGAAUAGAGUCUCUCGCUCGUAUGGAUCUCGGUCAUAUUCCUACCUUAGAUACUAGCCGCUCAAAGUAAUGACCUGAAUAGCCUGUGAGAGUUGAGUGUUGUAGUGGAGAAUAGCCUGGCGUUCAAGCUAGGAUCUGAAUCCAAAGCAGAAGAUAGAUCAUCGGCAGGAUAAUAAGCCGUGAGAGCACCUACUUUGGUUGCAAGAGCAAGAUAUGAAGCAAUCGAUUCAACUAGUUUAGUUCUUGGGGAAGAAUCAUAAGGCUUUGAUGCGCUAAGUGGUCCAUCCAAUCCAAGCAUCAAAAGCGGGUCUGAAAGGGUUGUUGGCGAAAGUGCAAUUCAAUUAGAAGCAGGGCAGUAAGCUAAGCAGUUUAUAAGCAAGGGCUAAAGUGUCACAGAGUGGUUAAGGCAAUUCAUUCUGUGGGUCCCUCUCGCUCCUUGUCGGUUCAUAAAUAUAAGUUGGAGUUUUCUCCUGAUUAAGAAGCCUCAUAUACUCUCAGUUCUCAUGCCCACGUAGCGGUUAAGUAUAUCUGAGAACUGUAGCGGAAGAAUCAUCAGCCGGAGCCGGGUAUUUACUUAGAUCUAUGCCAGGUGCUAAAGAGAUUUCAUUCCAUUCUUAACUGGAAGUAGAUAUCGGAAAAAGCGAAACAGAUGGUACGGCGCCCUACUAGCCCUAUAAGUCAAUCAGUAUCCAGGUACGAGUUAAGUUAACCAGAUAAUGAAUCAGCAGUUUCACAGUAUAAUAAACCUCAGAUGGAUAACGAUCUUAAGCAGAAGAUGGAAAGUAUCUUGGUGUUGGAUAAAGUCAGAGUUCAGAUGAAUAAGAAAGGGAAGCAGUAUAGAACUAACUUGGUAAUUAGAUCAGAUGCUGGAGAAGUGUAAAAGUCCGAAUUCAACUCCAAGGUCAAAGUGACAGAAGAAUGAGCUCUGGUUUCAUAGAUAUAUAGUAGCAGCAAAGGGUGUUAGAUAGAAAAUCAAGUAAUCAACUGGGUACGCGCGAGGUGGUUACUUCAAGUGGAUUGAGUUCUUUGCUUUCCCUUUGUUAGUGGUUCUGUAAUAGGCGCUUUACCUUUCUUGUCUACCAGAUCAGAAGCCACAGAAGAAUCCGAUAAAUAAGAUGGAGGUGGGGGUUCCGUUCACUACGCAGCAAUUGGACUCCUUUCCUUGGCUAUGGAAUCAGCUCUUAGAGUAGAAGAUUUCUUCCUAUCUCCGGCUGACGAAAACACCUGACCCCAGCAGAAGCCUACACGCGCUAGCCUAAACGUAAGGGCGGGGCCUUCCCCUUUGAAGCAGCUUGCCUUGAAGCUUGCAGUUACUUCACUCGCCUGUGGUGUAGAGGCUAGGAUUUCCUUUCGUCAGGUCUCGUAAGCUGAAUCAGAAGGAAAUAACGGCAUUGAUGCCAAAGAGAUAAGUCUAUGCUACUCGGGUUCAAGCCUUGUACAGCAGCUAGAGCUGUAGGAAAAAGAUAUCUCGAAAUGAGGUCUCAGGUCGGAUCUCCGGGGGCACGUAAAGGCUUCCAGUUUCAUCCCGCCAAAGCUACUACGUCCUUUGUUUAGGCGUUAGUCCGGACUCCGUUGGUGGUUUUACUGGUUUACUCGGAACAGUAGCAUCAGCUGUGCAAGAAUCCGUUAGACAAGUCAGCUACGGGAUCAAAAGUAGAUUCCAAGUAAGGAAAGGGAGUUGUUGACUCAACUAGUCACUAGUAUCAAACCCUCUUUUAAUGCUAUUUCAAGCUCGGUAAUUCAAUACGGAAAUUGUAGUAGAUCCGUAGUGCCCACUCUGAGUCUUAGUGGAAUUUCAAGCUCACUUCCUAGCAAUUACUCAUUGAAACUCAUCAACUUGCCAACGAAUGCAUUUGAUGCCUAUAGUAACGUCUUCUUUUGUCCAACUCUCUUUCCUAAGGCACAAGUCCAAGCAGGAAUUUCCACUCCUUACCUACCGCGCACUUAGUCUUGAUCCGAGUCAAUUCAUUCACUCGAAGAACCGCUUGUAGCUGACUUAGCGCUUCCAGCUGACGACUAAACUGCUUAUGAUUGUUAUACUGCUGAUUAUUGAGUAGACUUCCACUUUUGCCAAUAACCUCUCUUGCAGACAACAAGGCAAGGAGUUACAGCGGUACAAUCACUUCCUUCUAUGUAAACUGACACUAUACUUGAGACUACUGAUUCUCUCUAUGUCAACUAAGGUAGGGGUCAAAAGCCAAUCACUGCACCAACACAAGCAUCCAAAGAGUCCUUGACAACAUUCAAAAACUCCAGCUAGAGGAGACCAUGCUUACUUGCUACGAUGAAGAAAGGAAUUGUAAUAACUCCUUAUAAUGCAUUUCUUUAUGUAGUUGUAGUUAGUUGUCCGAGUCUUUCCCUUUGGCCGACCUAACUACUUCAGAUCUUUAUCAAGCUGUCAACUCGGAUUUGAUACUCUGUCUUCAAAGCUUCAAGGGAUUAUGCUUGAACUGGAUCCUCUAAGGCCACCGGUGGGAGGGGCGGAUGAGGUAGCGUUCUCUAUACUAUAGAAUGAUUGAUUUCUAGCAGUGAGAAUAGAAUAUCCGAUGCUGUUAGCUUUCCAGGGAGUGAUUCCCAUUAGUUAGUUGGGUCUGGUCUGACUUGAUUCUGGAAAAGACUGCUUCCCUUGGCCAUAAGGUAGUUCAUGCAUUGAUGCGGAAAAGUGGGAAUAUAGUAAGUGUGCCACGAGUUACUCCUUUUGUGACUCUGUAUCUCCUCCCAGGAAGGAUCAUAUACGGAUUAUGGAGUCUUGGUGGUUUAGGUUUUGUAGGAGCAUGGCUUAAUAAGGUAGCCCCUGACUCUCGGUCUUCAGUAAAAGUGGCGAAGUAACUAACAUGAAUUAGGUUAGGGGAAGCGCUAGGCUACUAUAAGGUUCUCUUCUAUAUAAAUAAGAUAAUAUGUUUGUGAGAAAUAAGAUAAUAUGUUUGUGAUGAAAUCGAUUCCUAUUCUUUGGAACCCGAUCCUCCCCUCCUUUCGAGCUGGGUAAUCUAAAUGCCAGUCUUUUCUUCGGUCAAAGGAACCUGAGCUAGCCACAAAGGCUUAACCACCAACUGAUGCGGAUGAAUUAGCUCUCUAGCCUAGCACCCUUUCCUUCUAACCUGAGAACAGGCGCAUCUCAGAAGGAAUUGUUACUUGCUUUCGGGCGAUGUCCUUACUAAACGACCGGAUAAGCUGCUAUAUAUCUAUUCUUCAAGUCGAGGUCGAUAAUUUACGUUAGGGGUUUGUGUUGAACUCCCAAGAGGUAUCGGUUCUGCGUCGGUUGAGUCUCAAGGAUAAGUCCAAGCAGGAGAAUAUGAGGUAUCUGAACCAGCAAGAGAACCUUCCACUUCUGUCCUGGAAUCUAUUAGUUUUCGCCCUUUUCUAGUUGAAUACCCUUUUCUAGUUUCAUGCGCUAUUCUAGUUUCAUCGUAUGUAGAAAGAAGCUCUUGUUCGAUGAAGGCAAUGUAGUUUGUUGGUGACGAAGUGGGAAUCAAAUAAUCUAGUCCGCGUAGAUGUAGAAGUGACAAGAUCUUUAUCAGGAUCAAGAGUAUUAUCAUGAGCAGUAAGAGAAUCCGCAUCAGCUGUGCGAGUCAGAGUAGAAAGGACUGUUUCAAGUAAUCUGUGUUUGCGACUAGAGAAUCAGAGGUGUCACUUGCUAACGGAGCUACACCGAGACCGAGAUCGUAUAAAACAAGGUAAAAACACACAACACUGUAUUGCCAGUUUGUUCCCUUGCAAGUGGAGUGAGGAGUUUCGUUACUUUUUCUAUUGUUGAGUCAGGAGUUGAUAAGUGAGUUAAGCAGUAAGGAGCAAGUCAGAGGGCAGCAGCAAGCAAGGAGACAAGAGUCCUAAUUUCUAGCUAAAGCGAGUUCCUUUCUUUAUCCCUUCCAUUUUGUAGGGUUAGUAACUACCCAGGUAUAAAUAAAAAGCAUAUCCCUUUUGAAAGCUUACGUUAGCCAAAAUAGGGAUUUUUGAUACUUACUAUGGAGGAUAGGAGAAAAGCUAGCACCGGGGGUCGUUACCCACUUUGUUAUAGGUGGAGACAGGCUCAUUCGCCAGAGAGCGUCGAAGCUAAUAAACUGCUUUGCGCGUAUGGGAUUCCCGUCCUCAGUUGUGCUAGGUCUGGUUAAACCCAGCCAUUGAGGUCUGUGAUGAUAAAGAAGUAAGGGCCUGCCUUGCUCUGGUAUACAGCCAGGUUGAAUGAUGAUGCUACGUCGUGUGCUUACUCACCUUCUAGACCCUAUGGAAUACAACUCAUAAAUACAAAAGUAAGGAUUCCAUUAUACCCUAUGGAAUACAACUCAUAAAUACAAAAGUAAGGAUUCCAUCGUGCUCUCCUUGCUAGCUUAACACGACCCAGAGGAAAGACAAGCUUGUGAUUGGAGUGAAGGAUAGAGGCAAAUUCCAGUAAUAAACCAGCUACCGACGUCAAUGAGAAUACAAGUUUCCUUACAAGUUGACUAGAGAUAUUCUAUUAAUCUAAUUACUAUUCCUCCCCUUUGACGAUAUAAUCAGACACAUUCCCCGCUGCAUCAUUAACUGGAGAAAAGGAGAAGAAGGGCGCCUGCAUUAGUGGAGCAGUCAACUUGGCAUCAUAAGAUGUUUGAAAGGGUUGAGCACCAAUAUCCAAUAUGUUUUUAUGCGAGAUCCUCUUUGGGAAGACAGGGCACCAAUAUCAUAUAAAGCACUCUUUCACUACAAGGGUGUUUCAACUCAUGGUAGGCUCGUCUCUCUGGCAAUAAGGGAAUGUCAUCUUAGCGCCCUCGCUUUCCACUCCGCCAAGUCACUUAGCAACUCCAAUAUGUAUUAACGGUGCUUUUUGUUGUCGACUUUCAAUCUGGGUGUUUUGCCUGACUUUCAUAAUAGGACGAGAAAUGGAUGAAAUGAUUUGUUUGACUGUUACAUUCCUAAAUUAUAUGGUAGGCACAAGAGAGAGAGAUUCCAGAAAUGAAGUAUGGACUUCCGAUCAAUUGUUUUGACAGAGCGCGGGUUAGGGAAGGGAGUUUUGUUAUGAGUUUGCGAGUUUACCGCGAUAGAUUCCAUUCUUCAAUCUGAGAGGUUGGUGCUGAGAGCAGAGGUUGGAUUUACCUUAGUUGGAGGGACAGGUGUUCAAUUCUGUAGUUAUUGAGGUAAGGGUUCAAUCCUUUAGUUCCGUAGGUCAGGGUUCAAUUCUGUAGUGUUGAGGACAGGGUACAUUAGCAGGAAGAAGCUUAGUCUAGUUAUAGGAUCUUAAGCCGGGGGUUAGUUCUUCGUUUAUUUGAAAGUGCAAUUCCAUUCAAGACUUUCCGUUCUUGGCGGAGAGGUGGAUUGACCUUAUCCUUCCUGAGAAUGCUUUUCUUUCCCUUUACGUGGUGCCAGUUCCAGCUCCAGGCGAGGAGUCCAAAUAAUCCAGAAAGGUAGCAGUAGAAAAGUCAUAAGUGGUAAGCUAAGCUGGACAGAAAGAAGUUGUUUCAUCCCAUAUAAAAGAAGAAAAGGAAGAUCAUCUCUUUUCGAAUGAAUGCCCACCGCUGUGUUUUAAACUAACGGAGUUUUUUGAAGCAAAAGAAAAGGGAAGCCAAGUCGAUAUCAUCAAGCCGGUAUCUGAAAAGAAAAUAGAUAAAUAACAAUCAGAUCCUAUAUACAAUGUAGAUUAGAGAAAUUCAUACCAAUUGAUAUGCGAAAAAAAGUGCAAUUUCCAUUAACGAGUUGAGGUCGUAGAAUAAGAUAGUAUAGGUGGGUCGAGGAAGAAUCAAAUCUCAAGUAAGCUAUUAGAGCAGAUCCAGCAGUAAGCAGUGAGGAAGCAACCGAACCUAGCUUAUGCCCUUCAUACGAGUUCUGUUCUCAAGUAAUCCGUGAAGUCGACUAGGUAAAAAGAAUCCGAUGUAUAUGUAUCUGAGGCAGGAGCUGGAUUAGAGUCCGGAUUAGAGUAUUGAUUAGAGUAAGGAUCAGGUACAGGCCCAAUCGUUCUCGUUGAGUGGAGUUCGCCACACUUAUUUCAUGCAAGUGUUGUAUAGAUCCGAUCCAGGUAAUAAAAAGCACUUAGAUGCUCUCAUCUUAUAUAUAUAGAGAGAGAACAUCUAGAGAGAGAGAACAUCUUAUAUCAACAUCUUAUAUAUAGAGAGAGAGAACAAGCACAAGCAAUCUGAUGACUAACUGGUUUACGAGAGAACAAGCAAUCUGAUGGACUUAACUGGUUUACAAGGCGCUCGAAAGAAAUCUUCCUGCUUGACAAGGCGCUGCGCUCGGAUGUCGUGGAGAGAGUUUCGGUUCUUGUACGGUUUACAGUAAAGGAGACCAGAGCAGAGAGAGGGGUUCGGUACUUUACCUUUGUUGGCUACGAGAGCUGUAGUUCAUCUCACACUCCGAUAGAAGAAAAGGCUCAAGUCAAAGCGGUAAGCCCGGACAAUCCGUUUACCUUUCUUAUGGCCCAAGUGGUAGAUAACCAGAUCCAUCUCUUGCUUCCUUACCUGAUCCUGCGUAUGAUCCUGAUCUAGUUUAUGAUCUUAUAGAUGAAACUCGCCAAGUCAUAUUACCGACUUAAUAUAAGGGCAACAAAUACAACAUUGACUUUUUCUUCUUAUUAAGAUCUUUCUUAUACUGCUUCUCUCAUUGACUUAACAAGAACAGAAAUAUACUUUACAGAUCUCUACUCCUCAACUCAAAUGGAAAUCCACUUGUAUUCCUUACUUAUAGGUUCUGGAACUCUACCACUUCAUACUGUCCGGUCAACUCUAUCACUUCUCUUACUGCCCGGUAAACAAAUCCAAUAGUCAUUUCAUCUCCCUCGAGCGCAUGUCAUAUCAUAUAAGAUGGAAAUAGUUUAGUCACAAACAUUCAAAAUCAGCGGGAAUUUCUUUUAGCGCGGAAGCUCCUAACGCCAAAGACAGGAAUAGAACAACUUUCCGAGCACAGAACUCAGUUAGCGCCGAGUGAAACAUUCCAUUAAUCUAUCGAGUGGUCUUCAACAAAUCAUUCUGAAAGUUCCCAGUAAGGAGUGAGUUAUUCCUCCAGUCUUGUUUCUUUGUCAGCGAGAGAAUCAGAAGUUUCAAGAUCUAAAGCAGAAGACGGAUUGGAAUUAGGAUCAUCAACAGGAUCUAAAGCUUAUUAAUUGCCUGCUGGAGUCUUUCUUUGUCAUAGAGAGAGUUUCGGGUGGUGGAAUUCCUAUAGUGAAAGAGGUGAUUGUGUUGGUUCAGAAGGUGAAUGAGUUGGAGUCGAUAACACCUCUGCUCUUGUUGGUCACUAAACGGAUUGUCGAGUUUAUGCUCCUUCCCUUGGUUACGAGAUAGGAAUAAAUAAGGAAAGGAACUACUCUCAUGCUGAGGUGCUGUCUGGUUAGGCAGUGCUAGAGACCCUAGCUACAUCCUCCCACCUACCAGCUCCAUUCUUUCUUGAUAGUUUCCCCGGGGAACAAGCUUUGGAACCAGCAAGUCAACAAGACCAACUUAUUAGAGAGGAGCCGUUUAAAGAUUCUUCCAUUCAAAAAGAAGAUAUAGGUUAGGUUUAGUGCUUUCUUCCAUGUUGGAUCAAUGAGGAUGGUGUGAUCUUACCUCUCUCUCGUGGCUUUCCCCAUCCAUCUGAGGACUCCCUCGUCUUUUUCAAUCCUUUCGGCAUAGAGUAGAUAUUCGAUUUAGAAACUUCAAAGGAGUACGGGCAUGCUUUAUUAGUAGUUUUGAGUUUGGCUAGAAUAAAACCUUCCUUUUCGAAGACUACGAGCAAAAGUCCACCUGAAUUACCUAAAAUGAAUCAAAAUCACCCACCCCAGGCUACGACAAUCUGAGAUCCGUCUUCGAUAGACAUGAACCUGGUGCGUUAGCCUUUCCGUUUUGUCAGCAGAUCCUAUUUCAUUCAAGCCUAUAUAUUCUAGAGGGUAGGGAAAGAUUCUCUGCGCUCUUUUACCUACCAUGGGUUAAUAGUGGUGGACCGAUCGACCCUUCCAUUCAAGCCAUAUCGUAAAAGCCUUCUCUUCUCUCUAAUGGUUUUGGUGCAAUGAGGGAGCGACUUUCACAUCAUAGGGUUCCGCAGUAGGUCGAAAAUCCUGAGCUUCGUCAAUAGGCGUCCUGGUAAAAAGGGGUUCGGUGAGGUUUAUUGGGGCUAAGCGCUGAAGUACACCGAGCCCCCGGUUUUGCAUGCGGUACUUCGUCACCGAGCCGUAGAUCCACCCGAUACCGCCCUCGUACCAUUCCCUUCUGAAGCUAUAGCCUCUCUCGUACCAUUCCCUUCUGAAGCUAUAGCCUCUAUGGAUAAGGUUGGAACAAUUCCUGCUGCUAUAAAGAAAGAAAAUGGAUGAAGUGAGAACUAAUAUCCUAUAAGGUGUUGGACUUACUACUCUUUAACUAAGAAGGUGGGAUUGUACCGGUCGACUGGACGAUGGUAGGAGAAAUCCUUUGAAAGGGCUAAUAUUUACUAACCUAUUGAUUUGAUUGGGCUUGCUUUCUUUGCUUUCUCUUAGCUUCCCUUCACUUGUCCCCUUUCUCUUAGCUUCCCUUCACUUGUCCCAUAUACUAGAGGAAUCGGGUUCUGGGUUUGCAAUGAAUCCACUCGCGCUUACUUACUUGAGUUUUAGGGUAUUAUUAAGUAAGUCCUCGCUUCUAAUACCCUUACAGCUACAGCUUUAGUAAGCUAUCUCUCUCUUGCUAGCUUGGGAAAGGCAUGAUAUGCUUGAAGCCGGCUCUCCUUAACUUAUGAUUUCCUUUGUUUUUUCUUCCUUAAGGGCCCCAUCAAACUCCAAUGGUCCUAUCGAACCAGCUAUUUCACCCUUGUACUGCCCAACCAGCUAUUUCACCCUUGUACUGCCCCUGGGGUGGGGGAGAAAGACCAACAAUCAAUGAUCUUGUUCAUUCAUAUCCACCCGUAUGCUAGCAACUAUGGAGGAGCGGCAUCUUUUCCUCCCCGGGCAUCUAGCUAAUGCAUCAUUUUGAGUUUCGCAUUCAUGCAUUGGAUCGCCCUUUCUCGUACUGUACAUUGUGAAGAUCCAUAUGUGCAUUAUAAUAAUAAGAGAAACACCUCUGGAAGUGAGCUACGGGCUAUUCCCUCUCGACAUCUGUUUAUCCGGAAGCAGCCUUUAAGUGCCUUUCCUUUCGCUUUUCACUAAUACUGGAUUUCUUUGAGCUUCACCUUAUUACUUAACCUUCUAACUAGUAAAUAUAUACUACCGUUAUGGAGUUUUCUCCUAGAGUUUGCUAUGAUGAGCUACUUCGUAUGAACUUCGGACUGCUAACAUGGUUACGUGCUACUUACUGAAUACUCGAGCACAACCUUCCUUUCUACGACUUCUUUGAGUUCUCUUUUUUCCCCGCCUAUCGUUGAUGCCUAAGCAUUCCUUUUCUCUAAUUUCGUUAAUAAAUCCGUUGUGCCUUGGCACCUUGCUUGAGCACUUGGCCCUGAGCCUCGAUAACUACCCGCCUAUAGAUAACUUUCAUGACCUGAUUCAGCUUUGACCUUUAUUUAAUACUCUCUGAAGCGCACUACAUACUCUCGUUCCUUUAUUUAAUACUCUCUGAAGCGCACUACUAUAUCUCGUUCUUUACUAGUUAACCUCUGAUUUCUAAUUCAUAGAUUCUCGCUAUCCUUCUCCGAGCUCCUACGACUGCUUUCUUUCUUUCCCCAUUUCCCGUUCAAGCGGUCGACCGCCUCCAUCAUUAGAAUUCCCCUGUCGCUAGUCAGUAAAGUAGUUAGUCGAGUGGACUCUCUGGGAAUAAAUGUUCAAGAGCCUGCGCUCAGGAAGCGAGCAAGAAGUUCAAAGACAGCGCAAAGGGCAAAGAAACACGUGUUUUAUAGAAACUAGAUGAGCUAUAAGCAAAUCAAUCCCCUUCUUUGAUCACUUUGAAAUGGGGUAAGACGUGGGCCAUCUGAUAUGAGGGAAUGUUAAGGGCUCGGCUCAACACUGAUCGAUUCCAUUUUGGAUUGGCGAAGAUGAUCUCUUUAGGGCAGUGUCCCUGGAGUCGUCCCACUUCAACAUCAUUUUCCAAUAGAACGCUUUCUCGAAGGCGAGAGUCGACCUUUCUUUAGAGGAUGAGGCUCAGGUGAAGGCAGAGCGGGGAGCCUACCGAUCUUAUGAUUCUUCGUUCGUUACUAUAGCCUUAACCACGCAGUCUUUUCUUUCUUAUACCUUCCUUCCCUUGUAGCUCCGCUUACUUAAUACAUGAAAUUUCGCCAUGCAUGCUCCUUUACCUCUGCUAUGGAAUUCAUAGGUUUUGUCCGUUUAGUAACUCUUUGCCGGUUCCUUAAGUUUCCACCAUUGUUAACAUACAUGUGAAUCCUCUAAGAUCAAGUGUCCAUCUCUUGGAGGUCUCCCGCAUCGCCAUAUGGUUGGCCAUGACUGAACGAGGCUAAUAUGAAAGAAAGGGAAUCCAGCUUUCCUCCGGAGCGAAGUCUUCGCGGAAACCAAAGAAAGAAAUCAGGAUAGAAUAGAAUCCCGCCUUGAGCGCUGAAAACAUAGAUUGUAAUAACUUCGUAAUAACUCGUACUUGCUGCCGCGUAACAUUAGUAGUUACUUGCCCGUCUCACGCUCUUCUAUUUGUAGGAUCGUCAUCUCGAUGAAUAAGAGUUCAAAGUGUAUUGGCAGUCGCCUCCUUGUGUCCGUUGUCUUUCAGACCUUCAUGCCCGCCAUAACCGUCCUUAACCUUUCUGUACCCUUAUCCCUUCUGUAGAUCGAAUUGUUUAACCCCAUGGAAUCCAGGCCUUCAGCAUUUACGCAGUCGUUCGAGCAGCCCUACGCAUUGUUGAAUCCCAGAGAACCCAACCAACCCGGGGACCCUUAUACUACGCAGCAGCAACACAACAGCGUCUUUGAAGGCUGGCUGACUCACACAAGUAUCAACAGCAGUUGUAGUGGAGUGGGGGAUGCGCCUAUUAGUUCUUAAGGGUGAUUUAUUGGCACUUUCCUUUGUAGUGGUAGCGCCCAGCCCAGCAACUAUUCUUUUGAUGAACUUAACCUUAGCCUUAGUUGGUCGUAUGCUAUUCUUUUGAUGAACUUAACCUUAGUAAAAGUAUAUAGAAGCUGUUCUCAUUUCCUCUGUGUUGGCGACGAUAUCUGAUCCUUAAGAAUCCCCCACAAGUAGCGGUGUUUCCCCCACAAGUGGCGGUUUUGUUGAAAGUGGGUCAGCUAACAAUUCCUCUAGUGGAGAGAGUUCGGGUCGAGGAAGAAUAAUAAGGAUAAGAAAGGAUAAGAAAAGAAGUUGGGGCGCAGAAGCCAGAUAAAUAUCUGACUAAGUUUGUUUUCUUAUAAGGUGACGGAUCUGUUGCAGGACUAGUGUUUGUUGGUGAUGGUGAAGGUAAGUAAAGAAUACUCGUUUCCAGCACUUGUAUAUAAGGCGUCAACUCGAACAGCUUACUUGGAAUAUUACCAAAUGCUAUCUAUAUAUGCUAGAUUCUAUUCCAUUCAAAAGGGUAACUCGGUAUUCCAGAAGUUUACAAAGAUUAUGUUUAUUAUGACCCAACAGCGAAUCACCUCUAUCGAUCGACAAGUAGCAACAGCGGAACAAUCACCUUAAACUCUCUAACACACUAGUUUCUGGCGGCAAUGGAGCUCCCCCUGCUCUUGCUUCCACUGAUGACUCAUAGCCCAUACUAUAUUCUUCCCCUCACUCGACAACAAAAGCACUUUCACUUUCCACUACUUCAUCGCCAACAAACUUACAAUAAGGGCCUGAGGCAAAGAGUCAAACCCAGUUGUCAAUCACAGAAUGCUGUUAAGGAGUGUAAGACUGAAAGCAGUGAUAACAAGAAUGUGCCCCAGCAGUUGAGGAGUGAACUAGCAGGUAGUAAAGUCAUAAUUGUCCUAGGCAGUAGAAGUAUUAAACCAGUGACAGGUGCUCCUUCUCUCACCCAGUAAGUAAAGGAAUAGAACUAAGUAGUAACAGUAGAGGUCGUGUCGGGUAUAGUAGAUAAUUGCCUGUUGAGGGAGUGUGAGUGGAAUACCAAGUUGUCAGAGUCGAGUCUACUUUCCUAGGAACACUAGCUUAAGGCAAGAACUGGUAGAGGUUAGUGGUUGGGAGUGUCAGAAUUGAACUAGUAAGUAGAAGCCUUAAAGCACUGAGACAGGCCCACAGAUUCUCCGAUGCUAGUUUCAGAAUUGAGCUAAGUGUAGUUAAAGAAUUCCACCGGGUAGACUCAGUCAGCAGUCUCAGGAAUUGACCUCAGAGGUGAGCCAGCCAGUAGGAAAGGAAGAAUCAAACUGCAGCAAAUAAUACUAAUAAAUAAGCCCAAUAAACACUUGAACUAGUGUGACACAACUAGAAUAGAACUGAGAAUACAAACAUUAACUCUCAAGUGGGAAAUACAGAAUGAACUUAAGUAGUUAGGGAAUGAAACGACUCUAUCACUAAGAAUUGGUCUAGGGAUCGGAGGAAUAAAAAACUCAAAAGUCCGCGGGAAAUAGGGAAUGAAACUCCGUAUUAGAAGAAUGCAAGGGUGAACAGAGGAAUCCGACUCAAUAGUAAGUAGUACCCUUACCGCAAUCAACUAAUAAUUAGUAAAUACAGAAUGAAUCUAAUCAGUCUAAGAAUGGAAUGAGCUUCACCAAUCUAGUUAUCUCAGGCAGGAAACUCAGAAUGCCAAAAAAGUGAGAAUGCUCGGGGCACUACAUCAGAAUUGAACCGACACCAAUAGAUAGAGCAGGAAUCCAGCAGGCAAAAACACAGAAAGCAGAAGACUGGGGAAGAGACCUCCGGGAAGGAGAUACUUCCCUCAGACAGGAGUACCAAUACUAUAUUCUCUGACUUAAGCUUUCUUGCCCUAAUACCUCAGACAGGAGUACCAAUACUAUAUUCUCUGACUUAAGCUUUCUUGCCCAAAUAUAUAAUAUAUAAAGAAUCAGACUUGCCCAAAUAUAUAAUAUAUAAAGAAUCAGCUACUUUAUUGAGAUAGAUUCCACAAAGAAUCAGCUACUUUAUUGAGAUAGAUUCCACAAAGAAUCAGCUACUUUAUUGAGAUAGAUUCCACAUUCCAAAAGUGGAAAAGAGGUGAAACAACACAAAAGGGAUAUUCUCGUCUAUGGGGGAGUGGGCCAAGCAUGAAUUCAGUGACGCAGUAGCUCAAACAAAGGAGUGGAUUUGAAGCUACCUAGCACAAUACUGAAUACUGUAAACAACAAAGCAUUGCUUUAGAGAUUGAAGGUAGUGUAGCGCGAAAGGAACACACUUCGGGCAGUAGGAAAACUAAUGAGAAUGGAAUUGAGCUCUAUAUACACUUAAUAUUGAAAUACGAGUGGAAAGAGAACCUAUAACGCUGAUGAAGAAAGGACGGAAAGUGACCAUCAGAAUAAGAAGCAACCAAAAAGUCAGAGAAUCCAAGGGCUCACUAGACGGUGUUGUAGGCUGGAGCUAAAAGUAGUAGAUUGGAGUUUUAGUGCAGAAGAACUCCGAAUUCGCUUUUAUGAUGGACAACUAUCUGAUAGACAACUAACAUAAGAAAGAAUAUAAUAUAGAUAAGAAAGAGCAACGUAUAGAAAGAAGCAAGUGAGUAACAGGAUACUAGGAAAGUCAGCGCUAAAGGAAGUUAUUCAAUGAAUUCUAAAGAUAAGGGAGUUUAGUAUAGAGAGAGGGGAGUAAGAGAUCGAUUGAACAAGUCGAGUGAGGGUCGGAACUUAGCAUCUUAACUUCCAGUCUUGUUUGGGGAAGAAUCAAUUCCCAUUUGAAAUUGUUUAAUAAAUUGAAGAGAAAGUCAAAUCAAAUAGAAUGCCCCUACCCUAUUUACCAGUAUAAGAUUCAUGAAAAGAGUCAGACAACCCCUUGUUAGGAGCUAGCUAUUAUUUGAUAGUAUAUGAGUAGAAGUAUAUGAGUAGAACAGAAAUUAGAUAAGCGCGACUAGCUCAGAAACCACACAAAGACAAACACAUGGAGGCCCAACUCAUAAAUCAUAGACUAACCAAAGAAAGCACAUGGGGAUAUUGGACGCGUGUCUAGUUCUCAUUGGAAAGGAAUCGGCGUAAUAUUCUUUCUGUCUCCCGCCUGACACAGUUUUACAGGCGGUGAUACCUGAUUGGCUCCAAAUCCAUAGUUGUCGAAAUAAUCUAAAGAGAACAAGCCUUUGAAACCGGGGUGACACAUGGUUGUACUGGUAAGCUUUGGGCUGGAGAUUGACGAUUGACUGAGCGUGCUUUGGCAACUCGUGGUGGAGUACUCUCAGACAGAUUAGCUCGCCAGCUCCCCUUGCUUAGAAAAUCCAUGUUUGGCAGAACCCCUAUCUCUUGAUUGAUCUGAUCAGACGCUUUUUCCCAGUCGGUACCCUUUACUGCUCUGUAAGUACUGAACUAGCACUAGCAAUAGCUUUUUCCAGUACAUGUAGAACCUAGUAUGAAAACCUUAUGUAUAUAAGUCCUAGAAACUCCCGAAUACAGGCACCUGAGUUAGCUAGAUACUAGACCUCCACUCUUGAAACUAAUACUUCUUGAAACAAGCUGCUUUCUAAUCUACCUAUGGCUACACUACUAUACGGGGCAAGAACUAACCUUUAUGAACGGACCUUGAACUUCACCCUCUCUUUACAGCACCUACCUGACCUCAUAAGAGAAUAAGAGUAAGCUAGUUGUUUCAUUAAAGUGAGUUGUUUCAUUCCCGAAGUCAACACCUCUUCUUCUCUGUGGGCAUCAACACCUCUUCCUCUCUGUGGGCCAAAAACAGGAAGAGCCAGAUCCUGCUGUAAGGAAAGUUAGCAGUAAUAGGUAUAUCAGCAGAGUUAGCAUCAGUGUGUCAUCAUUGGAAUUGUUGUUCGUAGUAGGAAUCUCUUAAGGGCCGCUUGUUCACUGGUCGGUCUGGUCUGCCCUGUUUUAUAGGCUUCAAAUGCAAUUGAAAGCGAAUGCGGCAGGGAGCUAGCCACUACUAAUCUAUUGUAUGUCCAUAUCUUAUAUGAAAGUGAGAAUCAAAUCAAUACAAAUAAGACCUAAACUAUAGGGAUAGGGCACAGGAGACCAACUACAGGUUUUAAGGAUAUAAAUACCACAGCGGAUCUAGCUGAAAACAGCCCCUACUACCUUAGAGCCUUGCUUACUGCCCUGCCUAAGCUGUCUAUAUCCUCUGUUUAAGUCUCCGAACACUGACUUCACAUCUUUAUCUAACGCUUACCUCGGAUCUGAACUACCCUUCUAGCAUUCUGACCUAACCCAUAAAUGGUGUUUCUCAUAAUUGAACCAGUGCUUCUAAUACGCUACUGCCCUAACGAAUAGAACUAGUGCUUUUUAUACGCUACUGCCCUAACGAAUAGAACUAGUGCUUUUGAUUCUGACUUUAUGUGCCUAAGAGCCUGGGACUACUAUCAAUAAGAGUUGGACUGUAAACCGUGAAUCCACAACGACUACUAGAAAGAGUCAAACAAGGAACUAAGGCUUAAUGCCUAAUGCACUAACCAAGGCUAACUAAGGAACUCGACUACUGCUUCUCAUAAUGCAACUAGUACAGGUAGGACUGACACUGCUUCAUCUCAUUCCGACAUUCCUUACCUUGCUUCACUGUCUAUGAGAACUACACUAAGGAACCCCGGCUAUAACCAAUGGUAAUAAGAAUUGGCUCCUAACCACCAAUAGAGGAACCUAGCAUCUAACUCAGUGAAUCAAACUCAUCACUCAGGCUUAUGCUCGAACAUAGGAGUCGACAUAAGGAACUACAUAAUGGAACACGACAGGAGUAGAAUGCAUCAACCACAUAACUAGUACUUCGUAUUGUAUUAUAACUCAUAUUCCCUAGGCACCUACCAAGCCUUAGACGCCUACAGGAAAGAAUGUCACUCGAUACCUGGGUCCUGUAUUCUAUAACUAAUAUAUGUCACUCCGAACUCUUGUUUGCCCUCUUGCUCCGUCAGACUUAUACUCCUUGACUAAGUUUGUAUUUCCCUACAAUAAGGAUUGGACUCCCCUACUGACUUUCUUCCCUUUAACUCAGCCUAGUGCUACCUAGAUAGGACUUAUAAGCAUCAAUCCACGAAUCAAGCCUGCCCUCCUACCCUUCACUAUUAUAAUUCACCUGUCGAUCGGUCUGCCGGGUACGCUUGUCUUUACCGUCGUUGCUUGGCUUAGUUUAACUCACUACCGAAAAGAGUGGAGCGGCCCAAAGCACUCAUUUAAAAAGCAACAAUAAAUAGAUUCUUUGUUAUUUCUUAUGGCAGCUAAGCUUGUAGUCGUAGCUUGGCUGGCGCUUGGCCUAAGAAGUUUGACUAUACAGCAAAAGAAUAAUCAAUGCAAUAAGGUAGUUGACAAGCGGGAAUGCAAGCAAUAGGCUGCUGGGCUGGGUGUGUGCGCUCUAGCUUAAGGUGUUCCUCCGAGGACUGGAAGGCAUUAGUCGAAAUGCUAGAUAUAGUUGGGGUUGGUCAAGAAGUAGUGUUUCGAUUCCCCGUUAAGAGCUAUGAUCUUGUUGGCAUUAAUAUAAGAUUUCAGUAAGGUAAAGUAAGCUUAGUUGUCCAGGGAUAAAGACCAAUAGGCAGUGAGUAAGGAUUUCCGUAAUUAAUCAUAAAUGCACUACAACAUAACUUAUGGGGCGAUGACAGCAAAUCUCACAUGUAAUACUCUCUUUGGUUUGAGUCCUACUUCACUUUAUCUUAUCUUAUUCUUUUACCUAAUACCCUAUACAGCUUCCUCGCGUUCCUCAACUCUUUAUGCGAAGUCUGCUUUUCCUGGCCUGGCUAUCGGUCUAUAUCUCUUUGCUUCCAAACUAGAACCACUGCUUCCGGGGCUUUGACUACUGACUUCGAAGGCGUAUUACCUUGUCUUUGAUUCUUUAGUGAGAGUUGGGGUUCGCUACCUCGGGGGAACGAAACAAACUCCAUAGCUACUGAUCCGAUCCUAUGUGUUUGAUUGCUAGCCAGCUCUUUUCCUUGGUAACCUGACACUACUUAUUUCAAUUAGAAAACUCAUAUUCUAGUCAAGCUAUCAGGCUACUCUCUGUACUGGUAAGGACGAAAACAGCUCCUAGGGAACUAAACUACUAACUAACAGGCUGGGCUAUGUGAAUUGAAAACCAGUUUGUUUGAUGGUUCUUUGCUUUUGUGUUAUAUUGCCUGCUCUCCUGCUGCUUUAUAGCCUUCCGAUCCCGAUAUCCAUUCCAAUUCGAUUGUUUCAAACAGCCCUUCCUUAGUUUCAAGCUAAACCGGCUUACUUUUGUCUUUAGCUACUGACCCCUCUUAUGAUAAGGAAUUGAAUCACUGCUAACAAGGUUGUCACAGCUACUGGAAAGAAUGUAACCACUACAGAUGAGAAUGCGAAUCAACAGUAUAAGAACUCGAUCUAGUAGCCCGAGCCCAACCAUUGAUACGAACUCCGCUUUUCAUUGUUAGCACUGCACCCCAAGCCCCGACUUGUAGCUAUAGAACCUAACAGCAAUUCUGAUUCCUUUGCCGAGGUCCCUGGCUCAUUCUCUCUUUUCUUUAUUCAAUUAAGUAGUUUGCAUUUCACUUAGUAGUCAGAAGGUAAUGCCUGGCAAACCUAGUCUAUUUCACCCGGAAUUCAAUCAAUAAGAAAGAAACCAUCAAUCAAUAAGAAAGAAAAACAUAAGUCAGACUUAGUAUUGUAUGACAUCCGAGGCCCUAAUUGAUGUCGAAAGGUAAGAGUAUCAGAGCAGUAAGUCAAUGAAUGAAACCUAUACUAAUCAAAAGAAAACUACGAAUAAGGAAUGUGACUAACGAGCGAUACUUCAACUCCCAAGUAAUAAUAAGUUGGUGUUAGGGAGUAGCUCAGAUAUGGUGAAUAAGAAUAAAGAAAGGAACUAAAUAGUAGUAGAAGUAUAAGCCUGUGUGUUAAUAAUCAAUAAUUUGAGAAGUAAGUCAAAGAAUGGGCACGUCUCUCAGGGGAUUCAAAAAGAAUAAAGAUGUUAGAUCCGGAGUGGAAGGUUUGUGAAGUCGGAAUUCCACUUAUAAGUCAGUGAAUAAAGCCUUACUUACGGAUUUGAACUUAGUAGUAUCGGAUUUCAAACUACAAAUACAGCAGAAUCCAACUUGGUAGUAUCAGAUUGACCCGUGGAAUAGUGUAUAAGAGGAACAACUCAUCUCAUUGGUGAACUAACACAGAAGUGGGGAUACCAGGCUAAGAGUAAGAGUUAGUAGUAGAAAACACAAACUAUAAAAGAAAGAAAGCAAGUACUCUAUUUUUCCCUUAACCCUAUGCCUCAAUCAAUUCUGUUCUUUUUGAUUCCGUUGCCUGUUCUGGAAAGCCAAGAACUGAUCUCGUAGACACCACUGGACAACCGUACUCUACGCCGAAGGAGCUACUUCACCGACGACGCAGGGCAAUAAGUGGUAGAGUGAAAGAAUACUAAUAAAGGAAGGUACAAGGAAGGCUCUUGUGCACCGGGCGGUCAAUAAGUGUAUGAGUGAAAGAAUACUCUGAAGUGUGUUAGCUUGUUUCUUUAGCAGGUGAGGAAGAACGAUAAGAAGCUAGAAGAUAUAACGGAGGGGGCAAACAGCGCGAGGAGAAAGUAUACGAGAGAAGAGGUAAUUGACAGAGAGGUUAUAGGAAUAUCAUAAUUUCAGAGAUCUACUCUACUUUAACAUUUCGACUAAACCCCCAUUUUAGCAUUCCGUACUUUUCGCUUCUGCUCUUUCAACUCUCACGUUACUUUCUUUCUUAUGAUACCCCAUAGGCUAAUUAUUCUGUUUCAAACAUAGUAGCUUGGCCAAUUACAUUUUCUAUAAUAAAGUAACAAAACAACUUCAUUAUAAAGAUUCCACUUCUUACUGCUUGACUACUUUCAUCGUAUGAUGCUCUCCAAAGAACAAUUCUUCUCAAUAAGUGGGAAUCCCAAUAGUCAAAUAUUCUAGUGGCUUCAAAGCUAUUCUAUCACUAGAGCGCUUUCCUUUCUCGGGAAUUGUAGCCCCUUACUUAACCGGGAAUUGAAGCCCCUUACUUAACCUAACCAGCGCUUAUCGCUUAAAGCCAAUACUAAGGGGAAGACCAUAGACGGCACUGUGGAUGGUAACUUAUCGAGGUCAUUUCUGAAAGCCAAUAAAUCAGAGGGGAAGGCCGGAGACUCCACAGUGGAUGGAAGUACAACUAAGUUAACACUCUUUAAUGAAUGCAGGAACAGAAGAGAAGAAUGUGGGUCCAUACCUAUGAAAGAAGGUUGGGGGACUGCUAAUCCCACUCUAUGUCUUGCUACCUAUGACUGCUUUGUCGACUCUGUUGACGGAGUACGCCUCACAGCACGGCUAAGGAGGGAACUCUCUCCUCUCUGCGCAAAGAGAAAGUCUUCCUUUGAGACAACUCUACUUAUGCAAAGAAAGAGAAAGUUGGUACUACUCUACUUAUGCAAAGAGAAAGUCUUCCCUGUUUUUUUACUACUCCACUCUUCUUUUUUCCGUUCACUACUAUCGCUGGCUUAGCAAGUAAAUGAUUUAUAUCCGAAUCGGUAGACUGCUCGUUCUAGGCCCGUGCUUGGAUGACCGACGAAAAAGCAAGGUAGAAAGUAUCGCCGGUUUGAUAGAAGGAAGAAGGAAGUCACUUCUCCGCUAUGAAAGAUGAGUGGAAUAUACCUUAUUUCUCUCUUUGGCCUGUGUGGGCAUUCGUCUUAAAGAUCGGGGAGUGGUCCGGCUCAUGGAAAGAUAUGCUUUAGACAAGGGUUAGGCACCGAAGAUGAACUUAGAACAUGGAUUUUCCUUAAUCACUUUGAAAUCGUUCAGGACCUUCUUUCUUUCCUUCUUUCCUUUUGGGCAUGUCGAGUUGAGUGAGAAACGAUAAGUAGCAGCUUGUACGCGACACCCCGAAAUCAACAAUAAAGAUUGGAUUCUACGGCUUGGCUUUCUCAUGUAAGUAACCUCCUUCCUUCUUUUACGCUUCUAGGCAAUAAUAGAUUAUACCUUGAGUCUGAUUAUACCUUGAGUAAAUAAUAUAGAUUCCACCUUCAUAGAUUAUACCUUGAGUUAAUAAUAUAGGGGAGUAUACAAGAGGAUUACCACUUCCAUACUACUACUAAGUGUAGCCAAUGGUGCUUCGCGAGACCUUUUCGGUCCACACUGGAGAAAACUCGUAUUCGGUUACUCUUUCCUCUUCCGUUCAAUUGUACGUAGGACCAAGACCAUUCGAAGGUAGGUGGUUACAUGUCGAUAUUGAUGUUGCUUUCGCUUGAAUAAGAAAUCUUCUUUCACUCCAACGGAACAAGCAAAAGAAGAAACAUUAUAUUACUUAUUGUUUCAGGGCAGGGGUGCCUUAGCGAGCAGAGCGCCGAGUUGCACUGAAUUAGCGGUUAAAGUGAAGUGGUAGGUGGCAUCGUCUAACGUAUAUUCGGUUCAAGUCUUUCUCGAUCAAGGGGAUUUGCACUUCGAUUGCCUUUGUAUUCAGUCUACUUUCUGUCUUCUUAUUCUUGGAAGAUAGUGGUCAUGGCUCGCUGAUAUGUAGCACCCGUCCGGUAGUACGAAUCGUGUUCACACUUAUCUUUCCCACUUCAAAGAAAGAGUGCUUGAUGAUAAUCUCGAAAACCCAACUAGAUUCCCUUCAGAGCAGGUAAAUACUCUAUUCCCUUCAGAGCAGGUAAAUUGAGAUCGAAAGAAAGCCUAAGUACUAAUGCGCUUAACCCCUACUGCAGCCAAAGUUAUAGCGGCUGUAGCCGACGAGGUCAACUUUCUAUGUGGGCAUAGGACGUAUCAAUACAGAAUUUUCUCUCUAUUAUUUGAAAGGAACUAAAUAAGUGAGUUGUCUUGGGUUGAAAGGAACUAAAUAAGUUGGGUCAUGAGGAGCCGAAGAGAAACAACCCCCUGGCGCAUUUAGGUUUUGAUCAUAGAAGGCAGGGCAAGAAGGCAGAAUUCAGAAAGAUUUGAGCGCUGAAAACAAACAUCUAUUGUAAUAAUGGGAACUCUAGCGGCCCCCAAAACAGGAGUUGUGUUGAUAGUGGAAUGCAAUUCCGUUAUUACCGUGACUUUAAGUUUAAGCCGAGUUAGCAAAGUCUUGUUCUGCUAUUGGCAUGAGCAGUGCGGGUGUAGUUCCCAACGAAAAAAAAGAAUGGACAUCUUAUCUCAUCUUUUCCUGCUGAUUUGAAUGAACAAAGCAACUAAUACUGUACCCCUUCUCCUAUUCAAAUUACCCUGUGGAUCAGUCUUACUAUACCUUCCAUCGACCUGCCCUCCCUCUGACUUUAGGGUCGCUGUCUUGCUUUUGCCAUAGUUAGGAUUGAUCGGUUGGUGCACCACUUGUAUUCUGUAUUCUGAUAUUUAGUAUAGCAGUUAUACGUUGCUUGGUGGAUCCGGAUCAAUAGCUGGAGAAUUCUCAUAAGGCAGGGUGGACUUACAAGCAAUAGUUAUAGUCUAGAGCUAGUAGCGGUGGAGAAUAAGAUGUAGCAAUGGGGCACUUUCUGGCAGGAAAGCAAUACUAACAGGUUCAAUAGGGAAUCCAAAUAAGUGGGGGUUGGUUAAAGAGUCAAAGACAGGAGAGGCGUCCGUAUCAGCAUAGUCUCAAUUCUUAUCAGUAGGAGCUCCAGAGUGGACAAGUGAAAUACUAGAUUCAAGCAAGUAAAGGUAGCCCUGGAAGUAGUGACUCAAUUCUCUCUUUUGAGUGAUCAAGUCUGAAAGGCAGUACCCGUAUUCUAAACUUAAAGAAUGGAACUCUCAACACGGGUUAUAACCAAGUCAAUCAAGUUUUCGUUGAUUUUUGACUGGAACUGUUGCUUCUCGUACUGUUCCUCGUAAUAAAGAAGAAGACUAUUGUCAACCGAGACUCUAUGCUUUGGGAACUCUCUGUAAUCCAACUCAUCAGUAAGAGAAUGAAGCACCGAAAAAAGAGAAAAAGCACUCGAGCAGUAACAGGUAAUUCUACACUCCCAGCUUCAAAGCCUUAUUCCCUUGCUUAAUAGGAGUCAAAGCCUUAUACCUCCAGUCGAGUGCCGAGCUUAGCUCCACCCUUACUAUCCGCUCUAUCAUUCCGUAUCUCUGGAUUCAAACCAAAACUCCCAGCUUUGAGUCCAACACUUCUGCCUUUAAGAAUAGAGUUGUUACUUGUCCAUAACUAACUGACGCUAGAAAACUACAGAACUAAUAAUAACUCUUAAUAACUCGUUUAUUGCUGCUCCGCUCCUACCCUAAUAUAAAAACAGAACUUCUUAUAAUACGUUAUAACUACCUAGAGAAUACAUACAUACGGGAGAAGAACUAACUAUAGUACUGUUGCGCCGAGGAAGAAAUUCCCAUAAUUCUUUUCUCCGAACUGAUACUAUGCAUCUUAGGAAUGUACCAACACCAGACUUUCGAACUGUUUCUUUUCACUCCGUUAGUGCUUCUGAAGCGAGGUUAAGUGGAUGACCUGAAUGCACCUAAUAAGUAAUAACCAAUUCGUGUGGGGAGCAUUAAGAAUCUAGUAUUGCCUAAUAAGACUGAAAGGCAGAAGUGCCAGAUCAACCCCAUAAUCCAAAUACGGAUACGGAACGAAGCCACCCGCUUGUAUCCAGGCGAGGCAGGUAAACUCUUGUACUAGUUAAGUUCAUUCUGCCCUUGCCCGCGCUCCACUGCUACUAUAAGUUAAUAAGAUAAUAGAUAAAUGACAAAACCCAUUCUAAUAUACUUACACAAUUAAUGUUAUUAUUAUAACUUAGCGUAAUAUACUGACAUUGAAGCAAGAAAGAGAUAUAGAGAAUCAAAUAAGUCACGGUCAGAAUCUCACUACUAAUGGAAGGAAUAAGCAGUAGCAGACCUAUAUUUUUUAGUUGAAGAGCAACCCCGGGAAAGUCAGAAUCAAAGAAAGAAGUAGGAAUCAACACCCCAGAAUGCAGAAUUGAACCUCUGUUGCUGGGAUACCGGGCUAAGACACUCAUUCCGCUAAGAAGAAUUGCACACAUGAAAACAGGGAUCAACCGAGGUAGUCCAAAGAAUAGAGCUAGAGUCCGUAGAAGAUAGAAGCUCAUAAGUAGGAAAUCAAUAGUGCCCCGAGACACUAGUAAGUAGAAGAACUCACCUCUAAAUUAGUAAUUCCACUCGAAACGGGAAUUCAUCUAGUACUGGAAAGGUUGAAACAAACAACUGGGAAAUAAACUACUGAUAAAAAGACUGGAGCUGGGAACUAAGCCCUUAUGCCCUUACAAGCUUGAAAUCUUCCUCUGCUUGCUUUGAAACUGAGCUAUCCCUAUCUUCUUCUUAAACUCAUUGGUAAAGUGCCUCUAUGUCCAGUGCCUCUAUAUGGAUAUAAAAGAAUAAGGUACGAUGUAGGUACAUCGAAAUAGACGAAACUCAACGAGAAUCAGAAUGGAGCAAAAAAGGCAAAGAAUUGAAGAAAUCACUAGCAGAAUUGAACCGCUGCUAACCCUGGCUUGCUCUAAAAUUAGCAUCACCCGAUCUACGGCGUACUUCCCUUUCUGGCAUUCUGACCAUCCUUGGUCCACUCUGGAGCUCCCUUCUACUAGUCUAUCCUUUCCAACUCUUAUUCUGACCUUGUGUUCACUACUAAACUAAUGAAUGAGCUUAGGUCUGCUACUUCUUGGUGUGAUGUUUGGUUCUUAUCACUACUCCUACUAGCCUGCCCCGGCUUACUUGAAAACUGACACCGCUGACUUAAGGAUAUAACACUACCCUCCACUUGAAGACCUUAACUAACCUACUGCUCCUUUCUUCGAGUCUUGGUUGCGAGGUAAACUCUAACUCCGUCUUUCCCUACUAUAGGUCUUACUGUUGUUUAUCUAUAUCUAUUCUCUUAUAAUAAUAGUUGCAUGUGUUUUCUUAUUAGAUUCUAGUAAUUCCAUUAGUAGUUUGUAGAGUAGUUAGAAGCAAACAACAGUCCCACCAAAGCUGCUAUUCUAUUAUCUAUGUUGUGUUGCCGGUGUCUAAGUCAGAAAUACAGAAUAGUCUCCUGGGGUGCUUCUUCAAAUAGAGUAUCUGGGGCAAGUGCUUGUGCGCCGGGCUUACGCUUUGACUUCUCCUUUUCUUUUGCACCGGGCAACGGGCAAUAAUAUGGGUUUGGUGCUUGAGCGCAUCUUUCUCAUAUCGAUCAAGGCUUUUCUUGAGUUUUGAAUGGCGACUACAAGAUCUGCAUUAAGGAUCAGCAAUAGGGCGAGCGAGAGAGAAAGUGCAUUCUAGAGCGUUAAGUAUUGCCUACCCCAAUCGCUCUGUUCUCGUUUAAUGUUCUGUUCGAUAGGACUAAAAGGCACCCUAGGCAUUGAAGAAAGAAAAGAUGGCUUUGAAACUUAUACAGAUGGGAGUGAGCCUGUCUUUCAGGACUUGAAAAACGGAUAUUCCCCACCUAUGCCUUCGUUCUGUAACACCUCAUUACAUUACUUUAUCUUAUAUUAAACUAUUUAUUACUGAGCUCUAGAUCAUACCUAUUAUUCUCUGACUUAUACUUCGCUUGAAACCAAUUAUUAGAUAUUAUAUGAAAAUGACCGUUAUUCUCUUAUAUAUCAAUUACGAUUAUUCUUUUCUUUAAGUUAACAUAGCAUUCAUAUUCAUUGUAUCCACGUCAUCAGUAUAUGAGCUAUCGGUAACUCAUUCAGAAAGUGGACCAACCCAUUAUUCAAGUGGGGGUGAACCAUUCCACUCUUAAGGUAGUUAAGCGCAUUCUCAAAUACACGUAAUGAAAGCAGAGGAAACAAUUGACUUCAAACCGGCACCAGAGCUAUCAAGGGAAAUAGAAAACGACUACCUUUUUUAGAGCAAGAGAAUACCUUUUCCAUUUUGGAAACGAAAACUCCUAGCGCAGUUUCUUAUUCUUUACUUGGAGCUGCCCUGCCCCUCGACCUUAGUAUCAAUACAUAGUAAUCAAUACAUCAAUACAUAGUAAUCAAUACAUAGUUAGUAGGAGAGGCAGCCUUGGAGGCGAAUUACAGAACUCAAAAAUGAGGAGUAGACAAGCGAGACAUAGAAUAAGGCGUGUGUACUGCUGGGCAAAAUGCACUAAAAAGUCAGAUUACUACCCGGCCAAGCAACUCAAAAGAUGGAACCGAAACCUCUAACCUCAAUUCUGUAACUUAUGCCUUAGCGCCUCGCUUGUCCUAGGUCGGGCCUGCCAACACAUAAGCUAGCCCGCUAAAACACAUGCUGCUUUAUAUACGAUUCCUCAGCUAAUAUAACUCUCUUUCUGUCGCUCCUCUGAACCAGUGUUAGAUUCUUAUUCCUCUGUUCGAAAGGCUAUAUGCUUUAGUCACAUUUACACGAAUCUCUCUUUAUUGGCUAAGUUCGAAUUGCCCUGAACCGAGCAGCAUACGAAUCAAUCUUCUUUAAGUUAACAGAAUAGCGCAUUUCAUAAUAUCAUAACCAAAGUCAGAAUCCAAAGGGUAGAGCGCCCGAUAGGAGCACUUGCUUUAUUCUCCCUAUUCAUAAAAAGAAAAGUGAAAGGAUCCGGUGUGGUGUUUGUGUUUAAAGAAAGAAAAUACGCUUAGAUGAAGGGGUGUUCGAGACAAACUAUGGAUUGAGGUCAGUCAUGUCAGUUUUCGAGUUCUAGUAGCGGUAGGCCGAUACAAUAGUGAAUAAGGCUGGGCCGGGCGUAAGAGUAAGACCGAGAAGCAGGCAAAGAAUGUAACGAGUGAGGGACAAGAAUGGAAUAGAGGUUUAGGAGCAAUAAGUAGAUGAGAUGAGCCUUAGUGAAAAUAGCCUGAGGUAGAUGAGCCGAAUACAGAAGAAAGAGAAUCCGCUGUAUAGGUUGGUGCUUACGCUCUAGGUCGAGUUCGGGUGCAGAAGAUGCUUUAGCUUGGUUAGUUGACAGAGCCUAGCCAGUAGUUUCUCAGUGGAAUACCGAUCCUGCUCGAGUUAUAGUUGCAUCCCCAGUAGCAUCUGUCUUUGUUGGGUCUGCAAGGUCAGCUGUUAGAGCCGAGCCAGUAGUUGGCGAUAGGCUAGUUUACUUACUUUGUUUACUGACUUGUUCGGGUGCCAGUCCAGUAGUAUACGCUUGGUCAUAACCUGUUCUGUGUGGAAUACCGAUCCUGCUCGAGUUAUAGUCUUCAGACCGGUAUGUUCUGGUUCUCAAGUAAGGGUAAGGCUAGGCCCUUAUAGUCAGUUUCGGGUGUGAGUUCAAAGUUGACAGUGAAAGUGUAAGUUGAGUCGGAUUAAGGUUCAGCGCUAAGUCCUUAUUGCAGGUCGAGUUAAGUCUCAAAGAGAGGAGGCGAGAGCACUAGGUGAAGUUGCUUAGCGGGUAAGGUCGGCUUGGUAGAAUCUUCAAUAAAGAGUUGUAGUUAAGAGCCAGACCAGAGUCGAGGUCGGUGCUAUAGUGGAAUACCGAGCGGAUAGCCCAUGUAGCGGUCAACUUCCCUUUCCCACUUUCAUUCUCUCUUUUAUAAGUCAGUUUGUGCAGAGGAAGCACCCAAAGAAGUAAGAAAACUGGGAUUACUCGUAGUGAGCGGAAGGAGUUGGCUAAUAGCACUUAGGUUGGUUCCUGGAUCUGGUAAAGAAAGGAAACAGUUAAAGGUUAAGGCUAGGGAAGGAAAGAAAGUCACUGCUUUUAAGGGUUCCGGUUUUGGAAGGAAAGAAAGUCACUGCUUUUAAGGGUUCCGGUUUGGGAAGGAAAUCAAGCCUUAAUAAGUAAAGGAGAGUGGAGUCUACAGGUGAGGCAGCUGGGUUAAGGGCUGUUGCUAGGGAAAUCAAGAAAGACUCGUAUAAGUGCCAUGUGUUAAGCAAGUAGUAAAUUUAGUUAAGUUGACCAUAGCCCUAGGUAUAGGCGGGAAGCACAGAAAGAAAGGGUAUGCACCUAGCGUAUCAAAGAAAGAAAGAAAUCCGAGGAAGCGAGGGAAAGUCAAGUCCCAACAUAAGCUCCACACAGUGCCCUCAAUCAGGUCUUACAAUAGAAGCAAGAGAUGGAGUUUGAACAAGAGAAGAAGCCGGGGAAGAAAUAGUACUGAAGUGAAGAAUUGCGUCUCAAAAACACGGGUUUUCAUCAAUUGAGCAACUGGGCAAGUGCCCUUAAUAGUUAUAUGUGCAAUAUGAGAUAUGGAAAGAAAGUAUGUGCAAUAUGAAUGAAUUCGGUGCGCCAAGCAUAGGUAAAAGAAAGGCAUAGGUAAAAGAAAGAGACAAUCCCUCACACCCCUUAUAGUAGUGGUAAAAGACAAAGCAAAAAGAAGUAAGACCGAGGAAAAAACGAAAUAGCAGUUAGAGAAGCUCCGUAUUAAGAAGAGGGCAAAGUCGGCAACUAGGUUGAUUCUGUGACUACUGAGUUUCACUCUAACCCUUGAGUUCACCCCGAGCCGAGUUUCGUGCAUUAGUAGUGGCGAGUGCCCCGAGUGGAAUCUGGUUUCAUAUAUAAAGAAGAGAUAUUUGGAUAGCUAAUUUCUUAUAAGGAGUUUCUACUGUGUAGGUACAUGAGAAAUUGAAGUUUUCUUUCGGGAACUAGCAGCCCUGCCGUUCCUAUCGCUCGCUACCUAGCCUUGAUCGGCUUGGCUUGGUCAAGUGUCUUGGCUCUGUUCUUUGAUUGUUCUUUCUCAUUUCUUGGAUUUGAUGGGUUUUCUGGUUUCUUUCCCUAGUGUAGUCCGGUUUCUUUAAUAAUAACAUAUUUGUGAUAGCGCCAAGUAACGACUUAAGAAGAUCUUUCGAAACUCAUCCUUAAUAUUAAUAAGAAGAUCUUUCUCAACGCUAUUAUCCUUAAUAAUAAGAGAGAUUUGGAUAGUUAUUAAUAAGAAGAGAUAGAAUUAAGGAGGAGACAUGCGGACUGAGGUUAUCGAUUGUAUCAUUGCUUAACACAAGCACCCGAUCCUUACCCUUACUAUAGAACCAGAACAGAGGACUACCAGUACUAUCUUCUUACCUGAACCCAGCCAGCUAUCCGGUCCUUGCACAGCUACCUCAGUCUACUAAUACAGAUGCAACUGGGGAUUCCACUUGAACAAGAACAUAGGUACCCGACCUAAACUAUCACAGCUGUUGACUUGCGCACUGCUUCAGUUCCUUUACUUCCAUCUUGAGAUCCAGCGCCAUCUUUAUCUAAGUUUCACAUAGGGAUAGGGUAAACUCGUACACGCGCGCACAAGCACUUAUAUAACUCGUAUGGAAUCUGGAACUUCAUUCACUUAUUCUUCCCUACUAUGCAAUGAUUACUUAAAGUCAAGUAAGGAUAAGACUGGAAAGAAUCCAUGUAUUAGCUCGAAAUACAAGAUUCUAGGCGGAACUCCCUAUGUUGGUAACCGAAAACUUGUUAUUCCGAGUUAUUCCGAAGUACUAAUUGAGCCUAUGUCAACUAAUACAGAUGAAACUGGAAACUUACUAUGAGGGCCACUAACUAAUGCUUUUGUAUCUGAUUCCAGAAUUACUGUAUCGUUUCUAUACUCAACACCGGAAGUAUAAGUAGGAAUUUAGGAUUACCCCGCUUGCAGCCUCUCCUUACUUACCUAGCUCUAGCUGAAGCCUGUUAUUCAGGUGGGGCAAUUACUAUAGUGACACUUGUAUAACUUGUUCAAUUCUGACCUUUGAGUAAACCCAUCCCCUGUUACGCUUGGCUCUUACUUGCAACAAGAACUCCCCUUUCUGACCCGAUUGCUGCUUACUUGAGAACUGCUUACUUGAGAACUGCUGCCGAUUCUUCUUUCUGUUAGGCCUGUACCUGCUCCUUUGGCAUCAAAGCCAGUGGACUACUUCUAACUGCUUCCCGACUUACUAUAAGGGCCUCGAACACCUGAUUUAGACUGCUUCUCUGACCUAUGGCUACUGGACCUCUGGCUACAACUACUUAUGCAACUAUUCGUAUACUUGUUUGGUAUUCAACUCUAACUGCAGCUGACACUUGAACAGGAACUAGGGAUUCAGCUACCCAAAGAGACUCUAUUGAAACACACUGAUAUGCUAUCUUUAUCUUUUAAAGAAGAAGAAACUCGGGAUGAGACUCACUACUACUGAUUCUACUACUCCACUACUUGAACUACUACUUUAAGAAGGGGCAAUCCUUAAUUGCAUCAACCUUGCCCACCUAUCAUAUGGCAACAAACACAGAGGAACCUCGGUAUUCCACUCCAACUCAGGAUGCCACAGAGCCUGGACCCGGUGCUCUAGAAUCAAAAGAAAUAGUACACGCAAAUGGAAGUGGAUAAUUACCUGGAAAGCUGGGUUAAGAAAAUCAUCAAGUACGGGCAAGAUAUCGUGGAGAAGGUCCUGCUCCUGACCAAGUCCUGUUUUCGGUCCUUUCUUCGGCUUCAACUUAAGGCCAGCAUCAGAUGCCACUAAGCUUUGGAGCCUACUGUUACAUAGUUGUUCUAUACAACCCUAAGCCUCACUUUGCUAACUCAACACCUCACUUGUUCUUUCAAUACCGAGUUCCUGCUCAGCCACCCCUAUAGGGUUAAGCUUCAAACUUAUGCUUGUUAGCCGCAUCCUAAUGGCUUCUUCUUGAAAACGUACACUCACCUCUUGAAGCCUUGCUUACUCGGCUACAUAUCCUUUCUUAUGGAAUUCCACUCAUUAGUCUAAGAAUGGAAUGAACUAACCAACCCCUAGUUCUCCCAGGCAAUAAAGAGAGAAUCAGACUAGGACCCAUAAGGCUGUUACUGCUCCCUAUACGACUGAAAUAAGAGCAUAAGAAUCCACUAGAAGCCUAUAUACCCGACCACCGCUAAGCCUGCCCUGCUUGAUCUCGGUCUACCGCUCCCUGUCUAAAGUCUGAUACUUGAAACACUUGACUGCGAUUCUUGUAUUCGAAUUUGGCUCUGCCUUUCCCGGCUUUCAACCUAUAACUAAUGCUUCUCAUAAUAGAGCUAGGGAUAAGGAGUUUCAACUACCAGCUAUAAGAAUUGGCUACUUGCGGAUAAUAAUGAAACCAGAGCGGGAGAACUAAACCGGGAUAGGAGCAAGAGGUGUAGUUAGGCUAAAUUAGGACUCGCCAAGCAACUAAGGAAGGUAGAAAACAAAAGAAUCCAACCUACUACUUAAAGAAUCAACCCUGCUGAAAAGGCCUUUACCAGAUCUAUAUCGUUUAUCCUCACACUCUGGCUACUCAUACUAACAGAAACUUCUCCUCUUCUCUUGCUAAUCUCACUCUGGCUACUCUUAUAGGCUUGAAAUGCAUUACCGCUCAUCUCUGCUGUUUUUAUGGGAAUUUCAAAGAAAACUAAAUAAGUGACCAAGCUUUGUAUACAAAGGCAUAACUAGUAAAGAACUCAAUUAACAUGUCUUAAUGAGUUGUUAGCGAGUCCGACAAGCAACGACUAAUGACCAAGCCACGGGCCAAGGCACUACUAAUGUGCCGCGGCAGGAGCUUUUGGGCAACGGCGAAAGCCACCAAGGCACUGCUAAUGUGACGCGGUAGCCAGUAAUAGUCAUAACAAAGUUAUUACAAUCUAUGUUUUCAGCGGCAGCAACAGUAAUAGGCCAAGCAACUACUAACGACCAAGCUUAGGCGCAAGACUAAGUGCGGUAGCCAAGGUAAUAGAUAUGACAAGUUAUUACAAUAGAUGCUUUUGGGGCCGCUCCACUCUUUUUAUUACAAUAGAUGUUUUCAGGAGCCUGAGCUAAAACGGUAGUGAGCCUUUUCUGCUUAGUUCUAUUCUGCUACUGACCUGUGGAAUUCUGAUCUAUCUCUUGCUAGCUCCAUCUGGUAGUGCUUUCGGGCUUGAACGACCGAGUGGAAUUCUUUCAUUCCUACUUCUGAGGUUGUCUCUGACUUUACUACUUGCCUACUGAGGUCAAUUCUUUGAUUUCAUCGAUUUCUUCGCUUCUUGCUUAAUAAGAACAUUCUAAAGGGACAAGAGGGCCUCAUUAGAGAAUAAGCCAUGGUAAACUCAUAGAUACAGCUUAGCUUAUUAUAUGGAUCUUGCUUUUCAUCCUUAUUCAGAGUCAUAUUACUAAUCAGUUCUAUACUCCCCCAACACACUCCUUUCUCCUUUGAUUCCUAAGCUGCUUUUUCUCAAGCAUCUGAACCGACUUCACUGUAAACUCUACCUUUAUCCACUUAGUCUGGGUGGUGGGAUAGUUCUUGGAGUGCCUGUCUUCCGCUUCCAAUCCAGUAUAAGACAAAUACAUUAUAACAACCCUCCCUCGUCCUACUGUUUCUGAGGGAUAGUUUCAAAGAGGGCUCAAUUAGGACUCCAAAAAGCAAUGAGUUUCAUUCAAUCGCUCGUCCUACUGUUUCUGAGGGAUAGUUUCAAGAAGUAGCAGUCCGGGUUGGGAGUAGCUAAGGGAGUUUCUAGGUUACGGUGCAUUCUUAUGAGAUAUAGAUAGGCAAGGGGGCAAUCAGAGAACAGAACAGAUAUAGCUAUAGGAGCCAUCAAGAGUUCAAGGUAUCUUUCUUAUAUAUUAAUUGUUACCGGAGCUGCAGUUAGUAACGAGUCCCCUUAAGCAGUUCAAGUUCAAGCUGGAAUUCUAUACUAUACGGAUACGGAGCUUGCUCUUUCAACACUGAGUUACUUCACAUCUGAUCUAGUCGGUAUAGAUGGAUUCUUGCCCAAACCUAGACAAUACUCGUACCAAAAACAAUACUACCUGGCUUCGGAAGCACUACAAACACGUAGUUUAUAGUUAUAUAUCCAAUCAGGCACCAGGAAACAGGUUUGGUUUACUGGCUCUACAGCUCUCCUACAAGAAUUGCUCCUAUCAAGUCAAAGUAUUGUUUUCGGGUAACUAACUUUCAAGUAUCUUAUUUCUCUAUUUCCUGCUUGAGCUUCAGAAUAGAAUACGACUUACAACUUCAGAUAUACUUGACUCUCUUCAAACUGACGUUAGCGAGUCCCAUCUGUUGAAACAGCAUCUUAUGUUGCAACUGCUUAGUUAGAAACACGUAUUAGAAACACGUAUUAGAAACUAGAUUUCAAGCAGGAUCGGUAGUAGAAAUAGGGUAUCCUCUUCUCUGGCUCCCCACGACGGAUACUGCUCUACCAGAUUGAUAGCUAAGAGAAGCUAGAAAGGACAAGAAACAGACUAAGGACAAAGAGAGGAAGAAACACGGUCUUAAAUUCGGACAUUGGUUCUGAGCGGGUAUAAGGGGUAUAAUAGAAAGUUGUUGGGUAUGGAUACAGGUAAUAUUGACUUCAGCCGGUUGCUUGUGUUUAAGGCAGAAGCUUUACCCGGAAUAGGAAGCGGAGGUUAGGAAGCUAAGCUGUACCCUGCCGGAAUAGAAACCAGAUCUUAAGAGGUGUGUGUUGGUUUGGGUUCUUCAAGGGGGGAGUUCUUGUGUCUAAGUCCUUAAGUGAAGUGAGCUUUAUAGGAGUCAGCAGUCAGGAGGUUGUUUACGUUCUUCUAGAUGUGACGCUAGCACUAGAUUCAUUUCUUUUGACUCACUUUCGAGUGGAGUUCAUAAAGCAUAAGAACGUUAUAGCUAAGUGCUUGGUUGAGUUUACCUGACAGCGAUAGAUGACAUAAAUUCCUUUCCUUCAAUUCGAUUUGAAAGCUUCUGCGCUCGAUAAGAAAGAUUCCUUAGAGUAAGGAAGUCAAAGGGCAUAAUAAGAAAGUCAAGGAUCAGUGAGCAGCUCAAUUCCUUAUUUCUAUAGAUAGGCCGGCGGGUAAGAGAGAUGGAUUAAUUGACCGUUUUCCUCUGCGCAACAAGACUUAGGUGCUUCAGCUAAAGCUAAAGGAGUUAGAAAUGACUGUUUGCGAGAUCUUUAUAGGGAUACUCAAAAAGAAGAUAGACUCCCAGAUUUUCCUGCACAGUUUUAAGCGGAUGGAGUUCUAUUCACUAAAGCUUCUGCCCUCGAAAGAACAGUAUCUGAUUGUCAUGCUAAGGCUAAAGGAUCAGUUCCAUGAAUAUUCUCGUUUGAUGCUAUAGUUUCAUCUUUUAAAGAAUAAUAGACCAGGAAGGGAGUUAACAAAAAAGAAUCGAAUUGAGAGCUUAUAGAUCAAAAGAAGAAAAGCUGGAGAAUUGCCUGUUCCAGUUGCCAGUAUAGCUUUGAUUCUUGUGGAGUUGAGAGACAGAAUUGCACUUCUACUUGCGCCCCAAGAGGAUAGAGACUGUCCUGAGUAGGAGAAUAAACCAUAUAUGUAGCUAUAUACAGAGUCGGGGAUAGAAUCUAGAGACAGAAUAGAACUUCCCGCUUUAGAUCCCCAAAACAGGAAUGGAAAACUUAACGAAACCUACUCCACUCUCCUUGAUAAACCGAUAGCACUGUAAACUAUCAUAUCACAGCAACUGAUCCUUACAAUGCUGAUGCAAGUGUGUAGUCUGCUUUUUCUACCCAGUAGAUUAUUCUUAUUAAGAUUCUGCUUAUGUUGCCUCAGAUCCUGGUAUAGAGGAAUGUGACCUAGGAGCUUCCCUUUCUUUUUCAUCUUACUGGCUUGGCACUGCUUCCUCAUCUUAUCCAAAUUCCUAACCCGCUCCACCUGCUGACUUUGGAUAUUAAGUUGGGCAUUCCAAUGAAAAAAGAUCUUCUUCCCGAACAAUACUUGAAGAAAACACUUUACUUACUAUUAGAAAGCUACCCUUUCCUUUUGGUUACAUACUGAAAGCUACCCUUUCCUUUCUUUUGGUUACAUCACUCUAUAACGGGUGCCUUUCUCUUCUUUAGUUCGGGGUGUGGAACGGAACUAUACUCAAAAGUGCUCAUUUCCUCUCCUUGAAGUGAAGCUGACCUCUGACUUUAGGAACCAACUUAACUUGCACCAACCUCUUCUCGCUUUACAACUCCAGUUAGCGGAGAUCCAUCUUCUUCUUCUGGCAAUACUUUACUUAACGCUGAAGCUUCCUUUCGACAACAUGGAUGAAAGGUCUAUACUUGAAGGGAAUAAACCUUACUUGCUGUUUACUCUCCUCUUUGAAUUGAUUCAGCAGACAGUUACGUUCGAAAAGAAGAAGAUAGUAAAGGCACAUAAGGGGGAAGUUAGUUCUCUGAAAGUCUUGCUCGGGGCAAGAAUCCACUAUUGCCAUUAGACCCCUAUAGCUAAUGAUUCUAUUAUUUAUACCAAUACCUAGCUCCAUCCUCUUCUGACCGAACAAUACUGGAAUUGCUACCACAAGCAACCGACCCGCACUCUCCUCUCCCUGGCGCUACUGAGUCAAACAAGAAACCCUAAGUAUAGAAUUGACUUAUUAGUAAUAUAGGUGAAAGAGGAAUUCACUACCGGGAUACAAGAAUGGGGCUACUGACUAGCUAAUAGGGCUUCGACUACAACUAUCAGAAUAGAGCGAAGAAUAGAGACUUACACACUGCCUAGCAAGACUAUAGCUCAUAAAAAGGGUAUAUGUAAUUGAGUAGAUGGUGAGCUACUAUCUGAUAAGACCUUAAAUGUGACCGAUAUAAGGGUGUCUCUCCUGCCUUUUCUCGUUGUCUGCUGGGCACCUAAGCUAUAUCUCCUAUUCCUUUCUUUGAUUCCCCAGCUACUAACUAUAGGGUAAUUUAUUGCUCUCCUCGGGUUGAGUCUACCGUCGAAUACUGUGACUGACUACUUGAAUACUGUUACUUGCUACUGCCAGUGAGUAUUUACCUACCAGCUUGCAACCUUACUCUUACUAUUAAACACGGGAACGCAACCAUACCCAUGAGAUUGAAAACAAAACCUAUUAGCAUCGAAAUAGGCAUACCCGGCUCUUUGACUCCUUGGUUUCAGCCUAAACUCCUAUUCUGAAUACCUUGUCUCUAAGUCCCUUUCUAUCGUUUCAAGCUUGAUAUACUAGCCUAAUAGAAUAGAAUAAGCAAAUGGGAGCCAGCCCUCGAACGGGGAAACCAACUAUUGCUGAUGAGACUACAACUGGUGCUAACAAGACCUUGACCUUAACCUAGCAACUUGGGAACCGACGACCACUUCUUAACUUCAACAACUGCCCCACAUAAUGGAACUAGUGCCAACAGGACUUUCACUCAAAAGAAAGAAGAUAAAGAACUGAGACCUACAUAACUGGUUGCUUGCUCACCAAGCCGUCCUGCCCUGGCAAACUAUUAUGGUUCCCUUAUGAUUAUAGUAGAAAUCCGGGUAGUCUAGAUGUACAAGAAACGGGCAAUGAGGUUACUUAAGAGAGUCAACGUUCUCCCAUGUUUUCUUCUUAUCUAUUAUAGCAGACUUAGAGCGUAAGCACCAACACCAAGAACAGUACUGGCACCCGUUUCCCUAUCUACUUCUCUUCCCCAUUCCAGAAAUGCAUUUAUUGUGGUACCUUCCUCCUCUGUAGGUAGUAGCGACCUGGACUCUAAUCAAAUUCUAUUUCUUUGAUACUGCCAAUAAAUACGAAUCGAACUUUAGACUAUCUUUUCAGAAGCACCAAAAGCAACUCUCCUUGCGCUAACUGGAGUCGUUUACGGGAAGGGAGUUUACAGGUCAGGGAAGGGCUUGCUUCUCAAUAGGGUUCUUCGGCUUCAAGAGUGGAAUCCCCUUCAUUAUUAGUUUCAUCCCCAGUGUAAUCCAGAGUGCCUUAUUCUAAUCUGCCAGAGGAUGGGUAUUCUAGUUGCCAGUGGGAAUAGGUGGAUCCGCUUUAACAGCUUACUUGUUCACCGAUACCUUCACCCCAUGCCUCUGCCUUAACGGAACCCUAUGCCUCUGACUCAGUGUGCGGGACUCGUAUAGUCAGUAGAAGAAUAUCGUUUUUUAACACCGUAAGAAUCGAACCGCUCCUGCCGCUAUGUUUCCCUCCGCAUAUAAACUAAAGAACUGGUAUUUCACUCAGAUGAGCCAGAGGAGAAGCGGGCCCUAAUACUUAAUUGCCAGCGCAUGACUACUAACAUAAGAUCGAGGGCCAUAAUACAUAGGCGAGCGCAUUUACUACUAAAACAAAGAAUUCUACUAAGAUAUGAGAAUUGAACUCGGUAGUGAAAGAAUUCAACCACUUUCUCCGUGUUUAUCGAGAUCAGAAGAAUUUCGUCAUGAAGAUCAGAUUGCCCCGCACUGGAUUGAUUUCUUGAUUUCCUUCCCCGCAACAAAGAAUUCAUUUCACUCUUUCACUUAGGACAGCUGACCCUAUAGAGUGCUCUCCGAGUAAACACCGAGUAUUAGGCUGGAAAUGUACAUUGAUUUAAAGGACAGACGCAGAGGAGAGGUAUGCCUCAUUCAGUUAAGUUAAUAGGAGCGUUCACUAGCACGUGGGUCUGAAGCCGUAUCAAUUCUUGUAGCAAUCAAUUCUUCCAGUUCUGAGUCCGGGUAGCAAUAAAUUCUUCCUGCUCUGAGUCCGGGUAGCAAUCAAUUCUUCCUUCUAGCUACCCUUGCUUGUUCAGUUUCAAGAGAAGAAACAAGAUCAUAAGAUGGAUUAGGUGAGAUAAGCUUGAGUAGAAUAAAGAUUCUCAGUAGGGGGAGCCGAAGCAGGAAACAAAUCCUAAUUCCAAGCAACUACAAGCUCUAAGUCAUGUUCGGGUGUUUGAGGAUGAGAUGAGCCGAAUUCAUUUAAAAGAAUUAAUGACUAUCCAGAGUAGCGGUAAGGAAACUAGAUUCUUUAAUUCCAAAGUAUUCCUCACCAGCACCGGAUCUAGCUUCUCCUCGAAAGUCACUUAGGAUAUACCUUCCACCUCUCAAGUAGUAAAGUCAAAGAAUGGAACUAAGUAGUAACACCUCCGCAGAGAAGUAUUUGCUUGGCCCUGCCUGCUUCUUUAGCUGCUGACUUACCUAAUCCAGCUUCUGUACCUUAAUCAGUUCCUACUUCCUAACCCACUCCGACUCCGGAUACUGCACCAGUGCCUGUUGCCUUUGUCUAUAAGUAGGAGAAUUGCCUGUUGAUGUGACAGGUAAGGCAGUCAAGUCUCUAGUUAUAGUAUAAAGUCCAGGCUUUUGCUCGGUCUAAUAGAAUCCGGUCACCAACCCAGUGUCUUUCCUCUCAAGUAAUCAUUUAGUGUUCAAAGGGAUAAACAGAAUAAUAGGGAUAGGCUGGAGCUAGGCAUGAUGGAUCUAGGCCAGUGAAUUCUUUUACUUCAGCGAAUUCUUUUACUUCAGCAUAAGGGAAGGGAGUAGCUUGAUUACAUUGUAACUAACCAUAGCCUCUUUCUCGAAGGAACCUAGACGUUACUCGGGAUGAAACCCAGUAUCCGUGUCUUGGCUCUGUGUUUACUCUGUAUCAGGGAAGGGGAUAGUUUACAGUGAAAGAAGCUCAGUGAAGAAUUGACCCCGCCUCUUGCUCUACUUUAUUUCUUGAUUGAUUUCUUUCCCGCUCGCAACCAGUAAUUAAGGGCACUGGACUUGUUCAUAACUUCAUUGUCUACCGCCGGACUCCAUAACAACAUCCGCCGAGAGCAGGUUCACUCUGGACGUAGCUUGUCACGUAACAACUCAUUAGAACAUAUUUCUUGAGUUCCCUCCGAUUCUAGCUUUUGUCACUCCACUUUGUCUACGUAGCUUGUCGUCUUGUCUGGUGGAUCGAGUACUAACAUAAAAACAAGUCAUUCACCAAUGCCUAAUCAAACGAAAUCCAAAAGCUAACAAGGAUGAAAUGCAAAAGGAAGGUUCGGAACAAUCAAUUUCAUUCUUUAUUCCCGGGGGCCGUUCCCAUUCUGCCUUUCCUGUCUAUCGGUAUGUCCCUCCUUUGUUUUAUUCUAUAUCUUAGAACGAAUAUUCUUUAUUGGAACUGUUAUCCAUCAAACCGCUAUUACUGUAUUUGAUUCGAAAAAUGCCUAUAGACCCCCCGGCUCUUCAUUCUUUAGCUGCUGAUCCGCGUCCUUGUUUUAAGUAUGGAACUGCCGCCUUGCAUUCCUGUGUAUCAGACCUUAGUAGUUAGUUGCAAACUGACCUUCUCGAUAUCAAUUCUGGAGUUUGGGCUUCGACCUGCCUAUCCUUGCCUUUCAACUGAAGGGUGCCAAUUCGCCGUGUAAACUCAGAACUAGUGCUUUGAACUCUUAAGCUACCGAUCUCAUACCUGUAGUUGUACCAGAACUACCCUCCUUUCUUUAAUGAAUUACCUAUCUUUGAUUCUUUCACUAAGGGGAAAGGAACGAAAACUGGUAUACGAACACAGGACUUGUUUCAAACUAGCGGAGAAAGGAACGAAAACAGGCGGACACAGGACUUGUAACAACUUUCGCCGAGCAAACAGGACUUGGUUCUGAUGCUUACUAGUGGAAUUCUUAUCUUAUACUAUAGCUGCGGGGAAUUUCUACCUGAGUGUUAGGAUCGGAGUGGGCAAGUAGGAUCGAGUUAGUUCGGGUCUUCAAGGGAAGCACUUCUUAGAGGUAGGGUCGGGGCAGA